rnacentral:lncRNA from 1 species
GCUGAAUUAGCUAAUUAUGCCUUUCUGGAGCUAAUUAUGUCAUUUUGGAGGAUAGUUAGGUAAGUAUAGUUCAUUUUUGUUAAAUAGGCCAUUAUGAGGUUAUUAUGUCAUUUUGGAGCUAAAUUAGUCAUUUUAAUGAGCUAACCAAGGGUCUUAUGAUUUUUUACCUAACUAAGCUAAUUUGUCAUUUUGGAGGAUAAUUAGCUAAAUAUGUCUAUGUUGGGGAAAAUAAGCUACGUAGAAGAAGAAAGAGAAGAAGAGGAGAAGAAAAAGAAGGAGGAGGAGGACGAGGAGAAGGUGAUGGAGAAGAAGAAGAAAAUAAGAAGGAGAAGAAGAAGGAAAAGAAGGAGGAGAGAAGAAGAAGGAGGGCUCCUUCUCCUUCUUCUUCUCUUCUUCUUCUUCUUCCUUCUUUUCACUUUCCUCUUUCUUCUCCUCUUGUCCUCUUCUUCGAGCUUAAUUAGCUAAUUAUGCCUUUUAGGAGCUAAUUAUGUCAUUUUGGAGGAUAAUUAGGUAAGUAUAGGUCAUUUUUUAUUAAAUAGGCCAUUAUGAGCUUAUUAUGUCAUUUUGGAGCUAAAUUAGUCAUUUUAAUGAGCUAACCAAGGUUCUUAUGAUGUUUUUACCUAACUAAGCUAAUUAUGUCAUUUUGGAGGAUAAUUAGCUAAGUAUCUCUAUGUUGGGGAAAAUAAGCUACGUAGAAGAAGAAAGAGAAGAAGAGGCGAAGAAAAAGAAGGAGGAGGAGGAGGAGGAUAAUGAAGAGGAGAAGAAGAAGAAAAGAAGUAGAAGAAGAAGGACGAGAAGGAGGAGAGAAGAAGAAGGAGGGCUCCUUCUCCUUCUCCUUCUUCUUCUCUUCUUCUUCUUCUUCCUUCUUUUAAUUUUUCCUCUUUCUUCUCCUCUUCUCCUCUUCUUCGAGCUAAAUUAGCUAAUUAUACCUUUUUGGAGCUAAUUAUGUCAAUUUGGACGAUAAUUAGGUAAGUAUAGGUCAUUUUUUAUUAAAUAGGACAUUAUGAGCUUAUUAUGUCAGUUUGGAGCAAAUUAGUCAUUUUAAUGAGCUAACCAAGGUUCUGAUGAUGUUUUUACCUAACUAAGCUAAUUAUGUCAUUUUGGAGGAUAAUUAGCUAAGUAUAGGGUUUAGGCAUCUUUUUUUAUGUUGUAGUCACAGACUGCAUCUUAUGUGUGCGUGGAGGAGGUGAAGAUACAUCCGUACGUGUAGCAUUUUUUCCGAAAAGAAGGAUAAUCCCGGACUAUGUAUCUAAACGAUGCAUGCAGCCAUACAUUAUUAAUAGUGCAAAAUUUAACGGUGGAACAUCAUCAACCCAAAAAAAGUGAAAAACAAACCGUGAGGCUAUUUACCGAAAUUGUGAAGAAAUUGCCAACAGUUGAUAUUGUACACAAAUUGCAACCCCCAUACUUAAAAAAUGAUUAUCUUCUUUUAUUUCUAAUUUGAGACAAAAAUUUAUUUUAUUUUCCUAGAGCCAACAUUGAGAAUAUUGGUCUAAAUUACAGCAACUCCAGAACUCCCACCAAAUUCAUGAAACUAGUCGUCAACCCGUGCGCUUGCACGGGCUAGUUUUUGUUUAUUUUUAAUAAUAAAUUUAUUAAAUAGAUACUACGUUAAAAUUCAUUCGUGAGAUUUUACCAUUUUCAUCCGUAUUUUUCUUCUAAAAUCAGCAUGAUAAUGGAAAAAAUAAAUUAUGAUGUUAACGAUAUGUGGUUGACAAAGAAGUUCGGUCAGCCACAAAUAAGUAAUUGUAUAGCAAUCUAACAUAUUUUAUUAUAUGCUACAUUUACUUGGUCAUUUACCAUAAAAAACAGCUGCUGAAAAUUUUAGAUCACGAAAAAUGUUGACAUAUACAAAAGAUCAAUUUUGUGGACUUUCUUGAAACUUGAAAUUGCACUUUUCAAUACUUUCAAGUUGUGUGCAUUUCUUGAAAGUAUUCAAUACUAUAGUUGUGUGCAUUUCUAAACAAUGAAUUUUAAAACUAUAUAUUCUGAGGCUUAGGAAAUAAAAAUCUUUAAUAUCCUUGAUACUAAUGAGGCUAAUCAGUACUAAUGAGCAAGGAGGCUAGGCGUAGUUCAGUUCCAUAUUUUUACAUACACUAAAUAGUGGGAAUUAGUAUCCUAUUUAGAGCAUAUCCAGCGGCGUGGUUAGAUUAUAUCCAUGAGCAAGAAAUUAAUAGCCCUAGUAUAUUAUGUGUUACCAUUUUCCUUAAUACAAACCAAUUUGAGCUGUUAUUAUGUUGCAAUGAAAGACAUGACAUUUUUUACUAAGCCACUGUCACUCAAUUUUACCGUAUAAUUGUCCUAAUAUUUUUUAAUCUCUUUUGGACAUAAGAAUUUUGAGGGAGUAUCUUAAUAUUAAUGUCAACCAAAUUUAAACAUGAUCAUACCCUAACUCUCUAUGUGUCCUUUUCUUCAAAUUUAUUUCCUAAAAAAUAAUAGUAGCUUUUUGAUUUUUCGUUUUUACCAUUGACUCUGGUAAAGCAGUAACUUAUUAUAAGUCUAAAAAAUGAUGUUGCUAUUGCAAAGGGACAUCAAAUCUUAUUAUGUCUUUUUGGGUGUCCACUGCGAGUAUCGAUAUUUUACCUUAUAAUGGUUUUUGUGCUCUUUGGUCUCAACUACAUAAAUAAAUUUAAGUAAUAUUUACUGACUAAAUUUAAAUGAGAUAGCUAGUCUAACUGUCCUUGGCCUGCUUUGAGUCCUUGGUAUUAAGCAUGUGCAAAUUAAAUCAAUAUUUUGAACAUGGAUGCUUGAAUAAUACUAGGUGAAUUGCGCUAUAAUACUGUGAAGAAACAGUGUCCAAUCAGUCGAUCAUGAGGAAUAAAUAUUGUCACGUGGCAUGGUGAGCAUAGUUGCUGUUGUAGAGAGGCAAUAAGCAGGACUCGCAGUAAGGAGAUAUGUCACUGGAAACGAUCUCAACGUAUUUGUUACAAUAACCUCCAUACUCGAAUAUGUUUGAAGCAAGGAAUGGUUUUCUUGUUGAAAACUUACACAAUAUAUAAUAAUUGUAAGUGCAGCAAGCUUAGGUCCAUAUAGAAUGAUUUACCUCUGAAACGGAGUAAAUUACUACCACACAUUUUUUUUAUCCUUAAUAACAAUUACAAAUGCUCAUCAUUUUUUGUAGAAUACAUGCUUGUGUGACAUGCACCUGCACUUUACAUCAUUAAAUAAUAGUUUGUUGCCUCUAUACUUAUCAGUUCUUGUUACAAACAAAUAUUGCACCCUUAUUUUAGUGGAUGCAUGAAACGGAAUUGUAUGUACCUUAGAAUAGGGAAAUUCAUGUGCAUAAAAUGCUCGCAAAUGAACAUGUUAGUACCUUAGAAUAAGGUUGAUCUUGUUCUUUGCCAAGUCUUUGAAGAUGACAUUGAAGUCCUGCUGUUUAUGGAUUGCUGGCCACACAGUUCUUUCUCUAGUGAAUCAGGUUUGAGACCUGUGCAUUAUCCACUAUCCUGAGUGGGCAUCAUCCUUUAUUUCUUCAUUGUCACACUUUCUCUUUCUUGCGUCGGGCUUUGGUUUUUCUUAUACUGACUAAGGAGACAAUAGUUCACAGCGAGUGAUAGUUUGGUAGAGAGAAUGUAUAUUUUAUAGACGGAAAUAUGACUUACUUAGGUGCAGGAAGUGGCGGCAUCCACCUGAUCUACUUCAAACUGAAGUCGCCCAUCAGUUGACAGUACAACUCAUGUUUCGCUCCAUAGUUUCAUCUACAAAAGGAAAUAAAGACUAAAAGCUAGGUAAGAAGAAAAUAGAGAGACCUAGAUAGGACAUACUGUCUCUGUAGAUGGCUAGUUUCCCUAAUGAAAGUAGGUGGAGCAAUCCCUUUGCUUCAAAAAAGAAACUAUUUGCAUAAUACACUACUCGGUGCAUGUAUGAAAUCUACCGAGAUAGGAAGCUACUUUUUUUGCGGGUGAGAUUGGAAGCUACUUUAUAGGCUUAUCAUCGAUGAACUGCAUAGAGAAGUGAACUUCUAUUACCGGUUGAGCUUAGGGCUAAUAACAUACAAAUGCAUACCUAGAUCGACGUAGACAGUGGAUCAGUCAGCAUAAUAAAGGGGAAAAACGGAAAAGGGGAUAUCAACAACCACGAGUUGGGCAUCGGAUGCCAGACGGGAAGACACUACAAGAAAUAUGUCAACUAACGACCUUCAAUAUUGUUCACUGAAUGGUCAUUGAUUUCCAUUUGUGACCUUUUUAUGACAAAGAACAAAAGGUCUAAAGUUGAGGGUCUUUAAUGAACUAUAACGACCUUUUUGUGGAUCGCUCGUAGGAUUUUAUGACCAAAUAGAAGGUCGUAGGUUUAACGACCAAAUGAUUUGGUCACUAGCAAUCUGCCCGCACCACUUCAGAGCCACCGUGGCAGGCUGACGUGGCAGAAUUAUAACCAAAUGAAAAGGUCGUAAAUAAGAUUCAACCUGGUCCAUUCCGGUCGUCUACAUGGGCCGGGCCUAAUAAUUUGGCCUUUUAUUUUCUGGGAUAGAAUCUUUUACUGAGUAGGUUUUUUAUUAGUCAACUUUUCUUUUGCGCCUUGGCCUACUCUUUUUAGUCCAGUUCUUGUUUGGGCCUUGGCCUACUCUUUUUUUAGGCCCAAGCCUUUUUAGACAAAUUAUAAUUUGGGCCUUGGCCUACUCUUUUUUAGGCUCAAGCCUUCUUAGUCUAUUUCUUGUUUGGGCCUCGGCCUUUUUGCUGUACAAACUAACUUUAGUGCCCAAACAAAAUGGUCCAAAGAAAACUUAAAUAAUUGACAACUUCACAAAAUACUUCGUCAAGUUCAAAUAGAGCAAGACAUUGUUUCAUCACCACAAUGACCAAUCACUUAAAUAAUUGACAACUUCACAGGUGCACAGCUUCACAAAAACUCAUCACACAUUUCCACCGAGCUCUCAAAGUCCAUGCCCAGCGGACUUUCCUGAUGGUCCGUCGUGGCCGCCAUAGUUGCUUUCGGCCUUGUGACUCUAUCAGGUUCAUCAGGUUCAAGGAUCCUCUUUGUUUGUCCUGGAGGUGGGGCCAUCACCCUUCCUAGAGGCAUUGCAGAAGAUGCUUCUGAGCUCUUCCUCUUCUUGCUGGCUGUCUUCAGUGCCUUGUAUAAAUAGCACAAGAAAAAAUUAGAUCACAAGAUAAAUAUGUGAGCACAAGGAAACACAGAGCAUACAAGAACCCGAACCCUCCAAGCAAGACAGAGUUUGCACCUUAACAGUCUUGUGCACUACAACUUCAUCCUCCUCACGAUUGUAUUGUGGGUCAUCACUGAUAACUCCACUACCUUCUUGAACCCCAUUAGUUGUACCUUCUUGUACAUCAUUUGUUUUCCUAAUCAUUGACGCUAUUGCAUCAAUGCCAAGGGACUGGAAUAUCCGAUUGUUCCUCAUCAUAUUUCUAGCCCUAACCUUCUCGUACUCGGUGAGAGGAUGCUCAUCUUUGCAAGGCAAAGUAAACAUAAUUAUUAGGUUAAUUGUUGGAAUGCAUGGAAAGACAGCCAAACAUAUCUUAUGAUAUUUUAUUAUCAUUUAAUCCUACUUAUUCAGCUAAGGAAGAGUAACAACACACAGGCACAGCUAAGCCAGCUAAUUUAGAUUACAGAAAUACAUUUGCAUAAUAAAAUAUGAUAGUAUUUUACAUCACCAGCCUCCAAGAUAUUUUACUUAGCAUAUUACCUUUCACUUAGCAUAUUAAGACACAUUUUACAAAUUUGACAGUAUAACCACAAGGAGCAACUUGCAUACCACUGGUUGGCCUCGGGUUUGACCUUGUCAUCCUUGACAUGGAUGAUCUUGAGGUGGUGCUUGCAAAAUAGAAUAGACAACAAUCACAUACAAUAGGGAUAAAGUAAAAUGAUGCACUUAUAUCAAUAAAGGAAAGCAUUUAGACGAGCAUGCACAUACAUGUAAUACAUGUGAAGCUAGCAAACUUGUUGGAUCAACAAUAUAGUGGUGUAGUUAAUGCAUCAGUACCAAUACAUGUAAAACACUUGGACCAGCAUGCACAUACACGUGUAGCAAUGCACAUACAGUUAAUGCAUCAGUACUAAACUGACAGUUGAAGCAAGCAACUAAAUAGAAGCACUCGGACUAGCAUGCACAUACAAGUGUAGCAAUGCAUGAGUAUUAAAACAUGUGAAACAGGAGGUAGUAAUGUACUAAACUGAUAGUUGAAGAAAACUAUAUAUGUGAAGAAAUGCAUAAACUAUUUACAACAAUUACUUUUAUGUUUUAACUUGCAAUUUUAUCCAUGUACCUGCAAUCAUCUAUAAGCAAAGUAAUUACUCAAUUGUAUCCCUAAUGGAGGCAAACAUAUGCAUUCAUAGCAACUGGUUGCCCAACAUUUGUUGAAUAAAGAAGCAAGCAGUGUCCAAGCAAGCAAGCAAGCAAAGUGCAUAUGUGCUACUAAUACAAGCAAGCAAGCAAGCAAAGUGCAUAAGUGCUACUAAUACAAGCAAGCAAGCAAAAGAAGUGCUACUGAUAGAAACAAGCAUAGUGCUACUGAUAGAAACAAGCAAGCAAGGAAGAAAAUUGAAGAGGAGCAAGCAAGCAAGUACUGUUGAUACCAACCCUAGUAGCUUCUUCUCCAAGUGCUACUGAUACAAGCAAGUAUUGCUGAUGGAAACUCUAAUUAACCAUGUAUGCUAGCAAGCAAGCAAGCCAUAGUAGUCAAGCAACAUGAACAUGAACCCUAACCCCAUGAAGCAGACUACCAGAGGGGGAUAGAACGAACCACUAGGAAUAAAUCCCAUGAACAUGAACAAGAACCUCCAGGAUCUCCUAGAUUGACUGAAUCCUAACCCUAGAUCGACCAGGUGGGGGAUGUACCCCCAUUUGCUACCCAUCACAAAUGCAGGACCCCAUGAUCCAGCCCCAUUGAUCCAACCCCAUGACAACCACAACCCUAACCCCAUGAAUCUAACCCUAACACCAUGAACCCUAACCCUAACCCCAUGAAUGUACCGAACCAUCCCAAUAGAUCCAGCCCCAUGAACCUUAGAAGAACACAUGAGGGGGAUCUAUCAAACCCUAGAAGAACACAUGAGCGGGAUCUAUCAACGGGAGAUGGGUCGAGGGGCGAGGUACCUAUCGUCGUCGACUGUUGAUUAUGUAGAUGUACCCGCUGUCGUCGUCGAUGUAGUCAUAGCCGUCGACGUCGAUGUAGAUGUAGCCGUCGUCGUCGAUGUAGUUGUAGCCGUCGACGUCGUCGAUGUAGUCGUCGUUGGGGAGAUGGGAGAGGGGCGGAGGGGCGGCGCGGAGCACGGAAGGGGCGGCGGGGCGGCGCGGAGCAGGGGAGGGGCGGCGGAGUGGGGAGUGGAAUGAAUCCCGCGUGGGUAGUGGGGAGUGGAACGGAGAGGGGAGUGGGAGAGGGAGUGGUGGGUCCCGCGUGGUAGAGGGAGAGGGAGUGGAGGAAAUUUUGGUGGGAUGGGUGGGAAAAUUUAGUGGGGUGGGAGGGAAAAUUUUCACUAGUUUUUUGGGGUUUGGAGGCAGACUUUUUCUUUUUCUUUUUUAUAAACAUUAUAGAAAUAAUGGUUAAAAUCAUAUCGAGUAGUUCAAGAAGACAUCGGAGCUCAAAUUUAUAUAUCAUUUCUAGUUUGGAGGUCACAUGUGAUGAUGCGACACGAAGGUUUCCCAAUUUUUUUUAUUUAUUUUGAAUUUUUCAUGACCGUUUCAAAAUGCGGUCGAAACGGCGGGCAUGACCGUUCCUACCUAGUGGUUGAAUCUAGGAAACAUUUUGGUGUUUCUAUGAUUAAAUAGAUACUUGUGUACCUAGAAAUGAUUUUUGGAAAAAAUAAAGAGCAAACUAUAAGGCAGCCGCAGUUCAAAUUUGACCCGCUUUCAUCUGAUUCGACAUAGAUUUGUCUUUUUCACGAGAGAUGGAUAAAAGCUUUUGACACCCAAACAUAUUGUCGAUUGUACAUUAAAUAUGNNNNNNNNNNNNNNNNNNNNNNNNNNNNNNNNNNNNNNNNNNNNNNNNNNNNNNNNNNNNNNNNNNNNNNNNNNNNNNNNNNNNNNNNNNNNNNNNNNNNNNNNNNNNNNNNNNNNNNNNNNNNNNNNNNNNNNNNNNNNNNNNNNNNNNNNNNNNNNNNNNNNNNNNNNNNNNNNNNNNNNNNNNNNNNNNNNNNNNNNNNNNNNNNNNNNNNNNNNNNNNNNNNNNNNNNNNNNNNNNNNNNNNNNNNNNNNNNNNNNNNNNNNNNNNNNNNNNNNNNNNNNNNNNNNNNNNNNNNNNNNNNNNNNNNNNNNNNNNNNNNNNNNNNNNNNNNNNNNNNNNNNNNNNNNNNNNNNNNNNNNNNNNNNNNNNNNNNNNNNNNNNNNNNNNNNNNNNNNNNNNNNNNNNNNNNNNNNNNNNNNNNNNNNNNNNNNNNNNNNNNNNNNNNNNNNNNNNNNNNNNNNNNNNNNNNNNNNNNNNNNNNNNNNNNNNNNNNNNNNNNNNNNNNNNNNNNNNNNNNNNNNNNNNNNNNNNNNNNNNNNNNNNNNNNNNNNNNNNNNNNNNNNNNNNNNNNNNNNNNNNNNNNNNNNNNNNNNNNNNNNNNNNNNNNNNNNNNNNNNNNNNNNNNNNNNNNNNNNNNNNNNNNNNNNNNNNNNNNNNNNNNNNNNNNNNNNNNNNNNNNNNNNNNNNNNNNNNNNNNNNNNNNNNNNNNNNNNNNNNNNNNNNNNNNNNNNNNNNNNNNNNNNNNNNNNNNNNNNNNNNNNNNNNNNNNNNNNNNNNNNNNNNNNNNNNNNNNNNNNNNNNNNNNNNNNNNNNNNNNNNNNNNNNNNNNNNNNNNNNNNNNNNNNNNNNNNNNNNNNNNNNNNNNNNNNNNNNNNNNNNNNNNNNNNNNNNNNNNNNNNNNNNNNNNNNNNNNNNNNNNNNNNNNNNNNNNNNNNNNNNNNNNNNNNNNNNNNNNNNNNNNNNNNNNNNNNNNNNNNNNNNNNNNNNNNNNNNNNNNNNNNNNNNNNNNNNNNNNNNNNNNNNNNNNNNNNNNNNNNNNNNNNNNNNNNNNNNNNNNNNNNNNNNNNNNNNNNNNNNNNNNNNNNNNNNNNNNNNNNNNNNNNNNNNNNNNNNNNNNNNNNNNNNNNNNNNNNNNNNNNNNNNNNNNNNNNNNNNNNNNNNNNNNNNNNNNNNNNNNNNNNNNNNNNNNNNNNNNNNNNNNNNNNNNNNNNNNNNNNNNNNNNNNNNNNNNNNNNNNNNNNNNNNNNNNNNNNNNNNNNNNNNNNNNNNNNNNNNNNNNNNNNNNNNNNNNNNNNNNNNNNNNNNNNNNNNNNNNNNNNNNNNNNNNNNNNNNNNNNNNNNNNNNNNNNNNNNNNNNNNNNNNNNNNNNNNNNNNNNNNNNNNNNNNNNNNNNNNNNNNNNNNNNNNNNNNNNNNNNNNNNNNNNNNNNNNNNNNNNNNNNNNNNNNNNNNNNNNNNNNNNNNNNNNNNNNNNNNNNNNNNNNNNNNNNNNNNNNNNNNNNNNNNNNNNNNNNNNNNNNNNNNNNNNNNNNNNNNNNNNNNNNNNNNNNNNNNNNNNNNNNNNNNNNNNNNNNNNNNNNNNNNNNNNNNNNNNNNNNNNNNNNNNNNNNNNNNNNNNNNNNNNNNNNNNNNNNNNNNNNNNNNNNNNNNNNNNNNNNNNNNNNNNNNNNNNNNNNNNNNNNNNNNNNNNNNNNNNNNNNNNNNNNNNNNNNNNNNNNNNNNNNNNNNNNNNNNNNNNNNNNNNNNNNNNNNNNNNNNNNNNNNNNNNNNNNNNNNNNNNNNNNNNAUUGUACAUUAAAUAUGGCCUAGUAUGUUAGAAAAAUGAUUUGGACCAAUUUUGAAACAAAUAUAUGGUAGGUCCUUCACAAAAAAACUCAUUUCGGGCACUUGAAAAAUGAAAAAUGAUUUUUUUCAUACAAGGAAGAUGAAAACUUCCUUAAUCAACAUUGUUUGUCACUCCAACAUGCACCAUUAUGCAAAAUAUGAGACCAUUUCAACUAACUAUGCGAUGAAUAUGGCCAUGAGAUUGAUCAUGUGGCUUGAAAGCCAUGAAUCUUCACACAUGAUAGCUCAUUUAUGUGAACACUUUUUGAAAAUAAUGUGCUUGAUAUAUACGAACACCUAUUCCUAAAUUUCUCCUAGGUCUGCCCCUCUCUUGCAUUUUAUUGGGAUUAUUAGUAAGGAUUUAAUAAGAGUUAGGUUUUGAAUUGGGAUCUUGAUUGCUGCAUGUGCUUAGAUUUUAUUAUGUGCCGGAUAUGUUGAUAGAUUUGUUGUGGUUAUCCCCUCACCGGGGCACGGCAGGGGCUGAGCAGCCCAAUAGUGCAAUGUUCUGCUAUAUAAAAUGCAGAACAGAGAGAAUCGUCUUAUGCAAACAGAUAAGAAAAGAUAUUGAAGUGAUACUUACAAAUUGCUUGCAGACAUCACAUUUUGGAUGAAAGCGCUCCUUGUAACAAGUUCUAUGGUAUGGAUAGUUUCCUGACAUGGAGAAGUGCAUGUUUUUGUUGGUAAAGUCAAUGCCAAUACAACUGCUUAAUUAGUACACAAAACAACAAAGAGCUACCUCAAAGUCAUAUAUUGGAUGAUUGCAAGCAUAUAGUUACAGUAUAGUCAUAUAUUGGCUGAUUACGUCCAUGGCCAAUUUCAUUGUGACAUCCAGCACAUGUCCUAACAAAAGAAGUGUAUACAUAACAUAUAGUUACAGAGUACAGUUUGAUUUUUUGAAAGGACAUUUAAAUCUUUGUAUGAAGGAUCGAAAGAUUGUAUAAGUGAAAUGCACAAAGGACAGACCCAGUGCAGAGAAUAGGGUGGCUGAUGCAGCAGCACUAUGAAUGUAAUUAGAAGCACAUUGUUGAAUGCUUGACCUUUUGAAUAGUGUGUUACAUAGUUUGUACUAAUCGAAUUACUUAUAUUGUAGGAAAAGGAAGCUGCAGGCAUGAAGAGGAAGCUCGCCAAGACUGGGUUCAAGAACCCGUAUGACUCUGACUACGACGACGAUGAACCGUAUGAGGUAAUCCCAACUAUUUUAGUUCAGCGUAAGCACUAUAUGAAUGCAUGUUGGUGGGCUUUUUAAUGAAAUUGAUGUAGAGAGUGUUUUAAUGUUGUUUAUUUAAUUAGAUUACUGUACAAGACUUUUUUCUUUGUUUGUUCAUUAAAAUUUGGUAAAUGGGAAUUAUCUGAUGUUUGUUCAUUGCAUCAUUCUGAAUCGGAAGUGUGUGUUCUGGCUCCAUAAUGCCUAUAUGAAUGCAUAAUGUGUGCGCAAUUAAUUUGUGUGUGCAGUAUAACUCUGGAGAUGACGUGGAGGACGGCAACAAAGAGUCCUUCAUUGAAAAGGAAGCCCAGAAGAUCAGGGAGAAGGGGAAGGCGGCCUACUUCAGGAGGGGAAUGUUCAGAUGCCCAUACUGCACCACAAAGCCAAAGCCCAGGGAUGGGAUUUAUGAACACCUGAUGUCGCAUGCACGCGGUUUAUCGCGGAGUGCUGAUCAAGUCAUCAAGACCAGGGCAGAGCAUGCAGCCCUCCUGAAGGCUCUAGGUCCCAUUUAGUCACCCUCCAUGAUCUCGUUUUAAUGUCGUUGUGAACUGUUGUACUUUUGUGCACUGUGUUAUCGGCAGGUUGUUGUGAACUGUGUUGGAAUGUGUUAUACUUUUGAUGUUAUGGCUGCUUCUAUUUUGCUGCUUCUAUUUUGCUUCGCUGAUGUUAUGGCAGGAUGUUAUGGCAGGAUGUUAUGGUCGACUGGUUAGCAACAGGAAACAUCUCAAUUCAGCUCUCUGAUGUAGAUAGCAACAGCAACAGCAACAACUGCCGAUGGUGUGGUGGCCGUGGCGUCAGCACCACCAUCGAUGGUCACCAGCCUAGUAACGACCAUGCAUAUUGGUCAUUAUCACCUAGAAAUAAGGCAGUGCCAGGUGCUGUCCGCUUUAUGACCUUUUCCAGUAAGCAAGUGAUGACCUUUCUGAUGAAAAUGGUCGUUGGUUUUUGGGGUUAGGACCCCUCCACACAAAUUACGACCAAAUGAUGUCAAAUGGUCAUAGAUUUAUGACCAUUCCUUCCAGCGUCACUGACAAAAGGUCGUUAGUUGACAUAUUUCUUGUAGUGAGAGGUGCGAGCAGUCACGAUGGUCCUAGACGAUGGGGAGGAUUGUUAGACCGAGGGGAUGUUGGAUGACAACGGUGCCUUGUUGGCUGGGUAUCGCUGCGUAUAGGACUAGGAUUCCGGAGACCCCGAUCGAGAGGAUUGGAACAUACCGUAUUUUUCAGUUGAAUCUUAAUCUAGUCUAUCUUUUAUUUCUUCGAGGGAAUUGACAUAUUCUAUCUCUUAUUAAAGGAUGGUAUCCGUAGACGUGCAUUCACUAAUUUCCCUUUUUUUUCCAGUUAAUUAGAUUAAGUCUUUCUCUAAAAAAAUAGAUAAAUCGGACUGUUAUAACUCGGUCCCACUAAAUUAACGGUUGUGAAAUUUUAUUUCAUGUGAUAAUUUCCCGAAAAAAAUUAUAUUAAAUCUGGCCGUUAUAACUCGGUCCUAAAAAAUUAACGGCUGUGAAUUUCUAAUUAAUCAGAUAAUUUCUUGGGAGUCUCUAAUUAGUAUAGUAAUAGAUGUCUAUAUUGGGGAAAAUAAGCUACGUAGAAGAAGAAAGAGAAGAAGAGGAUAAGAAAAAGAAGAAGGAGGAGGAGGAGAAGGAGAAGGAGAAGAAGAAGAAAAGAAGAAGGAGAAGAAGAAGGAAAAGAAGGAGGAGAGAAGAAGAAGGAGGGCUCCUUCUCCUUCUUCUCCUUCUUCUUCUUCUCAUCUUCUUCUUCUCUUCUUCUUCUUCUUCCUUCUUUCUAAUUUUCCUCUUUCUUCUCCUCCUGGCCUCUUCUUCAAGCUAAAUUAGCUAAUUAUGCCUUUUUGGAGCUAAUUAUGUCAUUUUGGAGGAUAAUUAGGUAUCUAUAGGUCAUUUAUUAUUAAAUAGGCCAUUAUGAGCUUAUUAUGUCAUUUUGGAGCUAAAUUAGUCAUUUUAAUGAGCUAACCAAGGUUCGUAUGAUGUUUUUACCUAACUAACCUAAUUAUGUCAUUUUGGAGGAUAAUUAGCUAAGUAUGUCUAUGUUGGGGAAAAUAAGCUACAUAGAAGAAGAAAGAGAACUUUCCAGCACAUUGGGAUCCUAAGCUUNNNNNNNNNNNNNNNNNNNNNNNNNNNNNNNNNNNNNNNNNNNNNNNNNNNNNNNNNNNNNNNNNNNNNNNNNNNNNNNNNNNNNNNNNNNNNNNNNNNNAUGAAUUUUCUGAGCUCAAAGUGAGUACAAUAAUUUUAUAUUACUAUUAUUAAAAUUUCACAUAGCGGGAAUUCAUAACCGAAAUUCAUAAAAUUUGAUCUCGAAUGUGUUGGUUUCAAUAAUUUAGUUAUCUAACUUUAGUUUAUAAAAAUAGUAACAUAUUGAUCUUUGCUUUUUUUAAAUAAAUAUCCUUAGAUGCAUCCUAAAAUUAAUUUUCAUAUUGCAUACAUUUAGCACGUAUCAUAGAUGUUCAUAUUUUUCAAUAUAAGUUUAAUCAAACUUUAUAAAGUUNNNNNNNNNNNNNNNNNNNNNNNNNNNNNNNNNNNNNNNNNNNNNNNNNNNNNNNNNNNNNNNNNNNNNNNNNNNNNNNNNNNNNNNNNNNNNNNNNNNNNNNNNNNNNNNNNNNNNNNNNNNNNNNNNNNNNNNNNNNNNNNNNNNNNNNNNNNNNNNNNNNNNNNNNNNNNNNNNNNNNNNNNNNNNNNNNNNNNNNNNNNNNNNNNNNNNNNNNNNNNNNNNNNNNNNNNNNNNNNNNNNNNNNNNNNNNNNNNNNNNNNNNNNNNNNNNNNNNNNNNNNNNNNNNNNNNNNNNNNNNNNNNNNNNNNNNNNNNNNNNNNNNNNNNNNNNNNNNNNNNNNNNNNAAACUUUAUAAAGUUUGACUUUUACAAAUUGUUAUAUGUGGACGUCGACUAAAAAGAAACGGGAGGGGGCGGUACUUGCUUAACAUUUUUGGAAUUUGUUUAACAUUGCUUGACGUUGCCGAGAACAAACAAAAGCAAAUUGGCAUCACUUAGUGAACAUAAUCUCUGUUUAGUCUCUAGACUUAACUAUAGUACUUAUGCAGUAACAACAAUUGUUUUCCCAUUGUACUUGCAGUGAUACCGCCAAGCCUGGUUUGAGGGGGGCUUUUAAAACCUUGGAUGAUACUCAAAAGUUAAAGGUAUGAACUAACUUACUCUCUAAACCUUGCCAUUUACAGGCUUAUCNNNNNNNNNNNNNNNNNNNNNNNNNNNNNNNNNNNNNNNNNNNNNNNNNNNNNNNNNNNNNNNNNNNNNNNNNNNNNNNNNNNNNNNNNNNNNNNNNNNNGAACUCUUCUACCUCUCCGUCUCUCUUGCUGGAUCAAGAAGGCCGAGAUCAUCGUCGAGUUGUACGUGUGCUGAACGCGGAGGUGCCGUCCGUUCGGUACUGGAUCGUGGGACUGAUCGCGGGAUUGUUCGCGGGGCGGAUCGAGGGACGUGAGGACGUUCCACUACAUCAACUGCGUUCUCUAACGCUUCUGCUGUACGAUCUACAAGGGUACGUAGAUCACUCAUCCCCUCUCGUAGAUGGACAUCACCAUGAUAGGUCUUCGUGCGCGUAGGAAAUUUUUUGUUUCCCAUGCGACGUUCCCGAACAUAUCUGUAAGGUACUUUGGCCACUUCUGUUGGCCGUCACACUUUUAAAUCGGUGCGGAUAAACUUGAGCUGCAUCAAGUUAGCUAUCUUUGCGAGAAUUUUGGAAUCCGACUUUUGUUCUUCUGUUGCAAUGUUGAUUCGAGUUUUUGGUUGGUGUUUCUUGGUGAAGGCAAAGGCAAACAGCCGAUGCUGGAUCGCCGGUAAGCUCUCUCCAAGUGUGGCGUGAAGUGCAUACUCGGAGAAGGUUAUUACUUAGGCGAUGCUGGAUCGCAGCUAAGCCCCCGAAUGUGACGUUAAGUGUACACUCGGAGAUAGUUAACACUUAGGCGAUGCUGGAUCGCAGCUAAGCCCCCGAGUGUGACGUUAAGUACACACUCGGAGAGAGUUAAUACUUAGGCGAUGCUGGAUCGCAGCUAAGCCUCCGAGUGUGACGUGAAGUGCACACUCGGAGAGAGUUAAUACUUAGGCGAUGCUGGAUCGCAGCUAAGCCCCCGAGUGUGACGUUAAGUACACACUAGGAGAAAGUUAAUACUUAGGCGAUCCUGGAUCGCACCUAAGUUUUUUUUUGAGACCGGAGUCUGCGACCGCGGAAGAACUUUGAACCUGCAAAAAACUCAAUCUGCUUUAUAUUAUUUCGCCAAUACUUGUUCUUUACAUCGCUUCAGUCGACGGUCACGUGUAGAAGCGCUUCAGGAGGUCUCUGUUCCAUGCGCGCGGCUCGUCUGUCUCCCUCUGAAUGUUGUAGAGUCUGUAUGCUCCGUUGCUCAGCACCUUGGAGAUGAUGAAGGGUCCUUCCCAAGCCGGAGCCAACUUGUGGGGUCUUUGUUGAUCCACUCGGAGCACCAGGUUGCCUGCUUGGAACGUCCGACUUCUGACGUGGCGUGCAUGAAAACGCCGCAGAUUUUGUUGAUAAAUGGUCGAGCGAGUUAACGCCAUCUCGCGCUCCUCUUCCAGAAGAUCCACUCCGUCUUGCCUUCCUUGUUCUGCUUCGGCUUCGGAGAAGAGUUCGACUCGUGGCGCAUUGUGAAGCAAGUCACUCGGAAGGACCGCUUCUGCUCCAUAGACGAGGAAGAACGUUGAUCGCCCUGUAGAUCUGUUCGGGGUUGUUCGAAGUCCCCAAAGCACUGAAGGUAGCUCGGUAACCCAAGCGCCAGCGGCAUGUCCUAUCUCUCGCAGGAGUCGGGGCUUCAAUCCUUGUAGAAUAAGCCCGUUUGCCCGCUCUGCUUGUCCAUUGGACUGUGGAUGUGCUACGGAAGCAAAAUCCACUCGGAUGCCCUGGCUUGUACAGAACCCUUUGAAUCUGUCCGAGUCAAAGUUUGUCCCGUUGUCCGUAAUUAUGCUGUGAGGUAUGCCGAAUCUGAAGAUGAUGUCCCUGACAAACUUGACGGCUCUCGAAGCAUCGAUCUUCUUGAUGGGCUUCGCUUCGAUCCACUUCGUGAACUUGUCGACUGCCACCAACAGAUGUGUGUAUCCACCUUGGUCUGUCUUGAACGGGUCAACUGUAUCUAAUCCCCACACUUCAAACGGCCACACCAGAGGGAUCGUCUUCAACGCGGACGUUGGCUUGUGGGACUUGUUGGAGUAGAACUGGCAGCCCUCACAUCGAUCAACCAUAUCCUUAGCCAUCUCGUUAGCCUGCAGCCAAAAGAAGCCAGCCCUGAAUGCCUUGGCUACGAUUGCUCUCGAAGAAGCGUGAUGACCGCAGGUCCCCGAGUGAAUAUCCUCCAGGAUCAGCUGCCCCUCCCCUGGGGAGAUACAUCGUUGAAGCACGCCUGAGAUACUCUCCUUGUACAAUUGGCCUUCAAUCACAGUGAAUGACUUUGAUCUACGGACAAUCUGCCUGGCUUGGACUUCGUCUUCUAGGAGUUCUUGCCUCAAGAUAUAUGCCAUGAUCGACACAGUCCAAUCGGGAAUGACAGCCAGAAUCUCCAUGACCAGAUCAACCACAGCAGGUACAUCGACUUCAGUCGGAUCUGUUGUGCUCUUGGGUUGUAUCGGUUCUUCUGCGAAAGGAUCUUCUUUAACUGAGGGGAGGUGGAGGUGCUCGAGGCAGACAUCACUCGGUACUGGUCUCCGAGUGGAUCCGAGCUUUGCUAACUCGUCAGCUGCUUGGUUCUUCAGUCUUGGAACAUGGUGGAGUUCUAGACCUUCAAACUUCUUCUCCAGCUUCCUCACUGCAUUGCAGUAUGUAGUCAUGGUGGGGUUCCUGAUGUCCCACUCUUUCAUCACUUGAUUGACCACCAAAUCCGAAUCGCCGUAGACCAUCAAGCGACGGACGCCGAGUGAGAUGGCCAUGCGCAAUCCGUAGAGGAGAGCUUCAUAUUCUGCCUCGUUGUUGGAGGUAUCAAAGUGUAUCUGCAGCACGUACUUGAGCUGGUCGCCCUUUGGUGAUAUGAUCAUAACACCAGCGCCAGAGCCAUUCAACAUCUUAGACCCAUCGAAGAACAUUGUCCAAUGAGCCGAGUAGAUGUGGGUCGGUUGCUGUUGUUCUACCCAUUCUGCUAUAAAGUCAGCCAGGGCUUGAGACUUAAUAGCUUUCUUGGCCUCGAACUUGAUGUCACAGUACAACAUCUCCAUUGCCCACUUCGCCACUCGGCCCGAUGCGUCUCGAUUGUGGAGAAUUUCCGACAACGGAGCAUCAGAAACGACAGAUACCGAGUGAUCUUGGAAAUAAUGAGCCACCUUCUUCGCAGUCAUAUAAAUCCCAUAGAUAAGUUUUUGAUAAUGGGGAUANNNNNNNNNNNNNNNNNNNNNNNNNNNNNNNNNNNNNNNNNNNNNNNNNNNNNNNNNNNNNNNNNNNNNNNNNNNNNNNNNNNNNNNNNNNNNNNNNNNNACUGAUAGAAACAAGCAAGCAAGGAAGAAAAUUGAAGAGGAGCAAGCAAGCAAGUACUGUUGAUACCAACCCUAGUAGCUUCUUCUCCAAGUGCUACUGAUACAAGCAAGUAUUGCUGAUGGAAACUCUAAUUAACCAUGUAUGCUAGCAAGCAAGCAAGCCAUAGUAGUCAAGCAACAUGAACAUGAACCCUAACCCCAUGAANNNNNNNNNNNNNNNNNNNNNNNNNNNNNNNNNNNNNNNNNNNNNNNNNNNNNNNNNNNNNNNNNNNNNNNNNNNNNNNNNNNNNNNNNNNNNNNNNNNNNNNNNNNNNNNNNNNNNNNNNNNNNNNNNNNNNNNNNNNNNNNNNNNNNNNNNNNNNNNNNNNNNNNNNNNNNNNNNNNNNNNNNNNNNNNNNNNNNNNNNNNNNNNNNNNNNNNNNNNNNNNNNNNNNNNNNNNNNNNNNNNNNNNNNNNNNNNNNNNNNNNNNNNNNNNNNNNNNNNNNNNNNNNNNNNNNNNNNNNNNNNNNNNNNNNNNNNNNNNNNNNNNNNNNNNNNNNNNNNNNNNNNNNNNNAACCCUAACCCCAUGAAGCAGACUACCAGAGGGGGAUAGAACGAACCACUAGGAAUAAAUCCCAUGAACAUGAACAAGAACCUCCAGGAUCUCCUAGAUUGACUGAAUCCUAACCCUAGAUCGACCAGGUGGGGGAUGUACCCCCAUUUGCUACCCAUCACAAAUGCAGGACCCCAUGAUCCAGCCCCAUUGAUCCAACCCCAUGACAACCACAACCCUAACCCCAUGAANNNNNNNNNNNNNNNNNNNNNNNNNNNNNNNNNNNNNNNNNNNNNNNNNNNNNNNNNNNNNNNNNNNNNNNNNNNNNNNNNNNNNNNNNNNNNNNNNNNNNNNNNNNNNNNNNNNNNNNNNNNNNNNNNNNNNNNNNNNNNNNNNNNNNNNNNNNNNNNNNNNNNNNNNNNNNNNNNNNNNNNNNNNNNNNNNNNNNNNNNNNNNNNNNNNNNNNNNNNNNNNNNNNNNNNNNNNNNNNNNNNNNNNNNNNNNNNNNNNNNNNNNNNNNNNNNNNNNNNNNNNNNNNNNNNNNNNNNNNNNNNNNNNNNNNNNNNNNNNNNNNNNNNNNNNNNNNNNNNNNNNNNNNNNNNNNNNNNNNNNNNNNNNNNNNNNNNNNNNNNNNNNNNNNNNNNNNNNNNNNNNNNNNNNNNNNNNNNNNNNNNNNNNNNNNNNNNNNNNNNNNNNNNNNNNNNNNNNNNNNNNNNNNNNNNNNNNNNNNNNNNNNNNNNNNNNNNNNNNNNNNNNNNNNNNNNNNNNNNNNNNNNNNNNNNNNNNNNNNNNNNNNNNNNNNNNNNNNNNNNNNNNNNNNNNNNNNNNNNNNNNNUAUACGAACACCUAUUCACAUAUGAUGACAUAAUGGAAAGGUUUCCCUUUUUUGAUUUUUUUGAAUUUUUCAUGACCGUUUCAAAACGCGGUCGAAACGGCGGGAAUGACCGUUUCUACCUAGUGUUUGAAUGUUGAAAACCUUUUGGUGUUUCUAUGAUUAAAUAGAUACUUGUGUACCUACAAAUGAUUUUUGGAAAAAAUAAAGACCAAACUAUAAGGCAGCCGUAGUUCAAAUUUGACCCACUUCCAUCUGAUUCGACAUAUAUUUGUCUUUUUCACGAGAGAUGGAUAAAAGCUUUUGACACCCAACAAUUUUGUGGAUUGUACAUUAAAUAUGGCCUAGUAUGUUAGAAAAAUGAUUUAGACUAAUUUUGAAACAAAUAUAUGGUAGGUCCUUCACAAAAAAACUCAUUUCGGGCACUUGAAAAAUGAAAAAUGAAUUUUUCAUACAAGGAACAUGAAAACUUCCUUAAUCAACAUAGUUUGUCACUCCAACAUGCGCCAUUAUGCAAAAUUUGAGACCAUUUCAACAAACUAUGCCAUGAAUAUGGCCAUGAGAUUGAUCAUGUGGCUUGAAAGACAUGAAUCUUCACACAUGAUAGCUCAUUUCUGUGAACACUUUUUAAAAUAAUUGUCGUAUUACAAGUUUAUUAUUUUACAUGGUAACUUUAUCACAUAUGAUGACAUAAUGCAAAGGUUUCCCAUUUUUUUUGAUUUUUUUUGAAUUUUUCAUGGCCGUUUCAAAAUGCGGUCGAAACGGCGGGCAUGACCGUUCCUACCUAGUGGUUGAAUCUUGGAAACCUUUUGGUGUUUCUAUGAUUAAACAGAUACGUGUGUACCUAAAAAUAAUUUUUGGAAAAAUUAAAGAGCAAAUUAUAAGGUAGCCACAGUUCAAAUUUGAUCCGUUUCCACCUGAUUCGACAUAGAUUUGUCUUUUUCACGAGAGAUGGAUAAAAGGUUUUGACACCCAACCAUUUUGUCAAUUGUACAUUAAAUAUAGCCUAGUAUGUUAGAAAAAUGAUUUGGAACAAUUUUAAAACAAAUAUAUGGUAGGUCCUUCACAAAAAAACUCAUUUCGGGCACUUGAAAAAUGAAAAAUGAAUUUUUCAUAUAAGGAAGAUGAAAACUUCCUUAAUCAUCAUUGUUUGUCACUCCAACAUGCACCAUUAUGCAAAAUAUGAGACUAUUUCAACAAACUAUGCCAUGAAUAUGGCCAUGAGAUUGAUCAUGUGGCUUGAAAGCCAUGAAUCUUCACACAUGAUAGCUCAUUUGUGUGAACACUUUUUCAAAAUAAUUGUCGUAUUACAAGUUUAUUAUUUUACAUUGUAAAUUUAUCACAUAUGAUGACAUAAUGAAAGUUUCCCAUUUUUUUGAUUUGUUUUGAAUUUUUCAUGGCCUUUUCAAAAUGCGGUCGAAACGGCGGGCAUGACCGUUCCUACCUAGUGGUUGAAUGUAGGAAACAUUUUGGUGUUUCUAUGAUUAAAUAGAUACUUGUGUACCUAGAAAUGAUUUUUGGAAAAAAUAAAGAGCAAACUAUAAGUCAGCCGCAGUUCAAAUUUGACCCGCUUCCACCUAAUUCGACAUAGAUUUGUCUUUUUCACGAGAGAUGGAUAAAAGCUUUUGACACCCAACCAUAUUGUUAAUUGUACAUUAAAUAUGGCCUAGUAUGUUAUAAAAAUGAUUUGGACCAAUUUUAAAACAAAUAUAUGGUAGGUCCUUCACAAAAAAACUCAUUUCGGCCACUUGAAAAAUGAAAAAUGAAUUUUUCAUACAAGGAAGAUGAAAACUUCCUUAAUCAACAUUGUUUGUCACUCCAACAUGCGCCAUUAUGCAAAAUUUGAGACCAUUUCAACAAACUAUGCCAUGAAUUUGUCCAUGAGAUUGAUCAUGUGGCUUGAAAGACAUGAAUCUUCACACAUGAUAGCUCAUUUCUGUGAACACUUUUUAAAAUAAUUGUCGUAUUACAAGUUUAUUAUUUUACAUGGUAACUUUAUCACAUAUGAUGACAUAAUGCAAAGGUUUCCCAUUUUGUUUUAUUAUUUUGAAUUUUUCAUGGUCGUUUCAAAAUGGGGUCGAAACGGCGGGCAUGACCGUUCCUACCUAGUGGUUGAAUCUUGGAAAUCUUUUGGUGUUUCUAUGAUUAAAUAGAUACUUGUGUACCUAGAAAUGUUUUUUGGAAAAAUUAAAGAGCAAACUAUAAGGCAGCCUCAGUUCAAAUUUGACCCACUUCCACCUAAUUCGACAUAGAUUUGUCUUUUUCACGAGAGAUGGAUAAAAGCUUUUGAAACCCAACCAUUUUGUCAAUUGUACAUUAAAUAUAGCCUAAUAUGUUAGAAAAAUGAUUUGGACCAAUUUUAAAACAAAUAUAUGGUAGGUCCUUCAAAGAAAAACUCAUUUCGGGGACUUGAAAAAUGAAAAAUUAAUUUUUCAUAUAAGGAAGAUGAAAACUUCCUUAAUCAACAUUGUUUGUCACUCCAACAUGCACCAUUAUGCAAAAUAUGAGACCAUUUCAACAAACUAUGCCAUGAAUAUGUCCAUGAGAUUGAUCAUGUGGCUUGAAAGCCAUGAAUCUUCACACAUGAUAGCUCAUUUGUGUGAACACUUUUUAAAAAUAAUUAUCGUAUUACAAGUUUAUUAUUUUACAUGGUAACUUCAUCACAUAUGAUGACAUAAUGGAAAGGUUUACCAUUUUUUUGAUUUGUUUUGAAUUUUUCAUGGUUUUUUCAAAAUGCGGUCGAAACGGCGGGCAUGACCGUUCCUACCUAGUGGUUGAACCUAGGAAACAUUUUGGUGUUUCUAUGAUUAAAUAGAUACUUGUGUACCUAGAAAUGAUUUUUGGAAAAAAUAAAGAGCAAACUAUAAGGCAGCCGCAGUUCAAAUUUGACCCNNNNNNNNNNNNNNNNNNNNNNNNNNNNNNNNNNNNNNNNNNNNNNNNNNNNNNNNNNNNNNNNNNNNNNNNNNNNNNNNNNNNNNNNNNNNNNNNNNNNGAAGAAGAAGAAGAAGAGAAGAAGAAGAGAAGGAGAAGGAGAAGGAGGAGCCUUCUUCUCCUUCUUGUUCUCCUUCUUCUCCUCCUCCUUCUUUUCAUUUCUCCUCUUCUCCUCUUCUUGGAGCCAAAUUAUCUAAGUAUGUAUUUUUGGAGUUAAAUGGCCUAAUUAUCUCAUUUUAAGGGAAAACAAGGUAAGUAUAUAAUAUUCAUGAGCUAACCAAGGUUCUUAUGCCAUUAUGACCUUAUUAUGUCAUUUUGGAGCUAAAUUAGUCAUUUUAAUGAGCUAACCAAGGUUCUUAUGAUGUUUUUACCUAAGUAAGCUAAUUAAGGGAAAAUAAGCUACGUAGAAGAAGGAAGAGAAGAAGAGGAGAAGAUAAAGAAGAAGGAGGAGGAGGUGGAGGAGAAGGAGAAGGAGAAGGAAGAGGAGAAGAAGAAGAAAAGAAGAAGGAGAAGAAGAAGGAAAAGGAGGAGAGAAGAAGAAGGAGGGUUCCUUCUCCUUCUUCUUCUUCUNNNNNNNNNNCUUCCUUCUUUUCAUUUUUCCUCUUNNNNNNNNNNNNNNNNNNNNNNNNNNNNNNNNNNNNNNNNNNNNNNNNNNNNNNNNNNNNNNNNNNNNNNNNNNNNNNNNNNNNNNNNNNNNNNNNNNNNUACUCGAAUCACCUUUUGUAAACGGUGUUGAAUAUCUAAUUAAUAUGUCGAGGCACCUCUUAUUAAGUGAAACGUGCCUGUUGACGUGCUUAUUAGCAAAAAUAUACAACAUGACAGUAAGUGGGCACGUCAAAUUCAGAUUCAAAAGCAAAGCUACUCGUACAAAUGAAAAUGGAAUAGAUUGCAACAUGUGACUGUCGGGACUAGUAAAUUAAGCUGCAGCGUCCUUACUCACCACGAAAUCUGUCUAAAACUUUCACAGGAUUCCAUAGGCUGAGCUUUUUUUGUUGAUUGGUUGGAAGAGCUUAUCAUGCUUGCCUCGUGAUGCAUAACAGGUAAGCUUUCCCUGAUGCUUUGGCGCUCGAAUCCCGUUUCCCUCGCCAUUUUGUUUCUUAAAAAGAAAGUAAAUGGACCGUUACAAAAGAAAUAAAUGGGCCAUCUAGGGGGGGNNNNNNNNNNNNNNNNNNNNNNNNNNNNNNNNNNNNNNNNNNNNNNNNNNNNNNNNNNNNNNNNNNNNNNNNNNNNNNNNNNNNNNNNNNNNNNNNNNNNNNNNNNNNNNNNNNNNNNNNNNNNNNNNNNNNNNNNNNNNNNNNNNNNNNNNNNNNNNNNNNNNNNNNNNNNNNNNNNNNNNNNNNNNNNNNNNNNNNNNNNNNNNNNNNNNNNNNNNNNNNNNNNNNNNNNNNNNNNNNNNNNNNNNNNNNNNNNNNNNNNNNNNNNNNNNNNNNNNNNNNNNNNNNNNNNNNNNNNNNNNNNNNNNNNNNNNNNNNNNNNNNNNNNNNNNNNNNNNNNNNNNNNNGGGGGGGGUAAUAUAAGUAUGCGUAUAAUUUAUCAAAGGCCCAUAUUGCCGUUCAUACUUUAUACGUUUAGUGGGAGUGUAUCAAAGAGGGUGUCAAUAUAACAUAAUAACUAGACAUGAGUGCAAAAGCUCACAAGCACAAGUUUAACCAUCCACUUGACCAAGAACACAAACAUAAUAACNNNNNNNNNNNNNNNNNNNNNNNNNNNNNNNNNNNNNNNNNNNNNNNNNNNNNNNNNNNNNNNNNNNNNNNNNNNNNNNNNNNNNNNNNNNNNNNNNNNNCUUCUUCCUUCUUUUCACUUUCCUCUUUCUUCUCCUCUUGUCCUCUUCUUCGAGCUUAAUUAGCUAAUUAUGCCUUUUUGNAGCUAAUUAUGUCAUUUUGGAGGAUAAUUAGGUAAGUAUAGGUCAUUUUUUAUUAAAUAGGCCAUUAUGAGCUUAUUAUGUCAUUUUGGAGCUAAAUUAGUCAUUUUAAUGAGCUAACCAAGGUUCUUAUGAUGUUUUUACCUAACUAAGCUAAUUAUGUCAUUUUGGAGGAUAAUUAGCUAAGUAUCUCUAUGUUGGGGAAAAUAAGCUACGUAGAAGAAGAAAGAGAAGAAGAGGAGAAGAAAAAGAAGGAGGAGGAGGACGAGGAGAAGGUGAUGGAGAAGAAGAAGAAAAUAAGAAGGAGAAGAAGAAGGAAAAGAAGGAGGAGAGAAGAAGAAGGAGGGCUCCUUCUCCUUCUUCUUCUCUUCUUCUUCUUCUUCCUUCUUUUCACUUUCCUCUUUCUUCUCCUCUUGUCCUCUUCUUCGAGCUUAAUUAGCUAAUUAUGCCUUUUUGNAGCUAAUUAUGUCAUUUUGGAGGAUAAUUAGGUAAGUAUAGGUCAUUUUUUAUUAAAUNNNNNNNNNNNNNNNNNNNNNNNNNNNNNNNNNNNNNNNNNNNNNNNNNNNNNNNNNNNNNNNNNNNNNNNNNNNNNNNNNNNNNNNNNNNNNNNNNNNNCAGAUUCCAACAAAUGGCUAGAAGCCAUGAAAUCCGAGAUAGGAUCCAUGUAUGAGAACAAAGUGUGGACUUUGGAGAUACUACCUGAGGGCCGCAAGGCUAUUCAGAAUAAAUGGAUCUUUAAGAAGAAGACGGACGCUGACGGUAAUGUGACCGUUUAUAAAGCUCGACUUGUGGCAAAGGGUUUUUCACAAGUUCCAGGAGUUGACUACGAUGAGACUUUCUCACCCGUGGCGAUGCUUAAGUCCGUCAGAAUCAUGUUAGCAAUAGCUGCAUUUUUCGAUUAUGAAAUCUGGCAGAUGGAUGUCAAAACGGCGUUCCUUAACGGUUUCCUUAAGGAAGAGUUGUAUAUGAUGCAACCCGAAGGUUUUGUCGAUCCUAAGAAUGCUAACAAGGUAUGCAAGCUCCAGCGAUCCAUUUAUGGACUGGUGCAAGCAUCUCGGAGUUGGAACAAACGGUUUGAUGAGGUGAUCAAGGCAUUUGGGUUUAUACAAGUGGUUGGAGAAUCUUGUAUUUACAAGAAAGUGAGUGGGAGCUCUGUGGCGUUUCUAAUAUUAUAUGUGGAUGACAUAUUGCUGAUUGGAAACAACGUAGAGUUUUUGGAGAGCAUAAAGGAUUACUUGAAUAAAAGUUUCUCUAUGAAGGACCUAGGAGAAGCUGCUUACAUUCUAGGCAUUAAGAUCUACAGGGAUAGAUCAAAACGCCUGAUAAGAAUUUCACAAAGCACAUACCUUGAUAAAGUUUUGAAGAGGUUCAAAAUGGAACAGUCCAAGAAAGGGUUCUUGCCAGUUUUACAAGGUACGAGAUUGAGUAAGACUCAGUGCCCAGCAACUGAUGAAGAUUGAGAGCAUAUGCGCUCCGUCCCCUAUGCUUGAGCCAUAGGUUCUAUCAUGUAUGCGAUGCUGUGCACUAGACCGGAUGUUAGCCUGGCCAUAAGUAUGGCAGGUAGGUUCCAGAGUAAUCCAGGAGUGGAUCACUGGACAGCGGUCAAGAAUAUCCUGAAGUACCUGAAAAGGACUAAGGAGAUGUUUCUCGUGUAUGGAGGUGACGAAGAGCUCGCCAUAAAAGGUUACGUCNNNNNNNNNNNNNNNNNNNNNNNNNNNNNNNNNNNNNNNNNNNNNNNNNNNNNNNNNNNNNNNNNNNNNNNNNNNNNNNNNNNNNNNNNNNNNNNNNNNNAAGAGGAAAAAUGAAAAGAAGGAAGAAGAAGAAGAAGAGAAGAAGAAGAGAAGAAGAAUGAGAAGGAGAAGAAGGAGAAGGAGCCCUCCUUCUCCUUCUCUCAUCAUUCUUUUCCUUCUUCUUCUCCUUAUUCUUUUCUUCUUCUUCUCCUUCUCCUUCUCCUCCUCCUCCUCCUUCUUCUUCUUUUUCUUCUCCUUUCCUUCUCUUUCUUCUUCUACGUAGCUUAUUUUCCCGAACAUAGACAUACUUAGCUAAUUAUCCUCCAAAAUGACAUAAUUAGCUNNNNNNNNNNNNNNNNNNNNNNNNNNNNNNNNNNNNNNNNNNNNNNNNNNNNNNNNNNNNNNNNNUACUAAUUUAGCUUCAAAAUGACAUAAUAAGCUCAUAAUGGCCUAUUUAAUAAAAAAAUGACCUAUACAUACCUAAUUAUCCUCGAAAAUGACAUAAUUAGCUCCAAAAAGGCAUUAUUAACUAAUUUAGCUCGAAGAAGAGGACAAGAGGAGAAGAAAGAGGAAAAAUGAAAAGAAGGAAGAAGAAGAAGAAGAGAAGAAGAAGAGAAGAAGAAGAGAAGAAGAAGGAGAAGGAGAAUAAGGAGAAGGAGCCCUCCUUCUUCUCUCAUCCUUAUUUUCCUUCUUCUUCUCCUUCUUCUUUUCUUCUUCUUCUCCUUCUCCUUCUCCUCCUCCUCCUCAUCCUUCUUCUUUUUCUUCUCCUCUUCUUCUCUUUCUUCUUCUAUGUAGCUNNNNNNNNNNNNNNNNNNNNNNNNNNNNNNNNNNNNNNNNNNNNNNNNNNNNNNNNNNNNNNNNNNNNNNNNNNNNNNNNNNNNNNNNNNNNNNNNNNNNNNNNNNNNNNNNNNNNNNNNNNNNNNNNNNNNNNNNNNNNNNNNNNNNNNNNNNNNNNNNNNNNACUUAGUUAGGUAAAAACUUCAUAAGAACCUGGGUUAGCUCAUUAAAAUGACUAAUUUGCUCCAAAAUAACAUAAUAAGCUCAUAAUAUCCUAUUUAAUAAAAAAUGACCUAUACUUACCUAAUUAUCCUCCAAAAUGACAUAAUUAGCUCCAAAAAGGCAUAAUUAGCUAAUUUAGCUCGCAGAAGACGACUAGAGGAGAAGAAAGACGAAAAAUUAAAUGAAGGAAGAAGAAGAAGAAGAGAAGAAGAAGGAGAAGGAGAAGAAGGAGAAGGAGCCCUCCUUCUUCUUCUCUCCUCCUUCUUGUCCUUCUUAUUCUCCUACUUUUUCUUCUUCUUCUCCUCUUCCUUCUCCUUCUCCUUCUCCUCCUCCUCCUUCCUUUUCUUCUCCUCUUCUUCUCUUUCUUCUUCUAUGUAGCUUAUUUUCCNNNNNNNNNNNNNNNNNNNNNNNNNNNNNNNNNNNNNNNNNNNNNNNNNNNNNNNNNNNNNNNNNNNNNNNNNNNNNNNNNNNNNNNNNNNNNNNNNNNNAGAGUUCUCCGGCAGCGUGACGGCCCUCUGGAGGUUGGUGAUGACCUUGUCUCAGCAGGGCUCCGCCCGAGCUCCACAGAAACGCGAUCUAGAGGAAAAACGGUGGAGGUAUGUGGUCGGGCUGCCGUGGAAAAAUCAUCUCAAAUCAGCCCCAAUACCUCCGUAUAUGUAGGUGGGAGGGAGGGGACCUUGCCUUGGGGUUCAAGGAGCCCCAAGGGGGUCGGCCGAGUCCAAGGGGGGGAAAGCUCCCCCCCCCCCNNNNNNNNNNNNNNNNNNNNNNNNNNNNNNNNNNNNNNNNNNNNUUCCCUUCCUUCCCACCUCCCUUUUUUUUCUCUUUGAUUUUCCUUUGUAUGGCGCAUAGGGCCCUUUUGGGCUGUCCCACCAGCCCACUAAGGGCUGGUGCGCCACCCUUAUGGCCUAUGGGCUUCCCCGGGGUGGGUUACCCCCCCGGUGAACUCCCGGAACCCAUUCGUCAUUCCCGGUACAUUCCCGGUAACUCCGAAAACCUUCCGGUAAUCAAAUGAGGUCAUCCUAUAUAUCAAUCUUCGUUUCCGGACCACUCCAGAAACCCUCGUGACGUCCGUGAUCUCAUCCGGGACUCCGAACAACAUUCGGUAACCAACCAUAUAACUCAUAUACGCAUAAAACAACGUCGAACCUUAAGUGUGCAGACCCUGCGGGUUCGAGAACUAUGUAGACAUGACCCGAGAGACUCCUCGGUCAAUAUCCAAUAGCAGGACCUGGAUGCCCAUAUUGAAUCCUACAUAUUCUACGAAGAUCUUAUCGUUUGAACCUCAGUCCCAAGGAUUCGUAUAAUCCCGUAUGUCAUUCCCUUUGUCCUUCGGUAUGUUACUUGCCCGAGAUUCGANNNNNNNNNNGAUCCUACAUAUUCUACGAAGAUCUUAUCGUUUGAACCUCAGUGCCAAGGAUUCAUAUAAUCCCGUCUGUCAUUCCCUUUGUCCUUCGGUAUGUUACUUGCCCGAGAUUCGAUCGUCAGUAUCCGUGUACCUAUUUCAAUCUCGUUUACCGGCAAGUCUCUUUACUCGUUCCGUAACACAAGAUACCGCAACUUACACUAAGUUGCAUUGCUUGCAAGGCUUGUGUGUGAUGUUGUAUUACCGAGUGGGCCCCGAGAUACCUCUCCGUCAUACGGAGUGACAAAUCCCAGUCUUGAUCCAUACUAACUCAACUAACACCUUCGGAGAUACCUGUAGAGCAUCUUUAUAGUCACCCAGUUACGUUGCAGCGUUUGAUACACACAAAGCAUUCCUCCGGUGUCAGUGAGUUAUAUGAUCUCAUGGUCAUAGGAAUAAAUACUUGACACGCAGAAANNNNNNNNNNNNNNNNNNNNNNNNNNNNNNNNNNNNNNNNNNNNNNNNNNNNNNNNNNNNNNNNNNNNNNNNNNNNNNNNNNNNNNNNNNNNNNNNNNNNCCAGCCACGUGCGCCGCCGCCCCCUCCCACGUGCUCCCUCCGACCGCCGCCCUCCUCCCACCUCCCUCCCGGCCACCGCCCCAGCCACCUGCGCUGCCACCCCCUCCCAGCUGCUCCCUUCAGCCGUCGCCCCCUCCCACCUGCCUCCUCCAGCCAUCGCCCCCUCCCACCUGCUCCCUCCGGCCGCCUCCCUCCUCUCACCUCCCUCUCGGCCGCCGCCCUAACCACACCUCCAUCCCCGCCGCCGCCCCCUCCCACCUGCUCCCUCCGGCCGCCGCCCACCUCCCACCUCCCUCCCGGCCACCGCCCUCCUCCCACCCCCUCCCGGCCACCGCACCCUCCCACCUGCUCCCUCCGGCCGCCGCCCUCCUUCGCACCAUGUCGCCCCCGCACCCCGGCGUCUUCCGGUAUGUGUUUUUCGAAUUUUCCAAUGUUAUCCAUGGAUAGCCCGAGUAUGUGUAGAUUGGGUUCGUUUUCCCGUAUGAUGUGCUCCUGAUCAGAUGCGGAAUUUUGUCAGUGCCUCACUAUUGUUCUUCGGGUACACAUUCUCUCUGCUUAUUGCCGAGACGUGUAUCAGGAGAACAACGGGGAGGUGCUGCCGAAAUUCCACGUCGGAUCUGGAGCAGAGCAUGGGAAAACGAACCCAAUCUACACAUACUCGGGUGGGAUUAGGACCUAUCUUUACGUAUUAUUGUGUAGGUUGCAUGGACGUAAUAAAACUGACAAACUUGAUUAGCGGAUGAAUAUAGAUGGCGAAUUAUAUAUUUAUUUCUUGUGUGCCCAUAGGUAGCUAGGCAAGAUGAAUGAUCGUGCUUGGAUGUACACUGGUUACCCUAGUCAGAAAGACAUGACCCAAGAAUGGUUAACAAAAACCAGGGGGUUUGUGAGAGCCGCAUUUGCAUAUGGCGAGCAAAAAACAUGGUGCCCCUGUCCCAACUGCGACAACUGGAAAAAGCAGACAGAGAUGCAAAUGGGUAAACACCUGCAGAAAUGGGGUUUUACGCCUAAUUAUAUGGUGUGGGCUUUUCAUGGUGAGUCUGACCACCGUGCCACAGCUGAGAUGAUUCAUCGUCGCACCAACGAGCAUGGUACCGGGAUCGAAGACAUGGUGCAAGACUUUGAUGAUGCUCGGGAUUCGGAUGAUGAGAUGGAGGAAUCUGCAAAGGCCUUCUAUGAAAUGUUGGAGUCUUCAAAACGUCCUCUCCACGAGCAGACAGAGCUUUAUCAGCUGGAUGCCAUCGUACAAGUAAUCGCUCUGAAGGCUCAAUUCAACCUGGGCACAAAAUGCUACGACGCGGUGAUGACGGUAUUUGGACGCUUUCUACCCAAAGGCCAUGUACUGCCUGCAAACAUGUACCAGUCAGAGAAAAUCCUCCGUGUACUUAAGAUGCCCUAUGAGAAUAUACAUGCCUGUGAGACUGGAUGUGCCUUAUUUAGGCUUGAGUAUGCGGCCUUGAACUAUUACCCAUUUGCAAUUCUUCCAGGUAUAUUGUGGUAGACAACGGUAUGGGUGAGAAGAAUCAGACCAGAAUCCCCAUUAGUGUUCUUCAGUUUAUGCCUAUCGUACCAAGACUUCAACGUCUUUUCAUGGUCGAAGAGACGGCCAGACAGAUGACAUGGCACAAAUUGGGCAAAAGAACCGAACUAGAUGCGGAUGGGAACAAGAUGCUGGUACACACUUCGGAUGGUUUUGCAUGGAAGCACUUCGAUUCAUUACACAAGGAUAAAUCAGAAGAUCCAAGGCAUCCUAUAGUUUCCAUCAGCACGGAUGGGUUCAAUGUGUAUGGUAUGACGGCAGCACAAUACAAUUGUUGGCCUGUAUUUGUCAUUCCACUCAAUUUCCCACCUGGAGAGAUUAUGAAAAGAAAGAACAUAUUCCUGACCUUAAUAAUUCCAGGGCCCAACUAUCCGGGUAAGAAUAUGAAUGUGUACAUGCAGCCGCUUAAGGGAGAGUUGCAAAAAGCCUGGGAUAAUGGGAUCAAGACCUACGAUGCCGCUACCAAAACAAAUUUCAAAAUGCAUGUGUGGUACAUGUACUCGACGCAUGAUUAUUCGGUGUUUGUGCUAUUCGCUGGCUUGUGUGUGCAUGGAAGGUUCCCGUGCACCACAUGCAAGGCAACUCUUCAGUUCCGUUGUCUGCAGGCUAGUCGCAAGUUUUCUUGCUUCGACAUGCAUAGACAAUUCCUAGAUCCUUACCAUAAGUUUAGAAAAGACAAGAAGAAUUUCGUAAAAGGUAGAGUUGUCAAAAACACUGCAGCAGCUGCGUUGACAGGCCAACAGACCCUUGAUCAGUUAAACGCUCUCGAGCCUAAUCCUUUGCGUCUAGGAUACUUCAAAGGGUAUAAUACGGAACACGCGUGGACUCACAAGUCAUGCUUAUGGGAUCUGCCUUGUUGGAAUUAUGCCCUAGAGGCAAUAAUAAAUAUAGUUAUUAUUAUAAUUCCUGUAUCAAGAUAAUCGUUUAUUAUCCAUGCUAUAAUUGUAUUGAAUGAAGACUCACUUACAUGUGUGGAUAUAUAGACAAAACACCGUCCCUAGCAAGUCUCUAGUUGGCUAGCCAGUUGAUCAAAGAUAGUCAGUGUCUUCUGAUUAUGAACAAGGUGUUGUUGCUUGAUAACNNNNNNNNNNAUUUUCUUCUUCUUCUCCAUCACCUUCUCCUCGUCCUCCUCCUCCUUCUUUUUCUUCUCCUCUUCUUCUCUUUCUUCUUCUACGUAGCUUAUUUUCCCCAACAUAGAGAUACUUAGCUAAUUAUCCUCCAAAAUGACAUAAUUAGCUUAGUUAGGUAAAAACAUCAUAAGAACCUUGGUUAGCUCAUUAAACUGACUAAUUUAGCUCGAAAAUGACAUAAUAAGCUCAUAAUGGCCUAUUUAAUAAUAAAUGACCUAUAGAUACCUAAUUAUCCUCCAAAAUGACAUAAUUAGCUCCUAAAAGGCAUAAUUAGCUAAUUAAGCUCGAAGAAGAGGACAAGAGGAGAAGAAAGAGGAAAGUGAAAAGAAGGAAGAAGAAGAAGAAGAGAAGAAGAAGGAGAAGGAGCCNNNNNNNNNNNNNNNNNNNNNNNNNNNNNNNNNNNNNNNNNNNNNNNNNNNNNNNNNNNNNNNNNNNNNNNNNNNNNNNNNNNNNNNNNNNNNNNNNNNNAAAAUGAAAAGAAGGAAGAAGAACAAGAAGAGAAGAAGAAUAGAAGAAGAAGGAGAAGGAGCCCUCCUUCUUCUUCCCUCCUCCUUCUUUUCCUUCUUAUUCUCCUUCUUCUUUUCUUCUUCUUCUCCUCUUCCUUCUCCUUCUCCGUCUCCUCGUCCUCUCCUCCUUCUUCUUUUUCUUCUCCUCUUCUUCUCUUUCUUCUUCUACGUAGCUUAUUUUCCCCAACAUAGACAUACUUAGCUAAUUAUCCUCCAAAAUGACAUAAUUAGCUUAGUUAGGUAAAAACAUCAUAAGAACCUUGGUUAGCUCAUUAAACUGACGAAUUUAGCUCCAAAAUGACAUAAUAAGGUCAUAAUGUCCUAUUUAAUAAAAAAUGACCUAUACUUACCUAAUUAUCCUCCAAAAUGACAUAAUUAGCUCCAAAAAGGCAUAAUUAGCUAAUUUAGCUCGCAGAAGACGACUAGAGGAGAAGAAAGAGGAAAAAUGAAAAGAAGGAAGAACAAGAAGAAGAGAAGAAGAAGAGAAUAAGAAGGAGAAGGAGCCCUCCUUCUUCUUCUCUCCUCCUUCUUUUCCUUCUUCUUCUCCUUCUUCUUUUCUUCUUCUUCUCCUUCUCCUUCUCCUCCUCCUCAUCCUUCUUCUUCUUUUUUAUUCUCCUCUUCUUCUCUUUCUUCUUCUACGUAGCUUAUUUUCCCCAACAAAGACAUACUUAGCUAAUUAUCCUCCAAAAUUACAUAAUUAGCUUAGUUAGGUAAAAACAUCAUAAGAACCUUGGUUAGCNNNNNNNNNNNNNNNNNNNNNNNNNNNNNNNNNNNNNNNNNNNNNNNNNNNNNNNNNNNNNNNNNNNNNNNNNNNNNNNNNNNNNNNNNNNNNNNNNNNNGGGUUUCCGGAAUGGUCCGGAAACGAAGAUUGAUAUAUAGGAUGACCUCAUUUGAUUACCNNNNNNNNNNGUUGAUCGUGUCAUUUUGUUGCUACUGUUUUCUGCGUGUCAAGUAUUUAUUCCUAUGACCAUGAGAUCAUAUAACUAACUGACACCGGAGGAAUGCUUUGUGUGUAUCAAACGCCGCAACGUAACUGGGUGACUAUAAAGAUGUUCUACAGGUAUCUCCGAAGGUGUUAGUUGAGUUAGUAUGGAUCAAGACNNNNNNNNNNGGUGGCGCACCAGCCCUUAGUGGGCUGGUGGGACAGCCCUAUGCGCCAUAGGAAGAAAAUCAAAGAGAAAAAAAAGAGGAGGUGGGAAAAAGGGGAAGGACUCCUCCUUCCAAACCUAGUUGGAUUCGGUUUGGAAGGGGAGGACUCCCCCCCCCCCCCNNNNNNNNNNNNNNNNNNNNNNNNNNNNNNNNNNNNNNNNNNNNNNNNNNNNNNNNNNNNNNNNNNNNNNNNNNNNNNNNNNNNNNNNNNNNNNNNNNNNNNNNNNNNNNNNNNNNNNNNNNNNNNNNNNNNNNNNNNNNNNNUUGGGCGUCCUUGGACCCCAAGGCAAGGCUCCCCCUCUUCUCCCUAUAUAUACGGAGGUUCUAGGACUGAUUUGAGACAACUUUGCCACGGCAGCCCGACCACAUAUCUCCACGGUUUAUCUCUAGAUCGCGUUUCUACGGAGCUCGGGCGGAGCCCUGCUGAGAUAAGAUCACCACCAACCUCCGGAGCGUCGUCACGCUGCCAGAGAACUCAUCUACCUCUCCGUCUCUCUUGCUGGAUCAAGAAGGCCGAGAUCAUCGUNNNNNNNNNNUUAGAUCACCACCAACCUCCGGAGCGCUGUCACGCUGCCGGAGAACUCAUCUACCUCUCUGUCUCUCUUGCUGGAUCAANNNNNNNNNNNNNNNNNNNNNNNNNNNNNNNNNNNNNNNNNNNNNNNNNNNNNNNNNNNNNNNNNNNNNNNNNNNNNNNNNNNNNNNNNNNNNNNNNNNNCGGUACUAGAUCGUGGGACUGAUCGCGGGAUUGUUCGCGGGGCGGAUCGAGGGACGUGAGGACGUUCCACUACAUCAACUGCGUUCUCUAACGCUUCUGCUGUACGAUCUACAAGGGUACGUAGAUCACUCAUCCCCUCUCGUAGAUGGACAUCACCAUGAUAGGUCUUCGUGCGCGUAGGAAUUUUUUUGUUUCCCAUGCGACGUUCCCGAACAUAUCUGUAAGGUACUUUGGCCACUUCUGUUGGCCGUCACACUUUUAAAUCGGUGCGGAUAAACUUGAGCUGCAUCAAGUUAGCUAUCUUUGCGAGAAUUUUGGAAUCCGACUUUUGUUCUUCUGUUGCAAUGUUGAUUCGAGUUUUUGGUUGGUGUUUCUUGGUGAAGGCAAAGGCAAACAGCCGAUGCUGGAUCGCCGGUAAGCUCUCUCCAAGUGUGGCGUGAAGUGCAUACUCGGAGAAGGUUAUUACUUAGGCGAUGCUGGAUCGCAGCUAAGCCCCCGAGUGUGACGUUAAGUACACACUCGGAGAAGGUGAAUGCUUAGGCGAUGUUGGAUCGCAGCUAAGCCCCCGAGUGUGACGUUAAGUACACACUCGCAGAGAGUUAAUACUUAGGCGAUGCUGGAUCGCAGGUAAGCCCCCGAGUGUGACGUUAAGUACACACUCGGAGAGAGUUAAUACUUAGGCGAUGCUGGAUCGCAGCUAAGCCUCCGAGUGUGACGUGAAGUGCACACUCGGAGAGAGUUAAUACUUAGGCGAUGCUGGAUCGCAGCUAAGCCCCCGAGUGUGACGUUAAGUACACACUAGGAGAAAGUUAAUACUUAGGCGAUCCUGGAUCGCACCUAAGUUUUUUUUUGAGACCGGAGUCUGCGACCGCGGAAGAACUUUGAACCUGCAAAAAACUCAAUCUGCUUUAUAUUAUUUCGCCAAUACUUGUUCUUUACAUCGCUUCAGUCGACGGUCACGUGUAGAAGCGCUUCAGGAGGUCUCUGUUCCAUGCGCGCGGCUCGUCUGUCUCCCUCUGAAUGUUGUAGAGUCUGUAUGCUCCGUUGCUCAGCACCUUGGAGAUGAUGAAGGGUCCUUCCCAAGCCGGAGCCAACUUGUGGGGUCUUUGUUGAUCCACUCGGAGCACCAGGUUGCCUGCUUGGAACGUCCGACUUCUGACGUGGCGUGCAUGAAAACGCCGCAGAUUUUGUUGAUAAAUGGUCGAGCGAGUUAACGCCAUCUCGCGCUCCUCUUCCAGAAGAUCCACUCCGUCUUGCCUUCCUUGUUCUGCUUCGGCUUCGGAGAAGAGUUCGACUCGUGGCGCAUUGUGAAGCAAGUCACUCGGAAGGACCGCUUCUGCUCCAUAGACGAGGAAGAACGUUGAUCGCCCUGUAGAUCUGUUCGGGGUUGUUCGAAGUCCCCAAAGCACUGAAGGUAGCUCGGUAACCCAAGCGCCAGCGGCAUGUCCUAUCUCUCGCAGGAGUCGGGGCUUCAAUCCUUGUAGAAUAAGCCCGUUUGCCCGCUCUGCUUGUCCAUUGGACUGUGGAUGUGCUACGGAAGCAAAAUCCACUCGGAUGCCCUGGCUUGUACAGAACCCUUUGAAUCUGUCCGAGUCAAAGUUUGUCCCGUUGUCCGUAAUUAUGCUGUGAGGUAUGCCGAAUCUGAAGAUGAUGUCCCUGACAAACUUGACGGCUCUCGAAGCAUCGAUCUUCUUGAUGGGCUUCGCUUCGAUCCACUUCGUGAACUUGUCGACUGCCACCAACAGAUGUGUGUAUCCACCUUGGUCUGUCUUGAACGGGUCAACUGUAUCUAAUCCCCACACUUCAAACGGCCACACCAGAGGGAUCGUCUUCAACGCGGACGUUGGCUUGUGGGACUUGUUGGAGUAGAACUGGCAGCCCUCACAUCGAUCAACCAUAUCCUUAGCCAUCUCGUUAGCCUGCAGCCAAAAGAAGCCAGCCCUGAAUGCCUUGGCUACGAUUGCUCUCGAAGAAGCGUGAUGACCGCAGGUCCCCGAGUGAAUAUCCUCCAGGAUCAGCUGCCCCUCCCCUGGGGAGAUACAUCGUUGAAGCACGCCUGAGAUACUCUCCUUGUACAAUUGGCCUUCAAUCACAGUGAAUGACUUUGAUCUACGGACAAUCUGCCUGGCUUGGACUUCGUCUUCUAGGAGUUCUUGCCUCAAGAUAUAUGCCAUGAUCGACACAGUCCAAUCGGGAAUGACAGCCAGAAUCUCCAUGACCAGAUCAACCACAGCAGGUACAUCGACUUCAGUCGGAUCUGUUGUGCUCUUGGGUUGUAUCGGUUCUUCUGCGAAAGGAUCUUCUUUAACUGAGGGGAGGUGGAGGUGCUCGAGGCAGACAUCACUCGGUACUGGUCUCCGAGUGGAUCCGAGCUUUGCUAACUCGUCAGCUGCUUGGUUCUUCAGUCUUGGAACAUGGUGGAGUUCUAGACCUUCAAACUUCUUCUCCAGCUUCCUCACUGCAUUGCAGUAUGUAGUCAUGGUGGGGUUCCUGAUGUCCCACUCUUUCAUCACUUGAUUGACCACCAAAUCCGAAUCGCCGUAGACCAUCAAGCGACGGACGCCGAGUGAGAUGGCCAUGCGCAAUCCGUAGAGGAGAGCUUCAUAUUCUGCCUCGUUGUUGGAGGUAUCAAAGUGUAUCUGCAGCACGUACUUGAGCUGGUCGCCCUUUGGUGAUAUGAUCAUAACACCAGCGCCAGAGCCAUUCAACAUCUUAGACCCAUCGAAGAACAUUGUCCAAUGAGCCGAGUAGAUGUGGGUCGGUUGCUGUUGUUCUACCCAUUCUGCUAUAAAGUCAGCCAGGGCUUGAGACUUAAUAGCUUUCUUGGCCUCGAACUUGAUGUCACAGUACAACAUCUCCAUUGCCCACUUCGCCACUCGGCCCGAUGCGUCUCGAUUGUGGAGAAUUUCCGACAACGGAGCAUCAGAAACGACAGAUACCGAGUGAUCUUGGAAAUAAUGAGCCACCUUCUUCGCAGUCAUAUAAAUCCCAUAGAUAAGUUUUUGAUAAUGGGGAUANNNNNNNNNNNNNNNNNNNNNNNNNNNNNNNNNNNNNNNNNNNNNNNNNNNNNNNNNNNNNNNNNNNNNNNNNNNNNNNNNNNNNNNNNNNNNNNNNNNNCAAAAUGACAUAAUUAGCUCCAAAAAGGCAUAAUUAGCUAAUUUAGCUUGAAGAAGAGGCCAGGAGGAGAAGAAAGAGGAAAAUUAGAAAGAAGGAAGAAGAAGAAGAAGAGAAGAAGAAGAUGAGAAGAAGAAGAAGGAGAAGAAGGAGAAGGAGCCCUCCUUCUUCUUCUCUCCUCCUUCUUUUCCUUCUUCUUCUCCUUCUUCUUUUCUUCUUCUUCUCCUUCUCCUUCUCCUCCUCCUCCUUCUUCUUUUUCUUAUCCUCUUCUUCUCUUUCUUCUUCUACGUAGCUUAUUUUCCCCAAUAUAGACAUCUAUUACUAUACUAAUUAGAGACUCCCAAGAAAUUAUCUGAUUAAUUAGAAAUUCACAGCCGUUAAUUUUUUAGGACCGAGUUAUAACGGCCAGAUUUAAUAUAAUUUUUUUCGGGAAAUUAUCACAUGAAAUAAAAUUUCACAACCGUUAAUUUAGUGGGACCGAGUUAUAACAGUCCGAUUUAUCUAUUUUUUUAGAGAAAGACUUAAUCUAAUUAACUGGAAAAAAAAGGGAAAUUAGUGAAUGCACGUCUACGGAUACCAUCCUUUAAUAAGAGAUAGAAUAUGUCAAUUCCCUCGAAGAAAUAAAAGAUAGACUAGAUUAAGAUUCAACUGAAAAAUACGGUAUGUUCCAAUCCUCUCGAUCGGGGUCUCCGGAAUCCUAGUCCUAUACGCAGCGAUACCCAGCCAACAAGGCACCGUUGUCAUCCAACAUCCCCUCGGUCUAACAAUCCUCCCCAUCGUCUAGGACCAUCGUGACUGCUCGCACCUCUCACUACAAGAAAUAUGUCAACUAACGACCUUUUGUCAGUGACGCUGGAAGGAAUGGUCAUAAAUCUAUGACCAUUUGACAUCAUUUGGUCGUAAUUUGUGUGGAGGGGUCCUAACCCCAAAAACCAACGACCAUUUUCAUCAGAAAGGUCAUCACUUGCUUACUGGAAAAGGUCAUAAAGCGGACAGCACCUGGCACUGCCUUAUUUCUAGGUGAUAAUGACCAAUAUGCAUGGUCGUUACUAGGCUGGUGACCAUCGAUGGUGGUGCUGACGCCACGGCCACCACACCAUCGGCAGUUGUUGCUGUUGCUGUUGCUAUCUACAUCAGAGAGCUGAAUUGAGAUGUUUCCUGUUGCUAACCAGUCGACCAUAACAUCCUGCCAUAACAUCCUGCCAUAACAUCAGCGAAGCAAAAUAGAAGCAGCAAAAUAGAAGCAGCCAUAACAUCAAAAGUAUAACACAUUCCAACACAGUUCACAACAACCUGCCGAUAACACAGUGCACAAAAGUACAACAGUUCACAACGACAUUAAAACGAGAUCAUGGAGGGUGACUAAAUGGGACCUAGAGCCUUCAGGAGGGCUGCAUGCUCUGCCCUGGUCUUGAUGACUUGAUCAGCACUCCGCGAUAAACCGCGUGCAUGCGACAUCAGGUGUUCAUAAAUCCCAUCCCUGGGCUUUGGCUUUGUGGUGCAGUAUGGGCAUCUAAACAUUCCCCUCCUGAAGUAGGCCGCCUUCCCCUUCUCCCUAAUCUUCUGGGCUUCCUUCUCAAUGAAGGAAUCUUUGUUGCCGUCCUCCACGUCAUCUCCAGAGUUAUACUGCACACACAAAUUAAUUGGGCACACAUUAUGCAUUCGUAUAGGCAUUAUGGAGCCAGAACACACACUUCUGAUUCAGAAUGAUGCAAUGAACAAACAUCAGAUAAUUCCGAUUUACCAAAUUUUAAUGAACAAACAAAGAAAAAAGUCAUGUACAGUAAUCUAAUUAAACAAACAACAUUAAAACACUCUCUACAUCAAUUUCAUUAAAAAGCCCACCNNNNNNNNNNNNNNNNNNNNNNNNNNNNNNNNNNNNNNNNNNNNNNNNNNNNNNNNNNNNNNNNNNNNNNNNNNNNNNNNNNNNNNNNNNNNNNNNNNNNGAAUUCACAAGGCUGGUGGUUUGGCUGAAGGAAGAUUGCUCAGCUUGUGCUUUACAGGAAGUGCACACACUACAAACUAAGCAUAUGCAUUCAGUUCCACUAAAAAUCUCUGGAAACUUACUAAGCAUAUGCAUUCAGCUCCACUAAAAUCUCGGAAAAUUUAGCAAGUACUCCUUCCGUUCGGAAUUACUUGUCAUGAAAAUGAAUAGAAAUUGAUGUAUCUAGAUGAACUAAAAUACAUCUAGAUACAUCCAUUUCUGCGACAAGUAAUUUGGGACAGAUGGAGUAUAUACUGUAAACAUUUUAUGAAUCGACGCUCUCAGAAAAACUUCGUAGAGCUGUCUUGUUACUAAAAUAAAAGGAUUAAAAAAAUCAGAACCCCUCAAAAUCUUUCAUUGAAUGCUGGACGUCCAGAGCAAAGACAUGAUGCGACUACCUACCUGUAAUUAGGACACAGCUAUGUUAUAGGUCUUCAGUGAUUUCACUUGUUCCUCAACUUCAGGCAAUUUUAGAUUCUAAACAUCUACUUCCUCCGUUCCUAAAUACUCCCUCUGUACCUAAAUAAUUAUAAUUGAGAAUAACUAGUCUAGUUCUUCCCAACUACAAUUAUUUAGGUACAGAGGGAGUAUACGUCUUUCUAGAUAUUUCACUACGGACUAUAUAUGGAUGUAUAUAGACAUACUUUAAAAUGUAGAUUCAGUCAUUUUGCUUCAUAUGUAGUCCGUAGUGAAAUCUUUAAAAAGACUUAUAUUUAGGAACAGAUGGAAUACAAUUAUACUACUAGUAACUAGCACUAUACUUUUGAGAAGCAAUCAAAGACAUCUUCCAGUAGAGUUGAUAUCAACAAAACAAGCAUGCCGCCUUUGUACAUGUCCAUCGAAACUUGGACAUAAUAUUAUAACUACAACUAUCCAUACCAAAAUUGACACGGAAACAUAGCAGACAUAUAUAUAUAUAUAUGUAUUCAAAAACACUUGCACAAUAAAACAAGGGUUCAUGACAUUUUUUUAAAUAAUACAAAUAACACCAAACGGUCAUAUAGUGCCUCCAUCGCAAAACAGGGAAUCUUGGGACCUACUUAUGCCGGUUUCGAAACAGCUACAGACAGUGGAAAUUAAUUAGGCAACCAGAAUUACGUACGAUUGAUAGUAAUACACAAGUGGUGCCUACUACGUAUUAAAUUUCAUUCACCAGAUGCUGCCCAAAGAUCGUCACUAGACUGUAAUAAAGGAAAAUCAUUGCAGUAAAGGUAGAAGGCAACAAAAAGUUCAGAGAGGUGAAUCUGGGUCGGAUGAUGCACAACCUUGUCCAAUGAUGCACACUGAAUAGCUUAAUGGCUUCAGCAGCAAAUUCACACUGAAAAUUUUGGAGACCACUUCAUCAAUAGGCGCCAAGACCAAUUUUCUUUUUAAGGGCAUUUGAAUGGUUGCUGGAGUAGUGAACUGACUUGGCAACACCUUGCGCAGCUUGCUGAGAGACCUUACCACAAUACAAGACAACCAAAGACCUUAUGUGCACGUCCCAGUUCAGCCAUUCCGACAUCAGUAACGUUAUGACACAUCCGAAGUGUGAGAUUACUCAAACAUGGGGUGUGCGCAAUGAAGCACAUCCCAGCAUCAGUUACCGCAUGACACGAUAUAAACUCGAGUGUCUCCAGAUGAGGUGAGGAUGAGAGGGCCUUCAUCCCCUCGUCAUCAAAGAAGUUGGCGUUGUUGAGCACGAGAACACGGAUUGGGCAGGACUGAAUGAGCACCAGAAAACCCUCUUGGGUGAAUCCUAUUUCUGAUGGCCAGUCAGCAGCACAUCCUGUAAAGCUGAGGUCUACCAUCUGAAGCAUACGACAGUUGAGGGCUAGAGCGUAAGUAAAUGACGUCCUGGUUUCACAAUAGCCGACAUCACUAGAGUAGCGCUGCGGGUUGAGCCAAAGUGAGAUGCUUUUAAGGUUGCUGCAGCUCCGAGAUAAUGCAAUCAUGUCAUUGUCAUUGUCAUUUAGGGCACAAACAUACUCAAGGCAAAGCUUCUCCAAUGCUUUACAAUUCCCUAGGAGAACACAGAGUCCUACUUCUGGCCAAGUUUUAAUAUGCACCAGCCGUAAAUCCUUCAAACUCUCACAACAGAAAUCGUAUAUAUCCAUGCCGUGAGCAUCAUACGAGGAGUCAUAGACCACAUCACUUGUAACACAAUCAUAUAUUCCUCUUUUGCUCUCAAACUCAAACUUCUGGAGCUUCAUCCAUCCUGGACUUCGAUGAGCCGUCGCCGGAGCUCUAGAGCACGCUCUGUCCAUGUUUUGGCCGGUCCUCACGGUCCUCUCGGUCCAGCACGAGCUCGGCCAUUGCUGGUCCGGUCCCUAAAGACAGGGCCGCGACGCUGCUCGAUCUGGUCCGGAGAUGCACGAGACGCCGCUGGGGUGGCGCACGUGCAGCGCCGACAUCGUCAUCAACGAGCCCGGCACAUCCUCCUGCCUCGUCAAGACGAAGACGAAGCCGGGGCACCUCCUCAUCAAGCAGGAGCACCUCGCCAUGGCCGCUGACGACGAGGACACCCUGAAAUGGGCGCGGGAUGACUACGUCCGGGAGGAAAUGGAGCGCCAGCGCCGCGCCCUGGAGGGGAUCACCGCCCGUCGCCGCGACCGCAAGGAGGGCACGUCGUCAUCCUUGAUGAGAGCGACGAGGAGGCGCCGGGGACUUCGAACCCCGUUCGCCAGGACGACCCAUGGCAGGGGUGCAACAAGGAUGGGGGUGGAGUGGGCGACAACAACUACGAUGGCGACUACACCAACUUCUAGAAGCUCCUCGGCAUAUAGAAGGCGGCAGCGGCGGGCGACGGCGGAGUACUCUAGUUUUAGUUUAGUUUAAUGUUUAAUUAUGUUUUUAUUUUACUUUUUUGUACAAAUUUUAAGGCAAACUAUGAAUUUAGUUUGAAUUUGACUCGGUCUUGGCCGAAUUUUGGCCGACUUUAUUUUCUUUUAAAAACAUUUCGGGCGACCUUUGGGGGGGGGGGCACUGGGAACCCGAGCCCCCAAGGAUGAUAUUUUCGCCGACGCGUCCCCAUGCGGCGCUAUUUCACGCCCCUCGGGGCCGAGCGGCUGGAGAUGCUCUAUGUAAUAGUAAUAUGAAAAACCAGAGCAUAUAUGCAAACUAGUUAGUAUUUUUUAUAUAAAUGCAUCAAAUUUAUUUAUAUACGAAGUUGAGCCUUAAAUAACCAUGUGGAUUAAAAACAAAAUUACAUGAGUAAUUUUAUUAUUCACCUAUUCAAUAUCAUCUAAGAUACCCAUAGAGGAUAAGUAAUUUGCGAUGGAAUGAACAGUCUACCAUCUUUGAUGAUUGUGAGUGAAAAAUAACGUUUUAGCAAUAUUCAGUUGCAUAAUCUGACAAUUGCAUUUGAUGAGGCGCUAUUCAGAAAACAUAGACAAUAAGACUAAGAUUGGUUGGCACAAAAGCAUAUGAAGACAUGACAUUAUCAAACGUAUACAACCCUCGAAUGUACUACAAUGUGAGGACUAAGAGGUCACUUGGUUGAGCCCUGGGUUAACAUAAUUAUACAUUAUCGAUAUUCGUAAAAAAAUCUCAGAAAAUGAUUGGCAGGAAGAUAGAAAACGAUGGAUGGGGAGAAACUGGAGAGGACAAGGGAGAGUACACCAUAAAAUUAAUGGUUUCCAUGUCAAGCCACAUGCAAAAAUACAAUUAAUCAUUUGUCAAUCAAUCUUUUGGAACAUUGAAAUGUAGGGUACACAUGAGAAGUUUUGCCUAGGAGAAAUUCCAGGGCCAUUGGGAGCAGAGAAAUAGCCAUCUUAGAUCUUCCUAAACUUUCAAUGUAAUGCGACAUUUCAGAGAAGUUUUGGAGGAAAUGAAACAUGAAGUGUGGACACACGUUUUUCUUCUUCUUUGCAUUGGUAUAUAAGACCUUAAUCCCAACAUUCUCAUGUUCUAAUAUCCGUUCAAUUCGUGUGUGAUCAUGGCCAUAGUAAAUGCCAUAGUGUUUACACAACAUUGUCCUUUUUCGCUAUAUUUUGAAUUAUAAUUGACUUUCGGGCCAAAUUCUGUAGGAAAACAAUAAUGAAUAUGACAGUAUAUUUUACAUGUAGCCGCCCAAAUGCACGGGUCAACCUGCUAGUUAUAAUAGUAAAAAAUGGACAAAUAUAAAUGCUUUCGACGUGUGAAAAAAAGUUAUACUAGCAUAUACCAGGGGCUAUGUAGCCAUACAUUCCUGCUAGUGCAUUCCACUUUGAUGAAUCGGGCUUAAGAUUCCUUGUUUUGCCGAAAUCUGAGACAAAAUCCUUGAAAGAUAUGUCAAGUAAAAUGUUCUUGCUCGUGGUAUCUCGAUGGAUUAUAGGUGGACUGCAUUCAUGGUGAAAUAAGAUAUUGCUUGAGCGACAUCAUUUGCAACGACAAUUCUCUUCAACCAAUCCGAUUUCUUAGCUAGUUCCUCAUUCUCCAACGUCUCGUGGAGGCUUCCCUGCUGAAUGUAGUCAUAGAUGAGAAAUUUAUAUGCUGGAUGGGAGAAGAAUCCAUACAUUUUGACGAUGCUUCGCUGUCGGAUCUGUGAUAAGAUUUCCAUUUCACUGUGAAAUCUUCUUUCGUCAUCCAACUCUUCUUCAGUCUGAUGAAGCCUCUUCACAGAAACUAGCUGCCCGUCUUGGAGUCGUGCCUUGUAGCCUUUUCUGUAUCAAUAUUCACUCAUUUUAAUCGGCAUGCAGUCCAUAUUGCAAUAUCUAAAACAUCUUAUAAUUAGAAAUGGAGGAAUUAAUAAAGAUGAGUAUUGGUACCUCGAGAGGUGCUGGAGGUGGUCCUUGAAAUUAAUGGGGCAGCGAUCUAGUCACUCGUUGCUUAUCUUGUCACUCGAUGAGACACUUGCCGCGGCUUGGAUAACUUUUGCCAGAAGGGCUGCUGUAGAAGUCUGAUAAGUUACUCAGGCUGCAACAUAGGUCCAAUAAUUCAUAAUUUCAUAUGCUGGCCAACUGAAACAUUGCAACAAGAAUACAAGAUCACUAGCACACUGCUUAACAAUGUUGGAGCGGAACUCACUAAAACGUUGAAAUUUGCAAACGGUUGCAUGAAUGAUCAGAUCACAAGUUACAAAAGUAAAUUUUACAAGAAACAAUAACAAACAAGCAUACACGAUCUACUACUGAUCACAAGUUAUAGCCGCGUCAGCUUAUGGUUUUCUGUGUGCUCCUCAAAUUGCCUACGCAAGUCUUGCUCGUACUCGUUGCUGCAUUGACCCGUUACACGGAUAUUGUCCAGAUUUUUAAAAUGCUUUAGCCCAGAAAUCCGCAAACACCUCAACCCACAAGAGCGGCAGCUGUGAAUCUUGAGCUCUUUGGCUUUGAAAUCUGAGUUUUCCGAGGUCUCCGAGGUAUCCGUACCUCUAAAAGCGACUGUUGACAUUCUGCCAUUGCAAGUAAUGCUGAGGGCGUUGUAAGAGAGCCCUUUAUGAAAAAUGAGGUCCUCAGUUGGCUUGAUAUGAAGACGGUCAUAACUUCCUGGCAGUUGACCUGGAGAUUCAUAUAGGAGGUCAAUGUCCUCUUGACUAGAUACCGUCAACUCAUGGCCAAACCUUAUCUUCCCGAGCUGCUUAAUCCAGGUUGGCGUUAUCCACGCAUAACCUGCGCCUGCAACUGCUUUGCUAGUGUACAAUACCUUAAGGCGCUGUAUGGUCAUGGGAGGCUUCGAGAUGUCAUCGAAACGGGCAAAGUCAUAGCUGGCGUUGUCCUCCUUCAGCAGCAGAAGCUGCAGCCACAGGAUCUCGAGAUGGCGGUGACCUGAGAUGGCACAGCACAACAUUUUCCAGUUUUCACGGGUGAUGCCAGACAAGGCGAGCUUGCGCAAUUGGGUAAGCUUCUUGAGCUCCUUGAAGAAACGGAGGGCACCUGGCACAUAUGCAACAUUCACGACACCAAGUGUACGCAAUUCCGUCAGCUCCCCAAUCCGCUCUGCAGCAGCAGGAAUAACCUCAACACCGCCACCAUUCUCAGUAACAUGCUGGCGUAUGACAUCAUUCUUGAAGAUCCGAAGUUUACUGCAGGAUUGGUGUGCCAUCUUCCGCGCUCCUGUUGACGCCCCUUGGACCACUCCUGACAAAGCUUUUUUGGCUCGGAGGAAAGGACUCGUGCCAGAAGGACCAUCUUCUUGUGGUGGUGCAUGUGGAAAUAAUGUUCCAGCUAAUACCUCUGGUUCUGACUCUUCUGAGUCAGAAGUGCCACUGCCAACACGAAUGUACUGCAGCUUGUGUAGCUUGGUGAUGAUAGCAGGUGGCAGCUCGACAAUAGAGGUGUUCUUGGCAUCCAGAGUAUUCAGUUGUUUCAUGUCACCCAUUGAAUCUGGUAGGCGAGUGAUGCCCUUGCAUCCUCGUAUGGAAAUGACCUUGAGGCGCGGAAACAGCUCCGCGAUCUUCUCCAGAUCAUCAUCACUUACACUAGAAGUACUAUCUGAUGUAGUAGUUCCCUCCAGAUCAAGCACCCGCAGAAGCUUCAUCUUCUUACAGAUGAGGAAUGACUUCCACUCCCCAAACACUGUGAAAGACCGUAGCUUUGACAUGUCCAGGCUCUGAAAUACAAUCUUAUCUCUGUCCCAACUGCUUGUUAUGGUUAGGUGUUGUCCAGUGAGUCGCGAGCUAGGGCUGCAACUCCCGUCUAGUGCAAACACACGGUUAUGUUCCAUUGGUUGUGACUUGACGUAUUCAAGGAAGAAACCAUUGAGCUUGAACUUAACCCUGAUUGAUAUCUCAUUCCCGUCCCCAUAGUACAUUAUGCUCGAGUUAUUGAGCUCCAUUGCGAGGUCUCCUGCCGUCUCCUCAUUACAUGAGUAACCUUCGGCGAUCCACCGCCUGAGCAACCGCCUCCAUCUAAUUCGUUCAUCUGCAGGGAAUAUUGACAUAUAGAAGAUGCAUGGUUUGUGAUCAUCUGAGCAAGUAUCAAAGUAGGAUUUCAUCCAACAAAAUAAACCCCUUAAACUAGGAAGGUGCAACUGUAAGUAUCCUAUGAAGUCAACAUUUAUUUCAUUCAGGAUCCGCAACAAAGAAUCUUUCUGUUGUGCCUUUGGGUGGAUUUGUUUUCCAAUAGCAAUUAUUACUUCUGGAAGCCCACCACACUUGGAGAGCAUAAGUCUCGAAGCCUCCUCUGCAUCGGGGAACAGUCGCUUGCCGUUCAAUAUUAUCUACACAAUUCAGAAAUAAACUAAUUGAAUCAGAAAUAUCAUCACUACUACACGGGAGGGAGAGAGAGAGUAUGCAUGCAUGCAUGCACACAAGUUGGCAUACCGUUGUGAAGAGAUCAAGGGCUACAUCAGGUUCUAGACCAUAGGUGUUGUAAACGUUGUCUUGAGAACAAUGUCUGGCAACUUUUUCUUGACGCGUAAUGACGAUAGUUCCCCCACUGAUAGGCUGGGAAAACAAGGUUUUGUUUAUCACGUCCCAGUCAUCCGUGGACCCUAGACCAUCAAAAACAACGAUGCAUUUGUGUUCAAGUAGAAUUUUGAUACACACUUCAAUCGGGUCUUGACCUCCGAACAAACCAAUUGCUACAGCUUCCUUGUCAUGAACAUCAUCAGAUAAAAGAUCCAAAAGCAAUCUCUGACACAAGUCCAUCAAAUUGAACGGCUGGGGGACCUCCACCCAGCCAUACAUGGCAUACAAUUGCAUAGAUUUUAUCUUAUUGUAAUGGUGUUUGACAAGAGAUGAUUUCCCAAGACCAGCAAUUCCCCACACAGACAACUUCUUACCAGCAUGGAGGUCAUAAAAGACCCUAUCUCUAUCUACAUCCCCAGAAAUGGUAUAAGGUUCAGAUUCCCCCUCUUCCUUUAUGUUUCCUUUUCCAUCUGCAAGUCCGCUCUGGUCCUGCUGAUCAGAUUCAUCAAAGUACAUAUAUGCAUGAGAAUAAAUAGAGAAUUUAUAUACGUAACUGAUUAACUUGUACUCUCUCCGUCCCAAAAUAACUGUCUUGACUUUGUACUAGCUCUAAUACAAAAUUGUAUUAAGCUUAAGACAGUUAUUUUGGGACGGAGGGAGUAGUUAAUUUAAAUUCCUAUUAAAAUUACACGUCUACCUUCAUCAGAUCUUCAACACUGAGCAUCCGAUCUUGUCUGCCAUCUACACAGUGUGUGGCCACACUUUGAUUACUUGUAACAACAACAAUGUAACCUCUAGUAGAAUCACAUAAGAGGUGUUGUUUAAUAGAGUUCCAGUCCGUGGUGGACUUCAGGUUUAUGAUAAGGAAGAGGCAAUGGUGUUCAGUCAGAAACUUACGACCCAAUUCAAUUAUUGUUGUGUCGUGGUCACUAUUAUCCAUCUCCAUGAGCAUUCUAUAUUCAUUGUCCAGUUCAUCUUUUUUCUUUUGAUAUGAAUUUCCUUGUUCAUCUGUUGCCGCCCAUUUUAAAAUUAUGGACAGAGCAAAGUCAGCCACUUUGAAUGGCUCAUCUACAGGAACAUAGUAGCGGUAACACUGUUCAAAUUUGGCUCUGUCAUAUAUCCCACACUUGCAGACCUCAUAAGAUAACAGUUUAUUAUCCACUAAUUGUGAUAUCUCUUCAUCAGUCCGCCCGAACAAGGAGAUAACACCGUGAUGUCCUCUGAGUUGCCAAAAUAAUUCACCCAUGCCGAUGCGAUGCCCAGAACCCUGCAGCAAUAAUUAAGUAAACAGAUCAAGAAUUAAGCCCCCAGCCAAAUUGAAUCCACUAUAUAUGUAGUACUAAAAUCUGUCAGUCAUAAAUUGAACAAAACCUGCUAUGGGCUCCCAAGUGGAACCCAAAACACCAGUACGUGUUUCAACUAAGGCCAGCUACUCUAUUCCGACGAAUAGGGCGCUCAUGUAUUUUAAAAUUCCAUUCUUAUUAUAAAAUAAAACAAUAAUAUAUAUGUUAAAGAAACCUCUUUCUAAUAUGAAUUCAACAGUAUAAAUUCAGCCACAUAACCCACCUUUGAUUGGUUAAAUUGAUGGUUCUAGUUAAAAUUUGAAAUGUGUGUGUGUGUGUGUGCUUUAUUCAUUGAAACAGAGGAAUUAUAUAUAGAUAGAGUGUCUUUCUACAAGCAUCCCUUAAUACUUUAUUCUGCACCCAAGAAAAAAAUCAACUAGAAACCAAUAUGGUAGGUUGAUAGUAAAUAGUUAUGUCUAUAUAGUAAAAGGGUCACGGUAAAUAGAAAAAAAAUAUACUCUAAUUUUUUGCUACCAUUCUAUGCCAUGUAUACGACUACUACAAAUAUACCAACUAGAAACCAAUAUGCUAGUACAGAGCUAUUAGAAUUGCCAAAAAAAAUUCUCAUCGAUUUUUUCCUAAAAUAUUACUACAAAUAUAUCAACUAGAAACCGUAAAGGGCUAUGCAUAAUUAAUAUAAGAUUUCCACAUUUUAUGGUAAUAUUACUUACUAUGGAAAGUCUCACUAUUACUCCCCCGGUUAAAAUAUAAGACAUUUUGAUACUAUCAUAAUGUCAAAAUAUAUUAUAUUUUAAUACUAAGGGAGCUAAUUAAAAUUUACACCAUUACUCACUAACGUGCAUGGUGUAUGCUCUUUGCAGACGAUGUGGUUCUAGUCGAUGAUAGUCGGACGGGGGUCAACAGAAAGUUGGAGUUAUGGAGGCAAACCUUGGAAUCGAAAGGUUUUAGACUUAGUAGGACUAAGACCGAGUACAUGAGGUGUGCUUUCAGCACUACUAAGCACGAGGAGAAGGGGGAUGUUAGCCUUGAUGGGCAGGUGUUACCUCAGAAGGACACCUUUCGUUAUUUGGGGACAAUGUUGCAGAAGGAUGGGGAUAUCGAUGAAGAUGUUAACCAUCGAAUUAAAGCCAGAUGGAUGAAGUGGCGCCAAGCUUCUGACAUUCUCUAUGACAAGAGGGUGCCACAAAAGCUAAAAGACAAGUUCUAUAGGACGGCAGUUCCACCCGCUAUGUUGUAUGACACUGAGUGUUGGCCGACUAAAAGGCGACAUGUGCAACAGCUAGGUGUGGCGGAGAUGCGCAUGCUGAGAUGGAUGUGUGGCCACACAAGGAAGGAUCGAAUUCGGAAUGAUGAUAUACGAGAUAGAGUUGGGGUAGCGCCAAUUGAAGAGAAGCUUGUCCAACAUCGUCUGAGAUGGUUUGGGCAUAUUCAACAUAGGCCUCCAGAAGCCCCAGUGCAUAGCGGACGGCUAAAUCAUGCUGAUAAUGUCAAGAGAGUUCGGGGUAGACCGAGCUUGACAUGGGAAGAGUCUGUAAAGAGAGAUUUAAAGGAUUGGAGCAUCACCAAAGAACUAGCCAUGGACAGGGAUGCGUGGAAGCUUGCUAUCCAUGUGCUAGAACCAUGAGUUGGCCGCAAGAUCUUAUGGGUUUCACCUCUAGCCUACCAGAACUUGUUUGGGACUAAAGGCUUUGUUGUUGUUGUUGUUGUUGUUGUUGUUGUGUACUGACUAACGUGCAUACACAAUUGUUAGUAAAAGAUCCUACUUGUAGUUUACUACUGUAUUCAUUAGGUUUACCAUCAAUUUCUUAUCAUGUGCAUCAGCCAUGUAACUACCUACAGAUUAUGGACCCGGAUAUGUGUCACAUCUGCGACUCCGAACGUUUUUGACGGCACAUUUAGUUAUAUGAGGAUGGCAAUUUUAUUUGGCAAGAAUGGCAACUUUCGUGCUUCAGUUUAUUUUUGAUAGAAACUUGCUUUUGUCACUAGAAUUUGCCCUUCGUAUGUGACUGAAAUUGCCAUCGAAAUAUGUCAGGACGAGGGUGUCACGGACCUGACAUGUGGCAUUUAUCAUUUGGGUAGAUUGUUACUACAUUUGACGAGCUCAGGAAGAUAGAUCCUCCCAACAGAUCAUAGAACGAUGAAAGGAAUGACAUAUGUUGGCACAGCUACGCAAGCCCAUGCCCACUUACCUAUUCAAAGCUCAUGAGAACAUAGACAAUUAGGGUUUCCUCUGUCUCCCCCUGGCCCGCCGCUGGUCUGUAUCGCCUCCAAUAGCCGUAGGGCCAUGGAGGUGCGGUGGACCUCAGCUCGGCAGACCUCAACCCUUGCCGGCCGGUAGAGUGCUCUGUUUUUGGAUUUUUUUAGUUUUGGUAGGGUUUGUGUCCUGCUCAGAGAGGUGAGGCGGUGUCGACUCUCUAAAAAUGGAGUAUGGUUCUCCUGGCCAGGCUCGUCAGAAGGCGCGUGGAUAUUUAUGUCUCGCGAAUCUCAAAGGCAUUUGGUCGGCGCUUGUCUUUAGUAGAUCUGUUUGGAUCCGGUCUUAGUACAUUUGAAUUCGUGUGUCAAAAGAUUGGAUCCUUCUAAACUAUGUUUCUCUUCAUUGACGAUGGUUGUUGUUCUGGUACGCUGAGUCUUUCUACAAAUUUCACUAAUGAACUACAUACAGAUGUAUAUAAACAUAUUUUAAAAUAUAGAUUCACUCAUUUUGCUUCGUAUGUAGACCCCUAGUAAAAUCUAUUAAAAGACUUAUAUUUAGGAGUAAACUACUCCCUCCGUUUCAAAAUUCUUGUCUUAGCUUUUUCUAGAAAUGGAUGUAUCUAAAUACUAAAACUUGACUAGAUACAUUCACAUCUAAACAAAUCUAUGACAAGAAUUUUAGGACGGAGGAAGUAGUAACUAAUUAGCGGUAAUCCAAUAGUAGUUGGCCUUUUCCAUUUACAACUUAAGCAACUGGGACCAUACGAUAAUACAAUUACCACGUAGCAGCUGGUUGUAAUUAGCUAGUUUCAACCCCGUAACACAGUUAUCAUUUUGGUCGUGUCCAAAUUCGUUUACUAGGUCUGAUUGGGUUGGGUGGUGGAACUUUCUUUAACAGAGUACAAUUGAAGUCGUUCACAAAUUAUAUUUGAACAGUUAGAAGGACAGUGGUAUCUCCUGUUUUAGAGCUUAAGUUUCAGACUUGACAUUGGUGCUCGUGUUUUCUUUGAUUUAAUUCAGGCAUUUCGAUGAUGUAUCUUCAGUGGAAGAAGUCGUUUCCGUUGACUACCAAGGCACAUGUGGCGGUAGUCAAUCUCAAGAUAAUGUGCCAGUUCAGUCUUUCGAAUGUGCUCAUAAGGAUUGGGUGUGCGUGCAUUUAUAGAGGUUGGUAGUGGACCCGAAUGCAAACAGGUAGACAUUUUAAUUCGAUCAAUAUGGUUGUUAUUACUAGGGACAAAAGAAAAACACUGAUUAGUCGGAGGGGAGCAUGGGACACUGAAGCCCGAUGACCAAUUUAACUGCAUUAAUAUAUUUUUCUUGGAUUUUUACUAAAGGGUGAAAAUAAAAAACUUGUUUGGCCACAUAUAUUUCUAGACACACACACACACACAUACAUAGGGUGAUCCCUUUUUGCCAAAAUUUCAAGACAUGCACCUUAAUCAAUUAAUUANACUCCCUCCAUUCUUAAAUAUAAGUCUUUCUAUAGAUUCUACUACAGACUACAGAUGAAACAAAAUGAAUGAAUCUACACUCUAAAAUAUAUCUAUAUACAUCCGUAUAUAGUCCAUAUAAAAAUCACUAGAAAGACUUAUAUUUGAACUGUGCCAAGAAAAAUAGGGCGUAUAUAUUUACCUACGGGUCAAGGUAGUUACAUAUAUAUAUGAUGCACAGUUAGAUACUCUCCCUAUUUCAACAUGUAAGGUGCAUAAAUAUAUGUGCGGUCAACAUUUUAAAUUUUUACAAAAAAUAUAUACAGAAGUACCAAGUGGGCAUGUAUACAUGUAUGUCACAUGUCCUUAUAAUAAAUCUAUAGGUACAUAUUAUAAGUGAAUAUCGCAUGUUAAUUUACUUAAUUUUUCGUAUUAGAAUUAUGCACAUACCUUCUUCAGAACUUCAACAUCGAGCACCUGAUCUUGGUUGUAAUCUACACAAUGAUUGGCCAGACUUAAGUUUUUUGUAAUAACAACAAUGUAACACCUAGUGGACUCGGAUAAGAGGUGUUGCUUAAUCAAGUCCCAAUCUGCGGACUUCAGGUUUGCGAUCAAGAGGAGGCAAUUGUGUUCAUUCAGAUACUGACGAGUCUUUUCAAUUAUAUCCAGUUCACUAGUCUCCCCACCAAACUCUUCAUGUCUUUUGGGGUACACUUGCACAAGCAUGAAUCGAGCCAAGUCAACCAAUUUGAACUGCCCAUCUUCAGUAUCAAUGAGGUUGAAACACUGCUCAAUUUUCUUCCCGUCAAAUAUCCUGUACUUGUGUUUCUGAUAGGAGAUCAACUCAUCCCUUAAUUGUGAUCUCUCUUUAUCGGUCUGGCAGAACAAGGAGAUAACACCGGGUUCUCCUCUCAAUUGCCAAAAUAAUUUACUCAUAAUGAUGCGAUGCCCACAACCCUGCAACAAUUGAGUAAAGUGAUGAAGAAGUUAAGCCACCAACUAAAUUGGUUCCACUACAUAUGUAGUACUAGAAGUUGUCAAUGAUAAAUUGAACGAACCUACUUGCUACCAAGUGGAGCCCAAAACAGCAGCACACGCUGUAGGUAAAGCUAUCUACUCCAUUCCAAUGAAUAGGAUGCUCAUGUAUUUUAAAAUUCAAAUUUGAGAACAAAUUAGACACAUAAAUAAAUAUGUUAUGUGACUCAAAAACUAUACCACUGAAAACAUCUUUCAAAUACAAACUCAUGGUUAUAAAUUUGGCCACAUAAACCACCUUUGACUGCUUAACUUAAUAAUGCAAGAACUAGGUUUCUUCUGGAGGCAUUUUUGAAUGUAAAAAAUCACCAAACCAAACCCGUGUACCAAAAUCUAACUGCAGGUAAGAAAAAGUUAUGCGGCCAACGACCCACCUACCCGAAAUCCCACGGCCACCCCGAAUCUCCUCCAACAUUCCCACCAGUACCGCAUUGUCAUGCACCGCCUACCUUCCCCGACCCUUCACAUGCGUGCCACCUCUCCGCCUAGGGCAUCAUCGCCCACGAGUCACCUUCUUCCCCAACGAGCCAUCUACACCAUCCAUCACGCCGACAAUGCCCCAAUCGCACCUAGGUGGCCCUGCUUCGCGUCACCACCUUCAUCCCUGUGUGUUGUUGUUCCCAUAAGUGGCAUGCGCCACUCCAUGUCCCCAUGUCAUCACUAACCCCUCAACCAUUGUCGCUGUCAUCCCUUCUUGUGGACACCCUAAUCUAGGAUUACAUGAUCACAAAGCUUGAGAAAUUUCCAUCGACCCCCAUCGGAUAUGAUGGACACCUCAUUUGUGGGAUCAGGUGAUCCAUCAAUUGAGUUUAUCAUGUGCCAGUUUCGUCCUCGAGGCCGGCGCAACCUUGUCUUUCCUCCAUCCACCCGAUGCCAGAUCCGACCCCACCUUCCCUUCUGGCCAACAGCUCCCCAACCCGCACCAUUGCCUUCCCUUCUGGCGAAGUCUGCCACCGAUCCACGUUGCCCAUAAGCGCUACUCCACUGGCACCACAGAUGUGCCCACCGGCACUUUGUCGUCCAAAUUCUAGCUCUCUUUCUUUCCUCGAUGCCACCAGCCACAUCAGUUGGCUUCCAAGCGCAUGUAUCUCCCUUCUCUCUAGCUUCCCCGAAGGAGAGUAGCUGCCUGCCCAAAUCCAACCUCCUCCUUUCACCCUCAGCUUGGACAGAAUCAAGAAAAACGUGUGCACAUCUUCUCCUUGUCGGCAAGGACAACCGACGUGUGAGUACCACCUACACGUUCGCUUGCGAUGUGCACUGCUCGCCCCCAACACAUGCACUUAUUCUGAGCGAGGGCCACUACUCACCUGCCCCGCCUGAUGCUAUGACUUCUGCCCUGCUUCACAUUUGGCAGGAUCCAAGGAGACAUGCUUCUUGAUCCACUGCUCUGGCGACACGACAAUGACAUGUGACAUGACGCGAGGAGGACGAUGACAACGUCAUGUGUUAUGCUAUUCACUUGCGCAUGCUACUGCAUGGCUCUACUCGCAUCAACACCUAGGGGUCAGAUUGCUAUUUAUUUUUUUGAAUCAAGUUUUUCAUUGCUAAUUCGAGGGGGUCCUGUUGUAAGGAAAUUAUAUUACUUACAAUUAAAAGAUGUUCACUUCACGAGCAAGGGCAGUCCGCAUUCGAAAAAGAAAAACAAGUUUGUUGCUGAGGAGGAAAACUAACAAAUGGUAUUACUUUUGUAGUCCAAAAUGUUACUCCCUCGCUCUAGAAAAAAAAUGCAUUUCACUAUUCUUGUACACACAUUCCACACUCUUAUUAUGCGUAGCUUUAAAAAAGACCUUAAAGGCGUGCAAUUCACUAAUUUUGUCUCGGAAGUCCCCACAUGAUAUUUUAUUUAUUUAAAAAAUACAAAAAAGCCAUGUAAUUCACUUCGAUUUCAUGUCAAAGUUCACUUCCCUCCUAUGUGAAAUGCAUACUACUGAUGCAGUUCACUUUUACUUCCCAUGCUGUUUUUUUUUCUAUUUAGGAAUCAGUGAACUAGACACCCGCAGUUUGGUUGCUUAGCAGAUGAGGGUCAAAUGGGGUCUGACAAAAAGAGCAAAAAUUGCAACACAGUAUUAACUUUUUUUUAAAUUGAUCUUAGACCAUAAGGAAUUAGGAAGAGUAUUCCAUAUUAAAUUGUCUCAACUCAUUGAGAUGUUUUAAACGGUGUAUGAUUUGCGUCAUUACAAAAAGUUGUGUGGAACUUUUAGCGACAAUAAGAUAUAUGCAACUUGAUGGGUGUUGCAACAUAUUCGAACCUGAUCUUUACUGUAAUGAGUCUAGAAAGUGAUAUAUAUAAAAAAAUUGCUCUCAAUACAUAGCUUGCAACAUAGUGUCAUACGCGUCCUUCCAACAAACUGUUUUAAUAUUAUCUAGAAAAUAGCACCAAAAAAUUGCUUGCAGUUUGCUCUCUACUGAAGGUUCAGAAGUGCUUACAGAGUAGUUAUUCUACAAGUUCCUAUAGAAUAAACGAUUAUAUACACAUGCCACAUUUUUUCUACUACCGGGUGUACUUACUCCUAGUUGUGUUUCCUGUAUUUUAGGUAAUAUGUAUUAUGUCAGAGUUAAUGUACGCGUAGUAUGUACCAUAUAACAAAGUUUAGAUAAUAUAUAUACUAAUUUUUAAAUAGUAUGUGCCAUGUUUCAAGCACAUUCUUUUAUAUAUAAAAACAUAUAUGUAUUUUACAAAUCUAAGAAAACUAUGUGCCUGCUUGCAAUUUUUCAUGUAACUGACUUUGGAGUAUCUUAGAUAUAUUAUAUGUACAGACUAAAAACGACAAUUUUUUCAUGUAACUUCACCUUAGGUACAUAUAUAUCCAAUAAUUUAUUCUACACUUCAGAUACCUACAAACGUAGUCUAAUAUAUUUUGAAGUGAAUAUACUCAAAUCCGCACAAACAAAUAGUGCGCACCUUGAUGUGAAUUUUAUUUGUAAAAUAUGGCUACGCGUGUACCCGUUGUUAUGACCGGCGUGACUUAUAGCCGAAGGAGGUCCAGUGGGCCUGUUUAGUUAAGGGCUUAGCCCAAGUUAUCUUAGUUAAGUUAGGGGCUUAGGCCGAGUUUCCUUAUUUCUAUUACCUUAGAGCUUAUAUAAACAAUUGCAAGACACCUUUUGGAAUUAAACAAUAAGAUAAUUCUAUUGCCCGGCUCCCAGAGGAGUCGGAACCCUAACCCUAGCCACCGCCUCCACUGCUCGCCGCCGCCUCCUCCCUGCACCGAGACGGCGCCGUCGCGCCGGCCGCGGCGUCCUCGUCUACUCCAACCGCUCCCUCCUACCCUUAUAACCUAAGGCAGAGGGCCGGUAGAACCCUAGUUUCUACCACCCGUCUAAGGGUAAAUAUAGUUACCCUAUAUAUCAUUCUACGUAAAAUAUGGCUACAUAUAAGCCCGACAAUAUAAAAUAUACCCAAUGAACUCCUAAUAUAACCACAUACUUUAUAAGAAAUAAUCGCAUAAAUUUCCUAGUAUAUACCCAAUGUACUUCAGAGUAAAGCAGUAUACCCAAUGUGUCCGCACACGUAUAUACCCAGCUAUAUGAAAAAGGGUAGAAACUAUUGUAGGUAUCCUGUCAACACAUAUAAAGUUAAAUAUGGCUGCAUAUAUACCCCUACUACGUGAAUUAUAACAUCCAUAGGUAUCUGAAUACCAGGGUAAUACGACAUUUUAGAGGGUUGGAUGCAUUAAUUGUCAAAAGAUUGUUGGAUGCAUUAGUUGUUGUAGAGGCAUGGUGACUUCCUUUUGUAAACAAUUCCAAACAUCCACCUUAAUCAAUUAAUUACCGUUCAAUGCAAUGUGUGUACCUUAUUUCUUCUAAUCCACUUUCUAGCUCUUUUUAAUUGAUCUAGUGCACCUUAUUACUUGUAAUAUUAAGUAGCAAACAUAGAAAUAUUGAAAAAUCAAGUAAUAACAAAACUAAUAUACUACUCUUGCCUUCCAUCAAAUGAAGGUGUAUUAGCCACUUUCUAAAUUAGGAUUAAGAUGCUUACUUAUAAUUGUGAAGUAGUUGUAUAGAGUACAAAUUAGCUGAAUAUAUUUAUAGGUUCUUAAAUAAGAAUUGAUCCCAUCACAAAAUAGGCCUAGUAUAUUCUCCAACGGGUCUAGGUGAUACUAUCCAUAUUACAAAUAAUAAGGUGCAGCCAGCAUUUUCAAAUUUUUACAAAAAAUAUAUACAAAAGUACUAAUUGGGCGUAUACUUUUAUGUCACAUGUCCUUCUAAUAAAUCGAUAGCUAUAUAUUAUAAGUGAAAACUAUAUGUUAAUUUACUUUAUUUUUAUAUUAAAAUUACGCACAUACCUUCAUUAGGUCUUCUACAUCGAUCACACGAUCAUGUUUUUGAUUGACACAUUGUGUGGCCACACUUUGUUCACUUGUAAUAACAACAAUAUAACCUCUAGUAUGACCAUAUAAGAGGCCUUUUUUAAUUGAGUCCCAAUCACUGGUGGAGUCCAGGUUUGUGAUAAAGAGGAGGCAAUCGUGGUUCGUCAGAAACUCAUGACCCAUUCGAAUUAUAUCCAUGCCAUUAUUCAUCUCCCUGAGCUUUUGACAUUCUGUUUCUUGUUUUUCUUCUGGGUGUGAUUGCACAAGUAUGAACAGAGCCAACUCAACCAGGUUGAACAAUCCAUGUUUCACUCCGUCGAAUACCCUAUACUUGCAUGAGUAUAGUGUAUCCAUUAAUUGCGAUCUCUCUUUAUCAGUCUUACAGAACAAGGAUACAACAUCAUCAUGUUGUUUUAAAUUCCAAAAUAACUCACUCAUGCCGAUUUGAUGUCCACAACCCUACAACAAUUAAGUAAACUGAUCAAAAAUUUAAUCACCCAAUUAAAUUGCUUCCACUAAAUACACAAUACUAAAAGAGAUCAAUCAUAAAUUAAACAUACAAACUAGCUACAUGUUUAAAAUAAAGCUAGUUGUAUAUAUUACCAAACUUGUAAACUAUAUAAACAUACAAUAGUAGGAAUAAUAAUAUACAAAUAACAUAGUCAAAAGGAUGUUGGGUGCAUCAAUAGAUGUAGAGGCCGAAUGAGUCCUUUUUUAAAACAGUCUAGAGCAUGCACCUUAAUUAAUUAUUACUAGCUAGCUUGCUAUAAUGCUAUAUGUUUACCUUAUUUCUUUCUUUUUUACUUAGCAUGGGAAAGAAUCAUUUUCAAUACUUUCUAAAUCAACUGAACAGGUGGGGGUAUCCACAACAGCUUAGCUGUAGGGAGCAUCCGGGCAAACAACACGGAGAAGAGCCAGCCGUAGCAGGUGAGCAGCCACUUGGAGUUGCAUGGGUUGGCCACAUAGGACGAUGGAUGUAGAAACUGCCGAGACCGGUGAAAUCGUGCAAUUGAUCAAUCUGAUGUGAGCGGACGCAAACCAUGUGAGGUGUGGUGUGCUGGGGCUGCAGGCGAUAAGCAAAGCGGCAACGCUGGGGAGGCAAGGAGUUGGCUUGAGCAGCGUCCCAGUAGGUCAGUGGUGAUGGAGUGCAGGACAUGUGGGAAUAACAUGACAAGGUUGACCAGAGCGUGCAUGAGGCAGAUCGAUCAAAUCCCAAUUGGUAUCCACGCCGGGGUGGGGGACGGGUGAAGAAGAUCAAGCUUGACGGGGGCGUCUUGCGGUCACAAGGUCGAUCGAUGCUGCAAUCAUGGGUGGUUGUAAUCACGAUUCUCAAAUUGAAGCAUAGUUGGUUUAGGACCUUCACAAGCGAGAGGAGGAAAGAGACCGAUAUCGAUCAAAGAGAGCACGAGUCAACAUGUACAGAGAGGUCGAGACUGAAAGAAAGAAAAAAUCCAAUCGAAGCGUGAGUUGCAACAAGCGGAAAUCAUAAACCAGCUCAUGGUACCAUGUUAUGGGUGCAACUUAAUUGUAUUGCAUAACGCAUGGGGCAUAUAUAUAGUAGAAUAUACAUGGGAAACAAUGAAGGAAAUCUAGACUAAAACACUACGCAAAGAGACCUAGACUGAUAGUAAUACUACUUAAAAAAGUGCGAUUGGCAUUUCAAAAAGUUUUACCACGAAUUUAUAUACAAAAGUAUACAGAUUGAGCAUGUAAACUUUUCUGUCACAUGUCCUUUUGCCAAUUCUGGAGGUAAAUAUUAUAACUGAAAGUCACAUGUUAAUUUACUUUAUCUUUUGCAAUUUAACUUACACACAUACCUUCAUCAGUUCUUCCAUGUCGAGCACCAGAUGUUGUUUGUGAUCUACACAGUGUGUGGCCACACUUUGUUUACAUGUAAUAACAACGAUGUAACUUCUAGUAUGCUCACCUAAGAGACUGUGUUUAAUCAAGUUCCAGUCUGUGCUGGACUCCAGGUUCGUGAUUAAGAGGAGGCAAUCGUGUUCAGUCAGAAGCUUACGGCACAUUUCAAAGAUAGACCGAUCAGAAAAUUUCUCCGUGAGCUUUUUACAUUCCUUUUCUUGUUCAUCCUCGUGAUAUGGUUGCACAAGUAUGUACAGAGCCAAGUCAAUCGGUUUGAACGGCCCAUCUUUAGUAACAUCGAAGCGGUAAAGGAAUUCAAAUUUCACUCCGUCAAAUACCCCAUACCUGCGGAUACGGUAGGAGUACAGUUCAACUAUUAAUGAUGAUAUGUCUCGAUAGGUCCGCCCCAACAAGGAGAUAACACCACACUGUCGUCUUAAUUGCCAAAAUAAUUCACCCAUGCCGAUGCGAUGCCCGUAACCCUGCAGCAAUUAAGUAAACUGAUCAUGAAAUUAAUCUUCGGACUAAAUUGAUUUCACCAUAUACAUAGUACUAAAAUAUAUGAAUGAGAAACUAAACAAACCUACUUGCUGCCAAGUGGAGCCAAAAGCCGCGGUACCUGUUUAACUAAAGCUAGCCAUAAUAUACGAACACCAUCGCCAAAAGAUGGCUGGGAACAUCAAUCAUUCAGAGGCCGGGUGAUUACUUUUUGGGAAAUCAUGGUGCAUGCACCUUAAUUAAGUAGGACUAGCUAGCUGAAUGCUUUUUGUGUACCUUAGUUCUUUCUAUUUUACUUACUGCAUGCAAGAAUCAUCUCCAAACCUUUUAAAUCAGUGGUAAUAUUAAGUAGCAUAUGCCCACUACAUAGAAAGAUAAAAUAACAAGUAUAAUAAAUAAAAGCUAAUAUACUACUCGGGUCUUCCAUUGAAUGAAGGUGUGUUAGCCAUACAUUGAUACAUAUGUAUAGUUGGUUAAGUUACACUUGUGUUAACCAAAAAAAAUAGCCCCCUUAUAUAUUUUAUUACUACUAGUCGAGUCAAUAUUAUUUGUACAUAUACGACGGAUAGUUAGAUAUUCUCCCUAUUCCAACAUAUAAGGUGCAUAGAUGUACAUGCAUUCAACAUUUCAAAACUUUUACCACAAAUAUGUAUAGAAGUAUACUGAUUGGGCAUUUACACUUUUAUGUCACACACCCUUUCACUAAAUCUGUAAUUAUAUUAUAAGUGAAAAUCAUAGUACAAACUGUUGAAGGAGCAACUAAUCCUAUUGCACAGGUCAUGGGGCAUCUUCUAUAUCUAAAUAGCUAGCCUUCACUUACAUAUUUCUCUCAACAUGCAAGCAUGCUAUCACCUCAUCAUUUAACAUGCAUGGAAAAAGGCUCACCUUAACAUGCAACUGAGCAUAAUAAAAAUCCACCUCAAUACGCAAACAUUCAUGCAUAUGAAUAUCCAUUCUAUUAUGCUAUUUAUAUUUGAUUCCUAUAUUUGUCAAAAUUAUUAUUUCGAAUAUUCAUGUUCAAUGUAGCCAAAAUGUCACUGAAAUAUGUUGCAAAACAUUGCCGCAACAACAUGAGGGGCAUCAUCUAGUAUAUAUUAUUAUUUCAAAUAUUCAUGUUCUAUAUAACCAAAAUCUCACCGAAAUAUAUUGCAAAACAAUCCCACAACAUACGGGGCAUCAUCUGGUAUAUAUAGUACAAGGAACUUGGAAUAUAAGAACGGAAAUCCAAAUAAUAUGGACAACUAACCGAAUAUUAAUACUCCUUAACAAAAAAGAACUAAUUAUCUAACUAACUGCAUUCUUACCUUGGGUAUAAUAGCGCAAAGUGAUCGAUCAUAAGAGAAGCGUUUAAGCUCCGAUACUUGGUACGGGUCCCCCGUGCAGGCAAGGGCAACUCCCAAAUGCUUGGUGCAGAUGACGAUUCGGCUGCCAUUUUUGCCGUCCAGAAGGCACAUUUUGAUGGCAUCCCACUCUGCGACACUAGAUAACUCUGUCUCUAGGACAAUGAGAUACCUGUGUCGGCUGACUUGCAGCAUGAGCUCGGAUAUAUCGUCAUGGCGGUGGUGAUGGGUGUGGCGGUGGGAUGCAGUGAAAUGACUCAGUAAAUUGUUGAGAAAUUCUAGCGGGUUAAAAGGAUGAUGUGUACUCAGCUUUACCCAGGCGCGCUUCUUGAAUUCUUGGCAGAUUUCUGGGUCAUCAUAUGCCUUCUUGGCAAUAGUCACCCACCCAAUUUCACCAACAACAUCAGCCUGUUGACUUCGCCAUAGCGAGAUCACUUUGAGCUGACUACCUUCACAGUCGAUCAACCUUUUGAGCUGGCCGUUGGUGUUGAUCAGCUUCCCCACGGACUCCCACACCUCCCUUAGGAGGUGGAAUACCUCCGUUGUUGCCGUUGUACUACUACUAGUAGCACGACCCGCAGGGUGCAUCAGUUGCUGCUGAUUUGAGGAGGAGGAGCCGUCGCCGCUACCGUUGCUACUAAAGAUGUUGUAGCGUGUGUUCCUCUGGCUUAGGUUCUCCACCUUAUCCUUGAGCUGCUUUAUGUCCGACACCGCUUCAUCCAGGGGCAGCGGCCGCCCUCCCAUGCAGAUGAUGAGGGGCGAGGUGAGACGCCGCACCCAGUCCCAAGGCGAUGGCUUGUCGAGGUGGAUCACAAACUCGACACAGUCUUCCACAUCGAAGGCGAGGUCACGGAGCUGCCUCACCCACGUCUGCAUCACCUCGUCCUGGGAUGCAGGUCCUCUCGCAUUGGAAGCUUUCUCUUUUAGGAAGGACUGCAUGACCUGGAACUCGCCGGAGAUGAACACCAGGUCUUCCUGCACGCGCACCCUCAGCUGCCCCUCCUCCUCGAUGGCCAACUGCACCCUACUCAGCGUCCCUUGCACCGCCGUCUUGGUCAGACCAAGCGCAAGCUCCGCCAUGGUUUCUGGUGUGGUGUAGCAGAAGCUUGCAAGUUAGGUAGCCGCGCAAGUGAUAUGCGCUGGAUCUGAGAUUUGCAUUGUGCGUUCACCAGCUUCUGGAGGGGGUUUAUUAAGGAGAGAUCUAGCUAUCAAUUGGUAGAGCUCAAACAAAUACUGAAAUAUUACUAUAUGUACGCCAGUACGUGCAUUAAUUGCCUGCCUAGAAUUAUUUUAGUGAGCCAGCUGACUCGCCCCGUCAAGACCCGUAGUAUCAAUAUCAUACUACAACUGGCUCAAUAUUAUUUUACUCAGAAAUUAUAAAUUAGCAGGCACUCAGAGUGCCAUUAGCUGCUAAAACACUUGUAUUCGAAAUAAGUUCGAAAUCUCCUUGUAUGGAAGCACAACUCGAGAGUUAUUUGCUACAUAAAUUAGUUGAAAAAUAAUCGGUGAUUACAUUAUUUGUUUUCCUUCGAAAAAUGUACUCAAUUUAGACAUUUCAACCACAUGAAAGUAUGUUUGGUAACUCUGAACCAAAUGUUUCCAACAAUUAUACUGUGUCUAUUUCAAAAUAGAGUGAUAACGCAUGCAAACAUAAUGAUAGACCAAUUAGUUUUCUAUUCCUUCGUUGCAUGCAUGUGAUGUCUUAAUGAUCCCAGUAAACGAAAAGAAAAUUCAUUUACAAAGCAAGACAUUAAAUUUUAUCUUGAUACCGGUAAUCUGGGUUUGUGUCUUUGUACAAGUAAAUGGAGGGAGUACUGUGUCUAUUUCAAAAUAUAGUGCAUACAAAUUUUUUCAGUCCAACUUUGUACAGUUUGACCAAGCUUAUAGAAAAAUAAUCAACACAUAUAACACCAAAUAAAUAUAUGUUUCAUGAUGUAUAAAAUGGUAUUGAUUUGUACUGUGAAUAUUUACAUCCAUCUUUCUCUAUAACUUGGUUAAGCUAUACUAUAAAGUUUGAGUUCGGACAAAAUCUAUAUCCACUAUAUUUUUCCAAUAGUGGGAGUCUGGCAAAAUAAUAGCUAAUCUAUAUAUUUUUUCCACCACUUCAAAGUUACCGUUUCAAACGUCUACCAAGCUGCCUCUGGUCAUCCCCUAGAAGAUGUGCAUGUCCACCACAAAUCAAGUUCCCACUUAGCUCUCUUUGAAUUGAUCCAGAGUUACUUGUCUCAUCGUUACUAAAUGUUUACACAAAGAUGAUUUUCCUGCUAGUAUCUCUUAAAAAUAAAUAACAUUUUUUAUGAUAAUCAAAUAGUAUUUCGAAAACUGGCUUGAGGCAGCAGAUCUAUUGCUAAACAAACAAGUCUAGUACAGUAUCCAGCUCGGCUGUGACAAGACUUGGAUAUAGGUCUUAAUGAACUGGCUAACCUAGGAAUCAGCGGCACGUUCGGUUAAUCUGAUGGCGUCUAGGCAUCAGCAACUUGUGUUCAAUUGUUUUAAUCCUUUAAAUCAAUGAGACUCUAAACAUGUCUAGGCUGUCAGGCUAAUGAGAAGACUCAGACGAAGGUCCUAUGGUACUCAUUAGUAAUCUGCCGAUCACUGGAGGCCUGUCGCUCACGUUACCCCAACAUAGGGCAGCAGGAUGCAUCAAACUGUUUGAACGAAUCAAUGCCCCAGCUGUCUCAUGGAGAUCCACAUCCGUGAUACAACAACUCAAUUGGUCAAGUAGCUAGCUAGAUUUACUACUCCCUCCACAAAAUAACUGUCUCAACUUUGUACUAGGCCUAGUACAAAGUCAUACUAAGCUUAAAACAUUUAUUUUGGGACGGAUGGAGUACUUGACAAGGUAACAAAUGAGCGUUUACUGGGGUAUGUAUAUAGUAUAUGGCACCUAGAGAUCUGUGAUUUGCAAGCAAACAUAUGGCUUGACUUAACCGACAGGCAACAGAAAAAACACAUGCAAGCACGUUGAUCAAACAUCGAACAAAGAGAUUCCUCGAAUGAAUGAACUUAUCUGCACUUAAUUUUCCCAGUGGUUUAAUUAUCUAUGUGCAUUGUUGCUUAUGCUGAUUACCUAAUUAAUUAUUGUUCUAAUCUUGAGUUUCCAUCAAUUAUACUCUAUCUGUUCCAAAAAUAUGCAUGCAUAUUUAGCUGUCCCUUGUUUAAAAAGUUUGAUUGAACAAGUUUAUAGACGAAAAUAUCAACACCUAUAAUACCAAAUAAAUACAACGUCAAAAUAUGUUUCAUGAUGCAUGUAUCAAAUGAUAUUUAUUUGAUAUUGCAGAUACUGAUAUUUUUCUCUAUAACUUGGUCAAACUUUACAAAGUUAGGCAUAGGAAAAAAAACUAUAUCCACUAUAUUUCCGAACUGCGUGGGAGUAUAAAACAGUUUUGACAAAAUAAAAACCUACCUCCUUCCCUCUACUUCAGUUUUACGAUUUCUAAUAUCUAUCCAGGAGCCUCCAUUUCAUCGCGCUACAAGAUGAACAUGUACGAGUGAGAUUCAAAGAUGCCUCUAGUCUAUAUCUACAUGAGAUUCAAAUAUAUACUAAGCAAACAAGUCUAGCUGGUACAGUAUCCAGCAGCUUGGUUGUGACAAGACUUAAUUAUCUAGCUACUCCCCCGGUUGGUCCGAGGAAUCAGCUCCACGUUCAGUUAACGUGAUGGUCCGAGGAAUCAGCACCAAGUUGUGCAUGAACAUCUUGGGACCUCCAUCGAUCCAAGUUGACUUGACUCAGCCAUUGGAUGGAGCACAUGCAAGCACAUUGAUCCAGCGUGAAACAUACUCAUUUGAGAAAAUAAUGAGUACUCUCAUCAGUUUUCAUUCUCAUAUAUAAAUCCUUCUUGUUUUUCGUUUAACAUAUGGCCAGUUUUUACUUUUUUAUACAUGCUUACAUGGUUAUAAUGAUCCAGAAAUGCUUUCUUGGAGAGGAUUUCACUGAAGAGGAAAUUUGGGUAGCAUCACUCAUUAUGCUACUACGGCGGCCCCAUGGUCCUGAUAGUUUAUCCUUCCUCUUUUAUCAGAAGUUUUUGUACCUUGGGCAAAAAGGAUUUGAUGGCCCUGCUGUUUAGUUUGAAGUGAAUGUCAAAUAUUUCUAUGGAAUCUAGUACAGAUGAGUCCAAAAGAGAAUUCUAAGAUUCAUAAUCUUCUCAAACAACCCAGUUAAGAAGAAAGAGUUCCAAAAUUCUCUUUAGACUCCUUUAAAUCAUAGGGGGGACCCUAAACAUGCUGGCCUAGUCGAUCAGACUCAUAAAAGUACUUGGACGGAGCUAAGUCCUAUGAUACUCGUUAAUAAUCUGGUUGAUGAAUGGAGCCCCUCCCUCACGUUACCCGAACAUGGGAGCAGCCGGAUGCAUCGAACCGUUGAACGAAUCACAUAAAGUGACAUAACAUUGGGGUCGACGGAUGCUCAGUGAUACAGCAACACAAUUGGUCAACUAGCUAGCUUGAUUCACUACUUGACAAGCCAACAGAUGAGUAAUACUAUGUUUACAUAAAGAUGUGUGAUUUGCAAGGAAACAUGCAUGGCUUGCCUUCACCGACGGGUGAAAGCACAUGCAAGCACGUUAAUCGAAAGUGGAAAGGUGGGAUUCCUCGUGUUAGGAAUAAGCAACUUAGUAUUCCCAUGAGGCCAUAGGCCAAUAUAUAUACAUGUACAGGUUAUGGACUAUAUGCAGGAAAACCUCUUAUAUAUUGGGAUAAAUACAAAAGGGUACAUGAGUUGUAUUAUAACUCUAACACCCCCCUCAAACUCAUGGUGGAUGAACAGCACUGAGUUUGGAGAGAUAAAAGCCAUGUUGUGCUCUAGUCUGGGCCUUCGUCAGGAAAUCCGCCAAUUGUAACUCGGAAGGCACAUACUGAAGAGCAACAACCUGAUCCUGCACAGCAGCACGCACAUAGAAAGCAUCAACACCAAUAUGCUUGGUGAGCCCAUGCUUCACAGGAUCGCGCGCAAUGCUAAUAGCACCUGUACUGUCAGAUAAAAGCAGAGUCGGUGUAGUGACAGAAACACCAAAAUCCUGAAGUAACCACCGUAACCAAGUCACCUCUGCCGUCAAAAGAGCCAUCGCUCGCAACUCAGCCUCUGCACUCGAACGGGAAACUGCAAUCUGUUUCUUCGUCUUCCAGGCAAUGAGAGAACCACCAAGAAAAACACAGUAAGCAGAAAGUGAACGGCGAUCGGAAGGAUCACUAGCCCACGUAGCAUCCGAAUAGGCCUGAAGCUGUAAAGAACUGGAGCGAGGAAAGAAUAAACGAUGAGAGAUCGUGCCCCGAAGAUAUCGGAGAACACGGAGGAGAUGACUAUAGUGAACCGAUGUGGGAGUAGAGACAAACUGACUCAGAAUAUGAACCGGAUAAGAAAUAUCCGGACGAGUGACAGCUAGAUAAACAAGACUGCCAACAAGAUGACGAUAGCGCGUCGGGUCAGGCAGGGGAUCACCAUCAGUAGCAGAGAGGUGAACAUUGAGCUCCAUAGGAGUCUCAACAAUGCGCUCAUCAGUAAGAGCAGCACGAGCAAGAAGAUCCUGGAUAUACUUUUCCUGGGAUAUAAAAAAGCCAUCAGAGGUAGAAGAGACUUCAAUCCCAAGAAAAUAGCGAAGAGGUCCAAGAUCAGACAUAAGGAACUGCUCACUAAGACAAGCCUUGACAAAGGCAAUAUACUCAGGGUCAUCCCCAGUGAUGACCAUGUCAUCAACAUAAAGAAGAAGAAGAGUCCGACCACGAGGAGAAAGGUGAAUAAAUAAUGCUGGAUCAUGAACACUGGGUGAAAAACCAGCGGCAGUCACCACAGAGGCAAAACGCUCAAACCAGGCUCGGGGGGCUUUCUUAAGGCCAUAGAGAGAGCGACGAAGACGGCAUACCAUGCCAUCAGGAACAGAAUACCCAGGUGGAGGUUGCAUGUACACCUCGUCACGCAGCUCACCAUUAAGAAAAGCGUUCUUAACAUCAAGCUGAGAGAUAGACCAAUGGCGUGUAGAGGCCACGGCAAGAAGUGUACGAACAGUGGUCAUAUGAGCCACAGGAGCAAAAGUCUCGUCAUAAUCACGACCAUGCUCCUGCUGAAAACCACGAGCCACAAGACGAGCUUUGUGACGCUCAAGAGAACCAUCGGAGCGAGUCUUUACCUUGUAGACCCACUUACAAGUGAUGGGACGGACUCCAGGAGGCAGGGAAACAAGAUCCCACGUACCUGUGCGUUCAAGAGCAGCAAUCUCCUCAGCCAUCGCAAACUGCCAUUCAGGAUGAGCAACAGCCUGAUGAUAAGUAGUCGGCUCAAGAACAGCAGCUCCAGCUGUGGAAAAGCCUAAGCGAUCAACAGGCGGACGAGGACGAGAACGCAAGCCAUAAGUAGGCUGAGACGAGGAUGACGGCACAUCCAGAGAAGCAUCCACAGAACGUGAACGACGAGUGUAACACUGAGGAAAAGAUGGAACAAUGGAAGGAGGAAUCGCUAAAGUAGAAUCAGAGAGUGGCGACGAAGAAGUCACCGGAGAUGAAGGUGUAGAAUCCGGUGACAUGCUAGACGAGGAGACCGUGGAAGAUGGUGGCGACAAAUCGACUGAAGGUGGAGAAGCAGAGGGAGCAGAAUGAGUAGGCAAAGGCUCGACGAGUGUGAUACGCGUGUCAGGAAAAGUGAGAAAAGAGAUAUCCUCGACUGAAAAAGUCGAGGAAGAUGAGCGUGGGUAGAAGGGACGAGACUCAUCAAAAGUCACAUCCCGAGAGAUACGUAUCCGACGACCGAUAGGAUCCCAACAACGAUAGCCCUUAUGCUCAUCACUAUAGCCUAAGAAGACACACUCAACAGACUGAGCGGUCAGUUUGGUGCGUUCGCGGGGGGGCAAGAAGAACAUAGCAAACACAACCAAACAAGCGAAGCGUCGAAUAAUCGAGGGACCGAUCAAAAAGACACUCGAAAGGAACACCACCCUGUAGAGCAGCGGAAGGCUGGAAAUUGAUGAGAUAGGUGGAGGUGGAGACGGCCUCAGCCCAAAAAUGCGGCGGGAGAGAGGCAGCAAUCAUCAAUGCACGAGCCGUCUCAAGAAGAUGAUGAUGCUUGCGCUCAGCCACGCCAUUCUGAGCAUGAGCACCAGGACAAGAGAAUUGAGAGAGAGUCCCUUGCUCAGCAAGAACACCACGCAACAUCUUAGAGAUAUACUCGCCAGCAGAGUCAGCACGAAACACACGAAUGGGAGAAGAGAACUGAGUAUGAAUCAUGGCAGCAAAACGCUUAUAAAUGGACAACACCUCACUACGAGAAGUCAUGAAAUAAAGCCAUGUGUAACGAGAGAAGUCAUCUAUAAAAAUAAUAUAGUAUUUAUGACCCCCUUUCGAAUCGAAGGGAGCCGGACCCCAUACAUCGGAAUGGACUAAAUCAAAAGGACGCUUAGACACUGACUCACUAUGUGGAUAUGGUAACUGAAUCUGCUUGCCAAGACGACAACCCUGACACUCUAAGGAGGCAUCUCCUGAGACAGACCCCAGAAGACCUCGACGAACUAACGACGACAAACGAGAACCACACAGAUGACCAAGGCGAUGAUGCCACUGCUGGAAAGAGCCAGUAGCCGAGGCGACCAAAGCGGAAGAACUGGCGAGAGAAUGGGCGGAGGAAGGAACAUGAAGCCAGUCCACCUCCCAAAGGCCCUCAGAAUCACGGCGGCGAGGGCCAGCCCCAACCAGAGUGUGCGUGCGACGGUCCUGGAUAGAACAAGAGUCAAGAUCAAGGAUGACACGACAACCAGAAUCAGCAAGUUGAGCAGCGGAAAACAAAUUCAUGGUAAGUCGAGGAACAUGAGCAACAUCAGGAACAGAAUAAGAAGGAGUCAUAAGAGUGCCUCUACUAACGACAGGAAGGGGAGUACCAUCAGCGGUGAGGACAUGAACAGGAGAAUCAAGCGAACGAAGAGAGGACAGAGUGGAAGAAUUAGAAGUCAUAUGAAAGGAAGCUCCAGAGUCCAGAACCCAUGGGGAUGUACUUGACUGUGUAGAAGGUGGUUGCUCAGUGCGGGAAGCCUCAGCCACAGAACCAGCAGUACCCGUUGAGGAAGAACCUGAAGCAGCGAGCAGACGCUUAAGUCUCAGAAUAUCCUGCUAAGUCAAAGCGAUGGCUGAAGCUGUCGAGGUAGAUGACGAAGUCGCUGGAGAUGGUGAUCGCGCCUUGCGCAAGUGUUUCUUCUUCGUGUAGCAGUUCAGCUCAAUAUGACCAUCAUUGUUGCAGUAGUUACAAUGUGGACGGGGGCGACCUGAGCCGCCAGAAGGAGUAGGCAAGAGCGGCGGAGCAGUCGAGCGAGAAGGGGUCGGUGCAGCAGGUGGUGUAGAAAAAGUCCGAACAGCGAGCACCGAGGGAACCUCCAGCAAACCAGCACCACGUAAGUGAGUCUCCUCAGCACGAAUCUCAGAAAGCGCCUCCAUGAGAGAAAUACGGCCACGAGCAAACAACUGAGCACGCCGGGGCUCAAACUCCUUACGGAGCCGAGACAGGAACUCGUAGACGCGAUGAAACUCCAAGUCGGCCUGUACAGCCUGGCAACAGGGGCAAGUACGACAACCAACACUGCGGAGAGAAUCAAGCUGGCGCCAGAUAGCAGAACUCUGUGCAUAGAAGUCAUCCACAGUAGAGUCACCCUGAUGAAGAGCAUGCUCCUGACGGACCACGGAGAGGUAUAAGGCAUCACCAGAGGGCUCAUAGCGCUGACGAAGGCGGGUCCACAUCUCAAAGACAGUAGGAAGGCCCAGAAACUCAGAAGCAAACUGAGGCAGAACACUAGCAGUGAGAACAGCGGCAGCACGAGCAUCAUCAUCAAGCCACUGGGUGUAACCGGACAGAGCAUCACGAUACACCUGAAGAGCCUCCUCAUAAGCCAAGACCUUCUCAUCAUAAGCACUCACAGCGGCCUCAUCAGCAAGCUGAGUCGUAUCCUUUGCGGCCUGAGAAGCAUCCGCAGGAAGAGCCGGUGGGAUCGGCGGGGUGGGAGCCAUGGGAGGAACCGGACAUGGCGGACAAGAGACCUCGCCGGAAAGAAAGGCCCAUAGGCGGAUGCCACGCAUGUGAAUGCGCAUGAAGCCAGUGAACUCGGUGUAGUUAGUGCCAUCAAAAAUCACUGGACAACGAGGAACAACAACGUAGCCGGAUGCAGCAGACUUUUUUUUUUUGGUCAACGAAACGCGUCAGACAACAGGACGCGAUCUGGCGCGGAUGGAGUCGAGGGCCAGGGGCGGCGCAAUCUGAGGAGAUGGGACGCGGCCGUCUCUGCUGGUGGAAGCCGCCUGUGCCUCUAACAGCCUGGAACCGCUGGGAUCGGGACAGGCCGAGGCGGCAAGAUCCAGCACCGCAACGGGAUCGUGGCGGGUCGCGUCAGGAGGGGGCGGCGGCCUCGAGUCGGGACGUCGCCUGGAGCCGCUGGGAUCGGGGCGGGCCGGGGCGCCCUGACCAGCGACGGGAGACAAGGCGGCGUGACCUGCGCGGCUGAGGGGAGGAAGAACGACGGGGCGCACCCUGACCAACGACGGGAGACGAGGCGGCACGACCUGCGCGGCUGAGGUGAGGAAGAACGAUGGGGAGAAGCCGACGCAGCGAGGGGGGCAGGCUGGAGAUCGAGCGGAGCCUGCAGAGGGCAGGAUGAACCGAGCAGGAGGGAGGAGCUCGAUCUGAGCGGCGGCGUGGGAUUGGAUCAGCAUGAGUUGCGCGUGCGAAAAAAUAACCUAAGGCUCUAAUACCAUGUUAGGAAUAAGCAACUUAGUAUUCUCAUGAGGCCAUAGGCCAAUAUAUAUACAUGUACAGGUUAUGGACUAUAUGCAGGAAAACCCCUUAUAUAUUGGGAUAAAUACAAAAGGGUACAUGAGUUGUAUUAUAACUCUAACACCUCGAACGUAUGAACUACUAGUCUGCCUAAGUAUGCCAGUAGUUAAACUAACUAAUGUAUGUGCAUCGAAUCUAGGAAUCUGGCUGGAAAAUAUAUAUACUGAACUUUCCUAUCCUUUUUGUUGUAUCAAAAAAUCAUGUGUACUAAUAGCUUCUGAAAUCAUGAUCGAUUUUUUUUUCUACAUACAGCUAGGUUCUGCACUUGGUGAUCAUGAGCGGCGUUGUCAAUGACGUAGCAUUGCUCACGAUGGAGUAUAUGAAAGGCAAAGGUUGAUUGAAUUAGUUAGUUGUGGUUUGAGUAAGAUGGAUGCACACUGGCACAUAAGCUAAGCUAAGCCUCCAACUGCCAAUUCCUGUAUCCAACAGACGAGUGAUGUGCAUCCAAAUAACAAGAGUGAAAAGGAAACGGAGAUGGGUAGUUCCAAUCCUCUCUGGAGGAAUUUUAACAAAAGGUGAUGCGCGUAGGGUGGCGGCUGGUUAUUCAUGGAUGGAAUGGAAGUUGCAUGCGACAAUGCGUGUGAACCAGGAGAGAAUCAUGGCAGUACCUCGCCUCCGUCGCCGGCCAGCCUGCUCUGGCAUGAUGUAGAGCUGGAGGCGGUCGAGAGGCUGCCUCUGCCCUUUGUCCUGCAAUCACGGGUGGACGCUGCGCCUGCAGGGGAAGAGGGGAGUUGUUUCUUUAGAGCAUCUACAGCGGCACUAGAAAAAUCCAGGCACUCAAUCCUCCAAUUUCUUCAUAUACAUCAAGAUGUAUAUUAAAAUCUUAAAUCUAUAUAAAAGUAUGCAAAGAAAAAAUCACAUACUACAUAGAUUAACUAUCCUAAUCCUUGUCGGAGAUGUCCACUAUCUCCAUGUCCUGCUCCGGGUCAUGGGCGUCCUGCCUGGCUCCGGUAUAUGGACGGUAGCUGCAGCUCCGACUCUUGUGGCUCCUGCAACUUCUCCAUGUCGGCCUCCGCAUCCAUCUCUGCGUCGAGUUCUGCGAAAAGAGUGACGGUCCCCGGCCGCUCGUGCCGGAUGAAGCAUCGGUUGGCCUCUACAUAGGCCUCCUCCUAGAUUGCCUACGCCGAAGUCGGCCUCCGCAUCAUCCAUGUUGAAGCACGGAGCCGGUGCCAGCUCAUCCUCCGGCUUCUCGGCCUUGUCCUCCUCCAGAUCCGCCAUCUCCAUCGAAGUCGGAUGUUGCUCCUCUCCCUCCUCCUGCUCUGCCUGCUCCUUCUCCUCCUCCAGCUCCAACGAGUCCGGAGGAAGCCCGGUAGCGAUGCGAACGACGCGCCUCGCCCGAAUCUCCUGCUCGAUCUGUUACCGAUGCUUUGGCAUGAGCAUGGCAUAUGUGGUUAUCUUCUAUCGGAGCAUGACGUAGCCGGAGAACGUGGAAAGAGCGGCGGAGUGAAGAGAGAGGAGGUGGAUGCGCUUGGGCUGAUGGUGCAUAGAGGGAGGUGGAUGCGCUUGGGCUGAUGGUGCAUAGAAGGAGGUGGAUGGGCUAGGGUUGGGGGACGUCGAGUGGCUUAAAUAACCGGAUUUGACCUCGGGUGGAGAGUCGAAGCUUCAUCACGCGUGGUUCACCCCCCCUCCCCCUAGACACACCAGAGGAGACGCCCAUCGGACCGUCGGGCUUUCAGGCGAUUCCGCAUGUGACCUGAUUGUCAGUCCGAUGAGUCUGACGUGGCGGACGUUCGCAGAUGCCCAAUAUCCACCCCAUAUUUAAACUGAAUAUGAGGGGUGUCGAUCAGCCCAGGUGUUUGAGGCGCUCGUGUGGAUUGAUUCGUCCGGGUGUUUGAGGCCGGUUUAGGGUGUCCCACCAUAGAUGCUCUUAGCCAGCACAUUUCUUUUCCUUUUUCAAUUUUAUGAAAGAUAGAUAUAAAACCUUUUGAAUUAACUAUUAGAAAAAGGAAAGAAAACUCAAUCCGACCUCACCUGCUCAUCAGCAUCAUGGCGAUGCCGGCGCCUGACGCAGCCAUGGCCUCCUCCACCUUCAGCCUCCAUCCUGAUUUCUUCAUCAACUUCUUCCGCCACCAGAAUCGCGCCAAGUACCAGGCCGUACGCUUCUCCAAGCCGAUAGACGCUUCGAUGGUCCUUGGGUGCGUCGUCGGCACACAGCGCGGGCCGACUGCGGGGAUCGUCGACAGCCUCGACAUCCCGGCUCGGCAACCAGCCGCCCCGCCUUCCAAUAGAAAAAGGGGAAGAAGGACCGGCACCCAUGAAAUCUACAAGGUCUUGAUGGACAAUGCUAACGGAAAAACAAGAAGAAGAGUUUUCUAUCUCCUUCGUAGAAUAUCAUCUCUCUCAUCACAGAUAUAUCUCCAUGUGACUCUCUAUGAUCGUGUGCUGCACGCUGCUCGACCCAUCUUUGUCAAAUCAAACUGCACACUUAAGUUUCUAGACCCAGACAGGAGUAGGAUGUUUGUCCACCACCACAAUGGAUGUUUUCUCUGUCACCCGAGCCAAUCUGCUGCCGACUCAGGUGAGAAUGUGACGCUUCAUGAAAAAGAAGGAGGAGGCACGGACACGCAUGGUAGGCGUCGGUCGGUUAGGACGAUGCUUCUCGAAACUCCGUCGAGUUUCACCAUGUUCAGUGUCGACGCGCGGUUUCUUUAGUACCCCUAUGAGAUGUGGCCGUGGUUUGCUCAUCUCAGCGAUUGCACGCGCCGCAGUCUCUACCCUCGGUUUCAUCAAGCUUGAUAACAAAUCUCUUGCCUGGGAUGCUGAUGGCAAGGUCCUGGCAAAAUUCACUCUAUGAUCCAUCACUACACAUACACAUGCACGGAUGGUCGAGAAGAAACUCAAGGUCGGUUGUUUUUUCCAUGCACCUAUUGUUCAUGAGUUGAUGUGGGGACUAAAUUAUGUCCUAAAUGAAUUCAUACCUGAAGAAAGGGACAACCUGACUGACGAAUGCAAUCUCCCACUAAGCCAGGAGCUGGAAGAAGAUAAGAGCUUAUGGAUUCAAUGUCUCGCCACGAAUGAUUGACAUGGAGUUCAUAAGCACCGCUGGCCACUUGUACAUCACAGAAGUACAUCACAGAAGUUAAUUUGGAAAGUCUUUCAUUGUCCUUGCGUCAUAUAUUUGCCCACCGCUUUCCUGGGAGUCUCGCAUGUCUGACCUCGAGUUUGCGAAAGCCAUUGCAGAUGAUCUCCAUUCAUCUCGGACAAUAUGAGGUUCACCAAUUUUAUUUUGGCAGCUCCUGAACUGAAAAAUCAUGGCCUGAAAAUAAAUUUUGGUAAAAGCGAGGUUUUCAUCCUCGGAUACCCCCCUAAGGAUCAACACCGGAUUGCAGAUAGCCUAAACUGCAAGUUGUCGGCGUUCCCCAGAAUUUAUCUGGGGAUGCCGUUGGCCGAGUCGAAGAUCCUGGCGAGCUGAUUUGAUCCCCUAGUGGGUCGGGUUGUGUCUCGUGCCGAGCCGCGGCGAGGGUUGUUUACCUCCAAAGGGAGUAAAACGGUGCUCAUUAGUGUGAAUCUGACGAGUCUCCCAUGUAUAUGAUGGGGAUGUACAUGCUUUCGAAGAGCGUUCAUAGCUCAUUCGAGAAAGAACUCGCCAGGUUCUUCUGGCAGGCUUCGAAUGGCCGCCAAAUAUACCACAUGGUCAAGUGGGCAGAUGUUUGCCUGCCCAAGGACUGAGGGGGUUGGGGAUCACGGUCUCCCGUAUUAUGAAUACGACCCUCUCGUGCUUCGGUGUGUAUGGCGGAUCCUUCGUAGUGACAGUGGAUUGUGGUUAAUACUCCUUCAAGCGAAAUACCUGAGAGGUGAACCGCUCCUAGCUUGUUCUUGCGUCGAUAGAUCUCAAUUCUGACGGGCGAUCCAAAAGGUCAAGGAGGAAAUUCGACUAGGAAUUUCCUUCUCUACAGGUAAUGGGGACGGGACCCAGUUCUGGUUGGAUUCAUGGGAUGGAGAUGUAUCGCUCAUGGUGGGAUUCCCGCCUUGUUCUCCAUCUGCGCCGACCCUUCCCUUCUCGUCUCUAUGGUUGUCUGCCUAGGACAAUGGGACAUUAGGUUCAGGGGUGCUUUCGGCCAGGUAGAAACGGUGGAGUGAAACCGCCUGCUUGAUACCUUGCCUUAGGCUCUUCCGGACCAUCUGAACACAAUGGCCUAGAGCCUUUCCCGUCUAGGGAAUUCUCGGUGAGCUUGGUAUAUAUGGCUCUAUGUCGCUUCCCCAUCAUCCCUUGGCUCGGACGGCUAUGGAAGGCACCCCUACCCCAUAAGAUCAAAAUCUUUUGUAUGGCAAUUACUUCGUAAUCGGCUACCUUCAGGGACAGAAGUACGUAAAUAGCACGGCCCUAGGGACGGCAUGUGCCCCUUAUGCUCGGUCUUGGAGACCGCAGCCCACAUCGUCUUCACAUGUACAGCGGCAAGGGACAUUUGGGAGUUCAUACGCGAGCUCUUCGGCAUGAUUGGGAAGCCCAAGACCUCGCAGAGUUCCUCCAAGCCAGGGCCAGCCAAUCUGGACAACGACACAUCUUAUUUUGGCUGAUUUUUGCUGCUAUGUCGUGGACCCUUUGGACCACUCACAAUAAGAUGGUGAUUGAGAGGAUCUUCUUGAGGCAGACGCCUGACUCUUUCUUUAAACUCCUUGCGUUCCCGCAGUACAGACAUCCACUUUCUAGGCAGCGAGACCGGGAUUGUCUGGAUGGCAUGCUGGAUGCGGUGCAGGCUACGACACGUUGGCUGGCUUCCCAGGAGGGAUGAUGUGCCCCCGCCACCAGGUGGCUUUUUUUCUUAUUUCUUUUAUUUUAAUUGGGCGAGAAUGUGUCGGUGCCCAAGCUUUUAUGAGAGUGAAUGUGUGUGGUUUGUAUGUCCCGUUGCUUUAUCUAUAUAGUGCGGCGAAAGCCUAUUUCCGAAACUGAAAAAUCAUGCUAUAUUGCGUCUCAAGCAUAUGGAGGCAACAUCUAGUGAAGAUAUUUUGGCGAUACCCGACAGGAAAGAUUCAUGUCUCGGGUGUAUGGAGCCAGUAGCUAGUGAAGAUUUUUUGGUUGUUCCUAAACGAAAGAGGUCAUUGGAGUUCUGGGGCGAAAACCUGAAGCCAAUGGCAAGAACCCGAAACUUCAAGUUAAUAUUGAGGUUAUGGCUUCAAAAUUAAAGGCCAUGGGGAAAACAUGAAGGAGGUUGGCAGUGAUGAUCAUUCUGAUUCUAAUUCGAGUAAGAAUGACAGUGUCGAUGGCAUCCACUCUUAUUUAAGACCAGAUCAUCGAUGACACGUGUUAUUGCAUCCAUCUGUUUUAAUCUAGAAUGGUAUGAAUUUAUGUAAUUAUAGGAAUAUUAAAUUUAACUUGCAUAUUGGUUAGUGGUUAAUUUAUUUUUUGGAAGAACAUUUAAAUGUUGAGACUCUUCGAAUACGAUGAAAAGAAGAUAAACUAGUACAGCUUUCUCAGGACCCUUUAACACCUAUCUCUGAUGAUCCUUGGUGGUCUUUCAUUCUUCCCAUCAACAUCGAUCAUCAGGGCCGGCCCUGUGUUUCGGGAGGCCCAAGGAGAACUUGACGACAUGUGCCCCUAUAUCCUAAGACUAUGUAUAUAUGUAUGUCAAAAAAAAACCUUCAAUGGUUAAAUUUUCAAAUCACUUAAAAUGAUUUGCUUUUAGGUUUAAUAUCCUAAAAUUAAGAAGAGAAGAGGAUACAAAGAAUUAGAAAUCUAUACAUAGGAUGAUUUCUAUACAUCGGAUGAUUGGAAUCCUAAAUGUGUAGUACAUAGAAUGACAAAACAUUAGGAUACAAGCUACAGAAUAAAAAGCUACUCAAACCGGGCUUUGGGGGAAUCGGAGAUGGACCAGGAUUCAAAAAGUACAUCGAUGGAAUCAUGGAUACAUACCGCGGUGCACUCACGGCUCACAUACAUAUACGUAUUGCCACCUUGCCGGAUGUCGAAUGGCCCCACGGCGCACGCAGCAGCGGUGGUCGAGGCAUCGAGUGAAACGUCGACGGUCGAUCAGUUGCCGAUGUUACAAAGACGAACAGACACCGAGUCAGUAACAAAGACACAAGACGAGAUCUUUCAUUGAUCUGUUUCAGAAGCGGAACGAGCGCCAUGCCUUGCGUCUGGCCAGAGGUGAGGCUUCGCAUUGCUAGCUAGCUAGCUAUCUCAGGGCAGGCUCAUCUCAUUUCUUUUCUCAUGUAUAAUUUUUUUCAAAAUAAUUUUUUUGGCUAUACUAUAUAUGUAUCCUACAUCAUGGGCCCCCUCCUGGCGUGGGUCCUAGGCCGUCGCCUCGCCGGUCAUACACAAGGGCCGUCACUGUCGAUCAUAAGGGAUGCAUAGUGUAAGAAAUAUACUUUGAUAUUAAAAAGGUAAGAGUGAAAAUUGUGCUGCAACCGUAGGAGAGAUAUGCAUUCUACUAUUAUCACUUUCUCUAGUGAUUUCCUUGUCCUCGCCCUCUUUGUCGUUAUUGCUAGUGUUCACCCUUAUUAUUGGAGAUACUGGUAGGAUACUCUGUUAUAAUUUGACCAAGGAUAUGUGAAAGUGGUUAGUUGUAGUUUUGAGUAAUAACAUUGCUUCCAUCCAUAGUAGCAUCAGGCUGCUCAUAGUGGAGAGUAACAUAUAGUAGUAUCAUGCAUAUGUUACUAUUGUAUGAUACUAUCUUCAUAGUGCAUAGUAACAUAAACUAGUAUCAUAGGUGAUCUCAUUUAUUAACAUGCAUGACACAUAGUAGCAUAGCAUUUAACAUGUUACGGUAUCUACCUAUGUUACUCUAAUCAUCUCUCUCUUCUUUAAUUACUUGCCACAUCAUCAUGUUUGCUAGUCCCAAGACUAUGUUACUAGCUAUGAUACUAUGGAUAUAGCCUAACAGUCAUGAACAGUUCAAUCAUACAAGUAAAUAAAUUGUAGAGAAAAUUAAAAUAUUUUUGGGAAUACAGAAAAACUUACAUAAUUGUACAGAGUGUGGGAAUGGACAAAAAUGAAUUCAUUAGUUAAAAAGAAUGUAUGUAUAUCGACAUAGCAAUUGCCCGCUCGAAAGAUAAAAUUUACAAAACAUGGUACAAUUUUAGGACAUUUUCGGAAUGCCAGAUAAACCAGUAUUCCCAUUAAUUCAUCGAUGGGAGUAGCCUUAAGCAAAGGCUUAAAUUCAUGUGAAAGCAGAAAGUUGAAAGAUAACCUUGAGUCACGGUAAAAGCUUAAAAGUCUAAAAGGCCAUCAGGUUAAUCAGCACACAACACGAUCUACCUAGCACCUUGUCAAACCCUGCAGUGUUAAAUACUACAUAAAAUAGGGACCAGAAACACUGCAGUGUUUCNNNNNNNNNNNNNNNNNNNNNNNNNNNNNNNNNNNNNNNNNNNNNNNNNNNNNNNNNNNNNNNNNNNNNNNNNNNNNNNNNNNNNNNNNNNNNNNNNNNNNNNNNNNNNNNNNNNNNNNNNNNNNNNNNNNNNNNNNNNNNNNNNNNNNNNNNNNNNNNNNNNNNNNNNNNNNNNNNNNNNNNNNNNNNNNNNNNNNNNNNNNNNNNNNNNNNNNNNNNNNNNNNNNNNNNNNNNNNNNNNNNNNNNNNNNNNNNNNNNNNNNNNNNNNNNNNNNNNNNNNNNNNNNNNNNNNNNNNNNNNNNNNNNNNNNNNNNNNNNNNNNNNNNNNUUUUUUUUUUUUUUUUUUGCAAAUAGUGUUUCUUAUUUUUAUAAUUGACCAACAUGUUAGGCUGUUGCCAUAAGAAACAUGACCACUGCGAGAGGAAGAAGGGUGAUAGGAGAGCAUGCAGGAGGAGAAUAAGUGUAUAUGGAGGCGCACGUGGUAGAUAGAUUUGAUGCAGGAAGAAACACAUACCCCUGUUUAGCGUUCCUUCACACAUGACGAACUGAUCCACGAUGAAUGACUCCGGAAACCGGUGAUUGAUUGCCUCGCCUUCAUCGCCGAACAAACAGUCUGCUGAUGCUCCGCCUCCGCCUGGCGCCUCUCCCACCGGCCGCAGCCGAGGAAGUUUCAAGCAGACGGGGCGUCUGCCUGCCGUUAUCGCCCUCGCCCCCGCCGUUCUUCAGCUCAUCCCCUCGCGCGCUGGACUGGACUGCGUCGAUCCCGCUCCUCCGGUCGAUCCCAGCUUCCCAGCGCACGCAUCGACCUGCCUCGAUCCCGCACGGAUCCAAUCGAGGUUACACCGGCCGCCUGGCGUCGAGAGUCCGGGAUGGAACCAAACCGCUGCUAUCUGCUCCCCGCAUCUGGAGUCCGGGACUGGGUUUUUUUUGUAGUUUUAUGAGGGCAGAAGUCCGGGACUGGAUGGAAAAAAAAUUUGUGAUGGAGGAGGAACUAUUUUGGCCAAGCCGUGUAAAGGGCUCGCUGACGGCCCAACGAAGCGCAUGCCUUCGUUUCUGUUGACAUUAGUAGUGGGUUUUAGGCCCAUAAAAGAAUUUCAAAAAUCUUUAAGGUUUCAUGUAGAUGGUGGCAUGACAAGGUUGUGGUCGGAAGUUUAGUCUCACACCGUUAGUGGAGAAGAAAUUGGACCCCUUUAUAAGGGUCUCUCUUCUACAUGCUAUUGAAAAGUGAGCAGAGAAGAGGCCCCGCGCACUCCUCCUCCGCCGCCCGCCACUGUCAAUCAAGAAUGGAGGGGGCAGACCAACCAUUACAUAGACAAAGAAAUUGGAUGUUGGGGACGUCUAUGACUGCGUCGGGGGCGGAGGGUGGCGGCGUCGGGGCGGCUGUCAUCGGGGGUGGAGGAUGGCGGCGUCAGGGGCGGCCGCCGUCGAGGGGGGAGGUUGAAGGCGUCGGGCGCGGCCGCCGUCGGGGGUGGAGGAUGGCGGCGUCAGGGGCGGCCGCCAUCGGGGGCGGAGGGUGGCGGCGUCGGGUGUAGCCGCCGUCAGGGGCGGAGGUUGGGGGCAUCAUAGCGAAGGUUGGCAGCGGCGGAGAGUGCGGGCGGGCCGAGCGAGGCAGGAGGACGUGGGGUGGCAAUUAGGGCUAACGAAAACUGUCAAUUUUGUUAACAACGUUUGUAGACCCUUGAUAAGGUAAUUAAACGGUUUAAAUUAAGAGUUGGAUCUGCCCUCUCGUGCUUUUAUUAGUAGAGAUUCCACUAGAAUAAUACUUUGUGUGGCAGGGAGUGUUUUCUACGGGCUUGCUAGCUUAACUAGCAAGCUACGUCAGUCUGCACAUAGCUAGAUAUUUUCUAGCUAUGCCUCCAUGCCGACAUGCAUUUGAUAUUUUUUUGUACACCGCCGGGUCAACAUUAGGUAGGCAGGCAUGCACAGUUGGUAUCCUUCUACAAGUCUUGUAUUCUCACUCCGAUCCACUUGGACAGACUUUUCCUCCAUUUAUGCAUGUGGUAUACAAGGUAUAAACGUAGGCCGCUUAAACCUUUUUUCCUUCAUUUAUACAUACACAUGUGGUGUACUGCUUAUAAGCUAGACAAGCAACGACUACCGCGCCCCCUCAGCGUCCCGGAGCAGUGUAUAUUUGACGUACUCGAGGACGUCGAGAGGACACGCUAGUCGUCGAUAAACAAAUGGCCCACGCCAAAAGCUCAUCGCAGCUCACCUGCGCACCCCAAGGAGGAAGCCGCAGAGUAGAAAUCUCAAGCACCGCCGCCCAACGUAACGGUUAUGGAGGAAGCCGCGGUGCAAGAAUCUCAAGCACCGCANACGAUGCAAAAAUCUCAACCACCGCAGUCCAACGCAACGGUCAUCGUGUAUCUUCCGCAGAAGAUUCCACGAUGUAAGCUCGCGCGACCGACCAGCCCACUCUGAUGCGCAAGUCUCUAGCACGGCCGCCCAACACGGAUGCCAUUUUUCAUCGCGUGGUGAGCGUUAAUUAUGCGACUCGCUGAACCAUGAUGAUGCACUUGUUUGUUAUUGGAAAUAAUGGAAACAACCAAAUUGUCCGUAUCCAUUCCAACUAUGUAGCAUAUAUGAGAACCGUUUGUUCUUUCCGGUAAUAAGCACUACUCUAGUCGCUCGUAUCGUGUGUGGCUGUUAUGAUUUGAGUCGGUUUGUAUUUCUGUCUAGUAAGUGUUACUCCCUUUGUUCCUAAAUAAGUGGGACGAUUAAGGAUGGGAAUAAGUUUACCUUCGGAGCACAUAAGGUGCAUCCUUCCUCUGUUUGGCUAUAAUUUACCGGGAUCUAGUUUUCUCUGGCUCAUAUAACAUGUUUUUAAUUGAUCUGGAAGCUUAAAUAGCUCAACUGGAGAAUAUUACAUUCCUGUUGUUUGCAAUUUCAGGAUGAUAUUGUGAUAUGACAACAAGAGAGGCUUUAAUUUGUUGGUUACGUACUUAGCACGGCUGGAAUGUUCGUUUAUAAGAUGUACUAACUAAAAUAAAUUAGCAGCGAGGGAAAAGACUAAAGGCCUAAUAACUAUAGGUAAACAUGAGCCUUUCCUGUACAUAUUUGGUUAGUUGCCUAGCAUGAGAUACAUGAAGCUUCAGGUGUCAAGUAUCGUAAAAAGGGAGGGUACAUCUUCUAUGCCCAUGGCUUCUUUCUUAUUAAUCGGCUGCUCUCUUCACGAAUUUUAGGAUCUUCUCAGCCCAUGGCUGCUUUCUUAUUAAUCGACUGCUCUCUUCACGAAUUUUAGGAUCUUCUCUGCCCAUGGCUGCUUUCUUAUUAAUCGACUACUCUCUUCAUGAAUUUUAGGAUCUUCUCUUCACGAAUUUUAAAAUCUUCUCAGCCCAUGGCUGCUUUCUUAUUAAUCAACUACUCUCUUCAUGAAUUUUAGGAUCUUCUCUGCCCGUGCCGCUUUCUUAUUAAUUGACAGCUCUCUUCGCAAAUUUUAGGAUCUUCUCUGCCCAUGGUUGCUUUCUUAUUAAUUGGUUUUGGUUGUUUGAGCAUUGAUUUUAGUCACACCAAGAGAAUUUGGAGUAGGGCAAUAAAGAUUAGUCCCCGCACACUACCAGUUCAACGAAAUGCCGCCCACCCACUACAUACCGCAGCGAGGCCGUCUUGUCCCCUCCCGUCCGGUCCAUGCUGCCACCAUUCCUCGCGUGCUCCAUAGCUGCCGGUCUUGAGGAUUAAUAAUUGGAAUGUGGGUAAUCUGUGGAUCUAUGAGCACUUUUGUUUCUGUAGGUAAGUUCUGAUGAAGGGGAGAGGGGUAAAAUGCUUGAGCACAGGGAAUUGCUGUGGGAUGAUUAAGGUUGUGAAUAAGUUUAGCUUCGGAGCACAUAAUAUGUACCCUUGCUCUUUUUGGAUAUUAGUUUAGGUUGUUGGUUAGGUAUUUAGAAUGGCUGGAACGUUGGUAUAUGAGGUGUACUAGUAAAAAAAAUAGCAGUGAGGCAACAUACUAUAGGCUUAACACCACGCGACCUCGCCGGCAAUGCGGGGCUCCACUGGAUCCAGGUAUUCCUGCCUGGGGUCAGAUGUCAGGUCUUCGGACGGAGGAAGCACCGGCGGUGGGCGUCUAGCUAGCCCUAGAAGUGCCGAGGGAGGAAGUCGGAGGCGGAGAAUGGAGUUCGGUGGUUCGCUGGAGGAGGAAGAAGACCGAGGUGGAAAUAGUCCAAGCGUUCUGGAAUGAUGUCGGAUUCCUAACGCUGGCGUCGCCUUUCUGGACGAAGAGGCCCAUCAUCGCCGUCAGGAAAGACACCAAAGGAGGUAUCAGAGAUGGCUGAACCGGUAUCGUCGUCGAAACCUACGUCACGUUUCUGCUUGCUUAUUAAUUGUUUUCCUUACUUUUUUUACCUUUUCUUCUUUUUUAUUUUUUUCUAAUUUCAAAAUUUGAAAUAAAUGUUCAACUUUUUUAAAUUCUUCAUGUUUUCAAAUCAUUUGGUGUUUUAUCAAAAUAUGUUUGAAAUUUCAAAAUUUGUUCACAAUAUCAAGAAUUUUUUAAAAAGUUUUCACUUUUUUCAAUAAUUGUUCGAGGUGUCAAAAAAUGCUAUAUUGGUGGAAAGAAUCCAUCACCGAGAGGUAAUUCAGUUAAGCUAUAUAUAUAUAGUACCACAUCUACGGUAUGUGGUGAAGCUAGAACGUGGCAAAACACAGUAAGAACUGUAACUGUAUAUGGUUGCAAAUAGAAGCAGUGUCAAGUGGGAAAACCCCUGGUAAAAAGAUUGGUCUUUCUUUAAUAGACCGGAACCCUAAACCGGCGGCAAACUCUGAUUCUUGAUUCGAACUGCUUCGGGACACAUUUUCAUGGACACCUCCUACUCCUAUUGUCAUAACUUUCUCACAUGGGCUCUAAAUAUGGGAAUGCAUAUGUCCAUUUCGACCAUCUAGACGAGAAAUUGCAUCAUGGUGCACUCUAGGCUAUGAUUCACCGCAAGGUAGAUACAUCUUUUCUUGACCAAAAACAGUAGGGAAGAACUCUGCUAUGUCAUUUUCAUUUAUAGUAAUCAGUGAUGGAAAUAUACAGAGGGAAGUUACACAAGGUAGAUACCAAUAUUAACAUUCCCUUUUAUUUUGGAAAAACUAAAUUCACCUCUAGACAUGGCAGUAACCUUAACGAUAAAAUUUGUUGGUGAUCAGACAGUUAGAAACACAUGACAUGGUACGGAUACUCAUAUUUCAAAUGUAUUAAUUUGAGUUACAUGAGACAUCCCCCUAGUAAAAAAAAAAAAACAAAUCCCCGAAGUGUAACACAGAUAUGCACCACCACUUCCGAAUAUAUGAGAUGCAAUUAUCCAAGAAAACCGCUAUAGUAUUUAUUCACCACUCUGCAAUCUUGAGGGACCAUACAUGAUCCUGCUCUGCACGUCACUCUGUAAGGAUAGCUUCUAGCAGCUGAGCAGUGGAAGAUCUCAAAGUGGGGGAUACGGGAGAGCUACCGAAGAAGCCAUCAUACAGAGCAUAACUGACAGUGGCUGAUUUGACCUCAGCGUCGAUUUGGGAUGGACAUUGGUCCGUCGAAACCGAGACCUACAGAAGCACGAGUUAGAGGAUGAAAUAUGAUGUAUGCAGCACCGUUGGCGAUCAAAUUCAACAAACAAUCUGUCUCCCUGGUUUGGAAAUACAAGAAAGUAAUUUACCUGAAUCGGCAUUACUAAUUUACCGAGGAAAUAACAAAUCCUAAUUAACAAGCUGAUUUUGGGAAUCAAAGACUUCAGAGGUGAGACACAGCUUGAGAAGACCGGCAUUCAGAUUAUUCAGAGUUAUUCGCAAAGGAGAUGCUAUGAUUAAAUUCCCUUUCAAUCUUUCAGUCAAUAGGAAAAAUGCGAUGUCGUUGCAGUGAAUUAAUUCAAUCUACUACUAAGCCUGGACAAAAAAAGCAGCAUCUUAAUUUCACAACAAGAUAUGCCUUGUGCUUUCUUGCUGUGGCCGCACAAGAGUAUUGUUUCCUACCAACAACUCUAGACGAAUUUGAUUAAAAUUUUGAAUACAGAGGGGCUGGUUGUUAAAGAACUCACCAGCAUUCUUGAGGGUUCCAACCAAGUUAAAUAGAUGCGUGUCCCCUGUUUGAGAUUGCGCCCCAGAAAGCUAUUCCGGAAGGUCGACAGUGAAGAUUCUUCCUCAGCGGUCGGUUUCUGGAUCCGGCGAGCAAUAACGGCAUCCAAAGCCUUGACAAAGGUCUUGCCAUCAACGUCUCUAACCAGAGUUAUGCUCAGAGAUUUCACAACCGGUGCUGCAAUGCAUUGCAUGCACAGUACGCAGUUUGAUCAGCAUGUAUUAUUAAUCACAGAUCCACGAACCCACUCCUCGGGCUAUUUGCUACUUGGAUCGAGCCUGGCUCGUCCUUACCUUUAAAAAUGGAGUCGAAACCCGAGGACGCAUCGAAAGUGUCGAGGCCAACCUUUCUCCUCCAUUGCUCGGUGUCUAGCCCGAUGGAGAUGUCGACGUAGAAUGCCGCGGCGUAUACCUUGACGAAGAACUUGUCUCUGUAACCUAGAGUGAGCUAAAAUUCAAGUCGCAAACUGUAAAAAACGCUACGCAUUUAUGCAUGUCAACUAUCUCGAAAGAAGGAGAUCCUAUGUAAUGUACGUACCUGUGCCGAGGAUGAUGAGAGGCUCUGCGUGGCCCGGAACAGUCAGCUCCCUGGAGAACUUCACGUUCGUCGCGCCUUCUACGACAUAAGCGUCACCCGCUACCGGCGAAAGCAAGUGCAAAAGUACAAUAAUACGGGUUUAGAAGGCUAAUCUUUGAACGAUAAUAGCACGGAAGUUGCUCAAAAGGGAAAGCAUGGAAGUAAAUUUCACACAACUCUGGAGAAUUUCACGUUCUCUGAAGUUUGACACCGGAAUUAAUAGAUCGGAGUUACGGGUUCUGGAUGCAGCUAAUAUGUAUGGUGUGGCGAUGUUGGGGUGCCUCACCUGGGCCUCCUCCGGCCGCGAACGAGAUGUGCAUGUGCUGCGGGCGCCGUGCGCCGCCGCGGCAUCGGCCGGCCGGCAGGUCGCAGGGUGGAAGGAGACGCGUGCGGCGGAGCGGCCUGGCGGGUGCAGGGCCGGCCAGCGGAGAGGGCACGACGGAAGCGACGAUCAUGGCGGAGCAGCGCUGGUUGGGUGAACGCGCGAGUCCCUUAUCCAAUCCAUCUUAUCCGUAAAUUGGCCCUCGGGGGGCUCGGCCCCAAAGAGCCUGGCCCAGAUGGGUUGAGACCCUCUGCUCUGCCCAGAUGGGUUGAGACCAAUCCUUAGAGCAACUCUAGCAGACCCUGUAUAAUUGUGACCUGCAAACGCGUUUUACAGUUCGACGAAGCGGGGUUUUGCGGGACGAAAUGUUGCGCUGCAGAACGGAACCCGUAUAAUCAAACUGCAUAAUUUAAAAUAAAACACUCGCGGGCGAAAUUGGAACCACAGUCUACAUAGAACAUGAUCAUACAAACUACAUUCACAGCCUGCAUCACUUACUAGAGGGGGGGAGCACACUUACCGGAGCUCAUCGGAGCUCACCAGAGCUACUAGCUAUCCUACCGCACUACGCAAAAUUGAGCUCACCGGAGUCGAGCUCGUGCGGUAGUAGAUGCGCAGUGCGCUCAGUCGUCGUCGUCGGAGGAGGAGAGCUCGAUGUAGAUGGGCUCCUGCGCACUCGCUUCGCGGCGCCACUCCUCCACCUUGUGGCCGAAGGCGAGGGCCGAUGCGACACCCUGCUCGUAGAGCAUGGUGUCGAUCUACUCCUCCCUCCGACGGCGCUGCUGGUCCUCUUCCGCCUCUCGUGCACUCCGCGCCAGCAGCACGGGCAAAAGGCUAUCCGCCUCCGCCGGAGGGAGGAAAUACUCCAGUCCGACGGUGGCCCCGGGACGUCGCUCCGGCACCGCCUCGGCCCCCGGCUCCAUCUUCACCGACGGGAGCUCUUCGAGCUCCCUAUUCACCGGGGGGAGAGAGGAGCACGAGCGCGAGCUCGACGCCUCGAAGGAGUUGCCGGAGAAGAGGCGGCCGCGCGCGCGUUCUUACUCCUCUGUCUCGCGACGGAGGAGCGACGGCGGCGGCGUCUGGCCCCACUGCGUGUACCAGCGGGCGGCGCGCUUACGGGCGGCGUCAGAUCUGACGCAAAGAGCCCUCUCAGGGUCGUCGUUCGUACGGCUACCGGAGUUGGUCAUUACAGGCGGUGGAAUGGAGCGGCUACGCGCGGAAUGGAGGCGCGCGGCGGCGGAUUGGAGGCGUCGGCGGUGAGUUGGGGGGACUUUUCGCGGCGGCGGAGGGAUAGGGUUUCGACCCGCAUCCAGCGGUCGAACCCGCAGAUAUACCGGUCCAGCGCUCGCGUUUACGGGCCACCGCAAAAAGUUUUGCGGGUCGGGCUGCGUUUGCAGUAUCUGCUCUGGCAGGAAAAACAGCCCAAACCCGCAUACUCGCCAGAUUUUUUGCGGGCCGGGCGUUUUGCGGGGUCUGCUAGAGUUGCUCUUAUGGCCUCGUUCUUUCAAGUACGAGGUUAUGUGGGAAGGGCAUUCAACAUGGAAUAACACCGAAACAGAUACAUGGUCAUCCCGAGGAUCUUCAAAUAGGGUGGAGGAACUGCAUGAAAAGCUUCGGGUAGUAGCUCAUGAUUUAUGACGAUGGAAUACUGACACCUUUGACAGUGUUCGCAAAGAGAUAAAACCCUAAACCUAGAAUUGGAAAAACUACGGGCUGAUUCCAGCCGUUCUACACCCACACAUGUUGAACUAAAGAUAAAAGAGAAGAUGGUGGAACUCCUACACCAGGAAGAGAUCAUGUGGCAGCAGAGGUCCAGGGUGGAGUGUCUCACCUCGGGGGACAAGAACACUAAUUUUUUUUCACCUGAGAGCUAGUAUUCAUCGGAAGAAAAACAUGAUCAAGGCGUUGCAAAGCUCGCUGGGGGUGUUAACUGCAGAUCGUGGGGAGCUGCGGGCAUAGGUACAAGACUUCUACAAGACCCUAUAUACCACCAAAGGUGUUAGCAAUAUGGAUGAUGUCCUGGAGUGUGUACCGAGGAAGGUGACGCCGGAGAUGAACGAUAUGUUGUGCGCCCUGUAUUCCAGUGAGGAGGUCAAGAUCGUACCGUUUCAAAUGUACCCGACUAAACCACCUGGUCCGGACGACUUUCCGGCUAAUUUUUACCAGAGGCAUUGGAAGCUAUGUGGUACACAGGUAACUGAUGGACUGCUCAGGAUUGUAAGGGGGGAGGAUAGCGUGGAGAGUAUCAUAGAUACAAUACUUGUGUUAACUACUAAGAAAAUUCUUACACGUAGAACUUUACCAAUAGCGUCUGUUUGGGUCCCCACACAACUUGUAAGUACUAGUAGUGUUGUGUUUAAAACAUGCUACUGGUAUCACUUAGCAGUAGCAUUUGUUUUUAUAGGACACGCUACUCGUAACUGUACGACACCACACCGCCAGAUCAAGAGAUAUUACCAGCGCCGGUCGUCCACCCAGCGCUACUGUUAAUGCCAGAUUUAUAACACCUCGUCUUGCCAACGCGCUGCUACCUCUUGACCUUGUGUUGGUUUUUCCUUAAAGAAAAAAGGGUGAUGCAGCAAAGUAGAUAAGUAUUUACCUCGGUUUAUUAAGAACCAAGGUAUCAAUCCAGUAGGAGGAACAAGCAAGGCCCCAAUCGUAGUACCUACACAAAUAAUCAAACUCUUGCACCCAACGCUAAAAAUGGGUUGUCAAUCCAUUCAGAGUUAUUUGCAAGGAUGAGAUCUGAUAGAGAUAGAUAUAAAAGAUUGCGGAAACAAAAGUAAAUAAAUUGAAGCAAGAUAUUUUUGGUGUUUUUGGUUUAUAGAUCUGAAUGUAUAAUAUGGAAAAUAGUCCCCGGGGCUAUAGGUUUCACUAUAGGCUUCUCUCAUAAAGGAAAAUAAUACGGUGGGGGAACAAAUUACCGUCGAACAAUUGAUAGAAAAGCAAAUAAUUAUGAAGAUAUCUAAGGCAAUGAUUAUGCAUAUAGGCAUCACCUCCAUGUCAAGUAGACCGAAACGAUUUUGCAUCUACUACUAUUACUCCACAUGUCGACCGACUCCUGCCUGCAUCUAGAGUAUUAAGUUCAUGAAGAACAGAGUAACACAUUAAGUAAGAUGACAUGAUCUAGAGGGGUAAACUCAAGCAAUAUAAUGAAAACCCCAUAUUUUUUUCCUCGAUGGCAACAAUACAAUACGUGCCUCGCUACCCCUACUAUGUCACUAGGUGAGGACACCGCAAUAUUGAAUCCAAAACUAAGCACUUCUCCCAUUGCAAAAAUAACCAAUCUAGUUGGCCAAACCAAACCAAUAACUGACUUGCUAAGAUAUGAAAUCAUGCAUAUAAGAAUUCAGAAGAGAUUCAAAUAAUAUUCAUAGAUAAUAUGAACAUAAACUCACAAUUCAUUGGAUCUCGAGAAACACACCGCAAAAGAGUAUUACAUCGGAUAGAUUUCCAUGAAGAUCAUGAAAAACAUGGUAUUGAAGAUCAAAGAGAGAGAAGAAGUCAUCUAGCUACUAGGGACGGUGUUCAGGGAGGGUCUGACAGACCCACUAGCACCUGAGCCCACCAUGAAGAAGGAGAGGAAGAGACUGUCGAGAAAAUGCAAUAAAACUGCCAAUGUUGCUUCUAGGAGCCAGCCGCCUGAGCAGUCAAGGGUUGACAAUGUACUUAUGAAACAUGCGCCAUUAAUCCAUGUCGCUGGAAAGCCAAUGGUACUGACGAAUGCGCUAGCUUCCAUAACAAGGGAUCUUAGGAGACUCCAUGACCAUGUGAUGUCGAUAGAGAGAAGCCUCCUCACCUCGGAUGAUCCACGAUACCCACUUUAUACGAUUGCCGAGCAGCGGCAUGUACGUCCACACAUGCGCCAUGGACCUCUUAUUCCUGGAAUUUGAUUACAUCUUCCAGAUUUUUCAAAUGAUGACACUCGAAUUUACGUUCGUCAAGAGAGAGCAAAUCACUGGUCUUGCGGUCGCGGACCCAUACUAUAUGCAUGAGGACUUCUUGUCAAUCCACGAACCCAACCAUCCAUAUGAGAGGGAGUACAUCGAAGAAUUAUUGGUCAUCAAUAAGGACAAACAAAUGAUUCUCCUACCUUAUCAUCCCGAGUAAGUCAUCCACGGAUAGCCACUAUAACACAUACAUCCUUUCGUGCAUUUUAAUAAUUACUUUGCACGCAUGGAGGCUAACUUGUUAGUGUAAAUUUGCGUUUCUAUCUUAUCAUCGGUUCUCAUUGUUAUUUACCCGCGUUUCUCCCGCACUCUAUAUUUGGACCCGUCGAAAAACAUAGAGAAGAAAGAUUACACACACAUAAAGUAUGUUCUGGACAAAACUCUCCUGGGCUUCAGCAUGCGGGGUGGCUACAUCCAAGUCAAAAAACAAAUAAGGCUGGGCUGUGUUUCAGCCAUAAGACUGACUUAUAUAUGUUGCGUCCAACGACCAGCAAGAAGUGAUAAUGAUUGAUUCUAUGUCAUCCAUCUAAUGAUGGAGUACAGAAGGGAUGUGCAAUCACUUUGCAUGAAAUAUUCAUCCGAUACCCAUAUCCAGAGAAGCCUUUGGAGCCGUGCCGGAUAAGCGACUUUGAAAUGGUUUCUACCGGAUCCAACAGGAAAUUGCAUCCAUCCUCAUGUAAGACGUCCUCAACGAGAAUGAGAUGUUCUACGGAGGCCCAAUAUCGCGAGCUGACGUGUGAACCUGCAUAGCCCUAUAGCAUCAGGACAUGACGCCUUUCACUAAGCUUGGGUGCAUCCUCCCAGAUAUGGACAGAUGGGAAGAGUGCACUUCUUGAAGACAAUGUGGUUGUUUAGUUAGUUGUUACUUUCUGUAAGACGAAACUUUGAAUGUCUGAGUACGACGAAACUAUUAGAUGUAAAUGGUGCUGCGCUCUAGUUAAUUAGUUUCGGUAAAAUGAAUUUUGUUAACUAUGUUUACUAUACGUUGUUUCUGUUUCAUAUCUGUUUCUCUCCACAGGCCGAUGUAUCUAAUGCUGCAUAUUAUCGUUCAAUUCGCUUGAUGAUAUAUGUGCGUCUCUGAUAGGUAUAUAGAUCAACGAUGGCGAGGAAGUGGCAUGCCGUGUAUGUAGGGCAUGUUCUGGGUGUGUACGAUGAGUGGCUAGAGUGUGAGGUCCAAGUGUACCACUUCCCGGGCAGAAGCCAGAAAGGAUUUGAUAGCAGAAUGGAAGCAGAAGCUAGUUACUUGAGAUUCAUAGCGCAACAGAGGAUUCAGAACCGACGCCUCAAAAACUACUACAUAAUCCCGCCUUUUCUCAUUGUGAUCGCUCUUCUCUUGUAUGUCAUAGUUUAGGUAGAUAACGAAACAUGUGUGUGCGGUGACAAUGUAAGAAACAUGUGAUAAUUAACUUGUAUCGCUAUUUCGAGAUGAUGAGAUCGACAUCAUUUGUGUUUGAUAAUGAUGAUACGAUGAGACUAUGUUGUACCACUUUGAUAAUGAUGAUGAGCCAUUCCCUUUUUCAUAUAGUUUCAAUGUAUGUGAAUGUUGUAAUUGUAUAAAACCUGUAAAAAUACAAAUACAAUAGAAUAAAAAAAUAAAAAAAAUUAGCAGUAGCACUGCCUUACCAUAGCGUCGUUCCUAGGGACGUGCUACAGAAAAUUAGCAGUAGCGAUGGGUAGAGGUGCCUUACUAGUAGGUGUAAGUAGCAGUAGCGUUAGGUAAGAACCGCGUUACUGCUAAAAAUUAGUUGUAGCGCCGUAGCAGUAGCACGGACACCCGCGCUACUACUAGCCCAAAAACCGGCGCUAGUAAUAAGCAUUUUCCUAGUAGUGGUUAAUUCCCAAGGUAAUGAAUCCAUCCCCCUUGCCACGGUUUCGACCUAUCAGCUUAUUCAACGUGCUUUCCAAGAUUGCUUCAAAGGUCAUUGCGAAAAGACUCUAGCAAGUCGCCUGAGAUAAUUUCGGAGAAACAAUCGGCCUUUGUUCUGGUAGGAUGAUCGCUCAUAACAUUAUUACAGCGUAUAAAUGCCCACAUUUCAUGAAACGCAGCAGGUCAAAGGAAAAUAUCUACUGUGCUCUCAAGAUCGACAUGAUGAAAGCGUAUGAUAGGCUUGAGUGGGAUUAUCUCGAAGCUAUCAUGAUAAAAUUUGGUUUUGCCACAUCCUCGACCAAGAUAGUGAUGGACAUGGUGCGUGCUGUUUCUUUCUCAGUCAUGUUCACUGGAGAAAAGCUUGACAGUUUCAUCCCAAGCAGAGGCAUUCGACAAGGAGAUCCGAUAUCUUUUCUUACUAGCAGCAGAGGGCCUUUCGUGACUCCUAAAAACCAGUUCCUCGUCAUCAUCUCUAGUUGGAUUGAAGGUGGCACCAUCAGCUCCGACGGUAAAACCAACUACUUUUUGCAGAUGACAGCAUGUUGCUUUUUAAGUCAUGUAAUGUGGGAGCAGUCACAAUAUCAAACCUGUUGCACACCUAUUGCUCGGCAUCGGGGCAUCGCAUAAAUAAUGAAAAGUCUUCGAUUUUCUUCAGUAAGGGAUGUCCACAACAAACAAGGGAUAGUGUUAAAAAUGUGUUUAAUGUGCAUAAUGAAUCGCUUAGCGACAGAUAUCUUGGGAUGCCAACGGACACUACAAGAAACCAGUUAAUACAUGACAGUUGCAAUCCGUCAAAGAAUAGUGGAAAACCAUGAUGGAUGGGCGUCCACGACGAAUUCUAAUUCCGUCAGGUAUAUCGCACCAUAAUUGACAACAUGGCCUUCAUGACGGAUUUUUGACAGUCACCGACCUACCCUUAGGCCCGCCUAGCCCAAAAUAGGACCGAACCUUUUUUGACGGACUUUUCCGUCAUGGAUAUACAUGGCAUGGCAGCUGACGUGGCAUCCUGGUCGAUCUGACUAGGCAGCCCAAUAACACAGCCCGUUUAUCUUUGUAGAAAUAUCUAAGCCCAUGUAGUUAAUUAUUUAUUAGGCCUUCACCCAUUUUAAAUUAUUUUAAUUUUCCUUCUACUUUGCCUUUUAUACACAUUUAUUAUACUCGCACAAUCUAGAUUAUUAAUUAUUAUCAGCCUUUGCCUGUUCCAACCCAUCUUCGGCCCAGGUUGCCCAAUGCUUGAUCCAUACGAAAGAAGUAAGGAAUCUCCAUUUGGCAAAGAAAAACAAUAAUAUAGUGCACAACUAUAGAUUCACAACUACAAAAUUCAGAUCACUGUAGCAGAUUACAAUUACAUAUCACAAUCACACUGGACAUUUAGAUACAUGUAAUCUGUCUGUCGUGUUCCUGUCUAAAGUGUAGUAUCAUCUGUUUCGUCCCAAGUCCAGUUACCUUUCUAAACCAAACUAGAGUGUAAUAUCUUCCAUCCUACAUCAAGUACGUGCAAAAGAAUAUCAAAAAACAAAUUGUCAAAACUAUUAGCAUGAGGAAUAAAUUAUGGGAAACAUUCAUCCAAAUCUUAUUUAAAAUGGCAGUGAUUAGCUCGCCCGCAGUAGAAUUACAGGAACAUCAGAUUUCUCAGUCAACAUGCCCAUUUUAGCAGCAAUCAAUCAAGGAUUUUGGUAUGCAAAAAGAACACAUAUGCACGCCUUAGUAUCUCAUAAAAUGAAAUCAAAUAUAAAUAUUAGCAGUGAGAUGGUUGGUGGAAUAUCUAUCCUCACAGAUUAGAGCAUAGAUCGGUUGAUAUAUGUGGCUAGACCAAAUCUUUACUGAGACAUUUGAAAUAAAUGUUCUAUUGGAACAAAGAACAUGAAAUGAUUAAACAUUUAGAUUUCAGUCAACAUGUUUGUUGAGAUAGGUACAUAUAAUAUUUCACUUAACUACUAUGUAAAAUGAUUAAAUAUAUACAUCGAACCAUAAUCCAGAGAAAUAGUAUUUGCUACAAAAUGUUUUCCUUAAAAAGGCCAACAACUCAAAAUGAACACACAGGUCAAAAGUAGUAUCAGGAGCAACUCUACUGAUAGAAUGACAAUGUAGUGAAAGCAAGAAACCUAAUUCAAAUAAACACAAAUAAUGGUGUAAAUGAUUUUGGUUCACAGUUUAGUCAAUCACCUCACCUCACGGGCAGAGCCUAUUUACUUUUGGCUAAAAAUUGCUGACAGGUUGCUUAAAAUGAAUGUAACACGAUCAUGUGCAUGGUACGGUAACUUCCCAUGAGAAAUGUCCUGCUGCACAAUGCCCUUGAUGGUGUCACUACAUAGGCUGUAAAUUAAACUCCACAUCUAAGACUAAGAGGCGCCGCGCACAUUCAGAAUCUCAAACUAAAUUCUGCACUAUGUGGUUGAUAUUUUCUGAGUUGCUUGGCUCAACUUUUGUGGUCUCUAUCAUUGUUUGUAGCUCUGUUUUCAUAUAUUUUUCAUAACCAUAUAUAAUUUUUAAGAUGAUGGAACAUAUCAGUAAGCUUUGGCUUUUAAUCAAGCCGUUAUAUCACUUGUAUUGGAACUGAAUUAGGGAGUUGUGAUUACGCCAUAGUACUGGGUGGUGUUUUCUCAUAAAAAGAAAUAGGUACAAAGCAAUAGAGAACAAUCAAGAACGGUAGAUAGAUACAAGGAUUAUAAGCAUUGCAGCGAAGUAAUUGGUAUGUGAAGUAAAUGUUUGCAAUCAGCAUUUUGUCAAAAUAGACAUGUAACUAUACAAAUACCAUUUGAGAUUUUACAUAUUAUGCAUCCACCAUGAACAAAACAAACAACUCUAUCAAACUAGGAGGAACUAGGUGUUGUGGCAAGGAAUAAAUUAAGUAAAAAAUGGAAACAAGCACACACACACACUAAUACAAUACAAAUAGCACAAAGAAGAUAUUUAAGAAUCAUCGCUGCUAUACACUCGACGUAUGCAUGGCCGAUGCUUACACAAUUCUAUCGUUGUAGCGCAAAUAUCGAGCAUACUCGCAACAUCGCUGUUUGGGGGGGGGGGGGUUUGUAGGUCGUGCCGCUAUUGUCUUACGUGAAGCAAUUUCCUCAGGAUAGGAACAUCACGACAAAGAGGGGUGCAUGGUUUGUAAUGCUAGCUAAUUAUGUUGUACAACAGACAUAGUUUCGACUGACCUUUCUGUAUUUUCUCCUUUGUUCUUCAGAAAACUCUAUUUAAUCAACACCUUUUUUGUCAUAAACAACACCCUCAACUUCAGCUAUCUCCUCCACCUAUAGAAUAAUAAUUGGAACUUUAGUGGAACUAUUCCAUGGAGAAAACAUAUAAACCUUGUGAUUUAGUAGAAGCAUCCACUAUAGUUACUCCUGCAUAGGAUUCCCUUGAUAAUUUAUUCCAGCUUUAAGCAUACCAUCUUUUCAAUUUCAUAUACACUCUACAUCAUACUUUGAUCAAUCUUAAUGAUGUAUAUCUAUAAACUAAAUUGACACACAAACACAUCACGACCUCAGAAACUAUGUAAGCACCCCACAUAUAUUUCUUACACGUAGAUGUUGAUGAAGAAAAGAUGUAAAUAUAAAUCUCUAUAUUAAAAAAAUAUCAGUAACAUCAACGUUUAUGUAAAAUAUGAAACGUAAUACAUCAUCUUGGUAUCUUUCCAAAACAAUUAUUCCCAGCCAAAAAAGUUACUUCACUGCAAAGCACUAUCCUGACAUCCUAAAUAGAUUGUUCUUCAAUUAAUCUAGAGUGAAAAGGGUUCUCACCUUCACAACAAGUGGUCCGGCGAGGUCACCUGUGGCGAUGCGAAAAAGACCAAGGAGUGCCGAAGAAAACAGUGGCCACCGCCUCCUCUCCCAGCUUUAGAUUGUGAAGAGGACAGAGCAUCGGGGCAGCCCUCCUUGGUCCUGGCCAGCAGGUAGGGGACAACGUCCAUCUCGCCGAACUUAACCACCUUCCUCAUGAGCACCGUGCCCAUGACGACAAGCAGGGGGGGCCUUGAAGCGGAUUCGAGAGCGCCGCCAUGACUUGGUCUGAUGGAUAUCACCGACAACCGGUCCAGUUAAUGGCUCGAUCAUGGACCAGGCCUGCUAGAACUAUGUCCACCCUUACCGGUCAGGUCCAUGACUUGUGGUGAAGGUUCACAAGUGAGGGGAGCACCUCAUGUAAAGGGUCCUCAUGGGUCGACGGUCGUCACGAGGCCACAUACUUCAGCGUUGGUGCUAGGGUUCGUCACUGGAAGAGAAGGGGAGGAAUGAGAGAAAGAAGACGCAGUCGACUGAUGGUGCCUCGCUAAUGAGGUCGUCUACUCACAAGGACUGUGAAGAUUGGGCAUACAGAUUGGGCCUUAUGAGGCCUUAAGGUAAACAUGGCAUGGAUAUUGUGUUCGUGGGCUAUUAAAUCAGUCUAUAUGGACAAUUCGGUCCUACAGAGUAGAGGACCGAUUUGAACGUAUUUAAAUUCGGUUGUAGACCGAUUUUUAUUCGGUCUUCUCAAGUUCGGUAUUUAUGGGUUUGGUCUCGGCCUUUAUGGCUUCAGUUUUCGGUCUUCCAUUUUUAUGUCGGGGUUGAGGUUCCACAACUAAUUGUCAUUAUAACUUUCCUUGUGAUGCUUUAUUCUAGCAUUAAUAUCUUAAUUUCAGUUUCAAUUUAAUUCCCCUUUUGAGAAAAGACUCUCAGAAGAGUGCCUUAUAUCUGAUACUUAUUAAGGAAACAAAUAGCCGGUACAAAACAAGUACAACUUGAUAUCGUAACAACUUGAUAGAAGAAAGUACACAAUAUAAUUUUUUUGUCAUCUCCUUCCAUCUAUUAUUCGCGGACAACCGAAACCCAAGGACAGCAAGGAAAUGGACUUGCAACGGCUUUGAAGACCACUAUAACCACUCCCUGCAGCAUGCAGCUAGCAAUGAGAUCUAGUAGGGAAGCUGGAAAACUGCACGUGCGUUCAUGGUAGUGCCUUCACCGAUGUUAGCCCUCGAAACAUAUCCGUAGUUGCUAUCAGUUGAGUGGAGAUUUGAAUUUGCCAGCCUCACAUUGUAGAUAUAAUCCCAGUGCUUAGGGAAGUGUCCUUGCUCACGGAUUUCCGUGUACACCUGCAUACAUAAAAUAUAAGAAUGUGUACUAGUAGAUUUUGAGAUACUCCCUUGUCCCUAAAUACACCAAGUAGUUCAGAUUAGUUUGCUUAUCUGUACGAGUUUUAGUUCAACUGAUUUCAGAGGAAAAUACGAACAUAUCCAUUGUUCCUAAAUAUAGAUUCACAAUGUAAAUGGGCAUGCUUGUCAAUCCAUAUUUUAAAUCAUUAAUAUUUUCUUAAAAUUAUUUAGGAAUCCGAUUUUCGGUGUACUCCUCAAGACAAACCAGACAAGAUUUUAUAUCAUUUUUGUUAAAUUAACUAGACGACGCCCCGCGUGUUGCUGCGGGAAACAUGAUAAACAGAUGUAUAAAUAGGUCUUGAAAAACAAAAACUAUUGCUAAAAUAUGUUAGGAUUGCUCUCGUUUUAUAUUUUAAGAACAAUAACUCAUAUGAAACAUUUGACAAAAGAUGCGUAAAAAAGUGUAACAUGAUCUACAUAUAUUUGCUCUAAAGUAUAUACCGCGUAUGCCCAUAACAAAAAUUAGUGAAACAAUGUGUAGAUUAGUGCACACAUUAGAACUUAUGACCACAUGCAUGACUUGAUGAUGUGGCAUGGUUACAUGAGAAAAAAUAAAUACUUAUGACUAAACGCAUGACUUGAUGAUGUAGCAUGGUUGCAUGAGAAGGAAAAAUAGGUAGUGGAUUGCAACUAUUUAGGAAUUGAAGAUUAUCAUCUGCAGCUCCGUAAAUGCAUGAUUUGCCAACUAAUUAAACUCCAGCUUCAACUUUUGAUUGCAUAUAAAUUUAUGUGUUCUUAAUAGAUUAGUCAUUCUAGCUCAUAGUAACAAAUAAUCGGAGUAUGAACCAAGAGAAAUAAGUAAGAUAGAAUAUAUGAAGGUAAGCACAUUAUUUACCCCGUUGUUGCCAAUGAAUGGGACAGACCAAGUGAAUAACCAGUCGCAGGAGCUGCUGCUGGACGGGAUCCUGCUACGAUACACAACAGCGGCAGUUGAACCUUUCGCAGCUGCUCUUGGUUUGACGUGGAGAAAUGCCCCCCAUUGUCCAUUCUGAAUAUCCGAUGGGUAGGGUGUAUCAAAGAUACUGCCAAUCCAAUUCUUGUACGUGACGAAACUCAGAUUGGUACCGGUAGCAUUGUAGAUGAGGCAUUUUACAGAUAUUCCAUUACCGUACCUAGGAGUGUAGCCAAAGAUAUGAGUUGAGUUGUACAAAAACAAAACUAUACUAGACCUUUGUUGCGGAUCUUUUGCAUGAUUCCAUAGUUAUAUAUCAACGAAAACCUCAAUAGUAAUUAGAAUUAAGAAAACAUUAGUAUUUAUCCUGUCUUCUAUACAGUUCGCAGUAACUGAAGUCAACUCCGUUUUCGCUAGUCUAAACUUUUGUAUAGCUACAAGUGUCGAAGCAGAAAUAAUAAAUAUCCAGAUAAUAAACCUACUUGAUCUUCAGGUUGUCGACGAAUUGUUGUGCGUCAAUAUCCUUGCCACCCGCGUUGAUCAUCUUCAUGGUAUAGUCGGCAACAUCUUUUUGGGUGACGGGUUCUUUAUACUCUCCAGUGGCUAUCACCGUCUGCAUUGAAAUGGGGAUACCAAACACUCCGGAGGCCAUUUGUUCCUUUGUUUCUUUUCUGUGUGAAUGAGUUUAUGGGUUGUUGCAACCAUGUAUUUAUACACGCUGUGGAGGGAUUCUCACAUGCAAACCUGGUCACAGGGAGGGUCACGGGAUAACAGGUGCGUCGGGAGAUAGAUAGAGAGAGAGAUUGGGUAGCCGACGAACCUAGCAUAGCACCAAAAUCAAUAAAGCCAAUAUGCAUGUGCGUUCCCAAAAAUCAAGAGAGCAUGGGCCACGGGGGAGAAAAUCGAACAGGUGAACGUGAUAGUGACGAUGAUCCUCCUCCACAUCUGCCUAAAAUGUUGAUAUCUUAGUUUUUUCCAAUUGUUUUUUGCAUGGGAUGCUCAAUGUUUUGUCUCUCUUCGACGUGCAAAACACGUGUUGUUACAGUAUCGACCGUGACAUAUUCGCGUAAAGAUGCCCCCUAGAUCGGGUCUUAUCAUACGCUGCAGUCUGCACACAUAUCAUUUGUCCGAGUCGGCAUCUUUCUUUCUUUAAUGAAAGUCACAGACGGCAUCUAACGAGUGUGUGGAGGAGGUGAAGAUAGAUGGAGCGAAGGGGAGGGUAGGUGGAUGAUACAUGGGUAUGUGUUGCAUUAUUGCAAUAAUAGAGGGACACCGGACCCGGCUUGUAUGAUAGUAUAUGUUGGUCAGGCAGAUGAAAACGAUUCCAUGAACUUCUGUUAUAAAUUAGGUUCGAGUCAUGCACAUUUUAGACUUGUAUUGUAAAUAGCCGGUUAUAGCCCCGUUAUAACCUUAACCUUUUCAACAGGGUGCCGUUAAAUCAUAUCAUGUAUAAAUAAGCCGUUAUAACCUGCUAUAGCUCAUUAUAGCUUCGCUAUAGCUGAUUUAGAGGCCCGCCGUUAUUUGCCAUAGCCCGCUAUUCAAAACUUUAGUUUGUGUGGGAAGUAACCAUCUUCAAGAAGCUGAUGGUUGAGGCUCCUUUGAAAUGUCUGAAAUGUUUUGAGUGAAUUCAGUUAUUUCCGGGCUGUCAGGUACUAUGGUUCAACCAGCUUUGAGUUAUUAUAUAUGUUUGGGUUCUUAGUCAAGUGGAUGGUUAAACUUGUGCUUGUGAUCUUUUGGACUCAUGUCUAGUUAUUAUGUUAUAUUGACGCCCUCUUUGAUACACCCCCACUAAACGUAUAAAGUAUGAACGACAAUAUGGACCCUUGAUAAAUUAUACGCAUACGUAUAUUACCCCCUUGCAUGGCCCAUUUAUUUAUUUUAUAACCGGUCCAUUUACUUUCUUUUUAAGAAACAAAAUGGCGAGGGAAGCGGGAUUCGAGCGCCAAAGCAUCAGGGAAAGCUCACCUGUUAUGCAUCACGAGGCAAGCUUCUUCCAAACCAAUCAACAAAAAAACUCACCUGUUAUGCUUUCGUCCUGAUCUUUUGCCUUUUAAUUACCCUAUGGUGAAAUCAGCCUAUGGAAUCCUGUGAAAGUUUUAGACAGAUUUCUUGGUCAGUAAGGACGCUGCAGCAUACUUUACUAGUCCCGACAGUCCCAUGUUGCAAUCUAUUCCAUUUUCAUUUGUACGAGUAGCUUUGCUUUUGAAUCUGAAUUUGACGUGCCCACUUACUGUCAUGUUGUAUACUUUUGCUAAUAAGCACGUCAACAUGCACGUUUCACUUAAUAAAAGGUGCCUCGACAUAUUAAUUAGAUUGAUUACAUGAAACCACUACUCGUGAAUAUCUUGCAAAUUAAUAAAUUUCAUCAGAAAAAAACGCAGUUUAGGAACCUUCCAGAAGAUUCCCCACACCGGAAAAACGUCUGGGAAGCAUAGGUACCCAAAACCAAGAACUGUUUUUUUGCAGCUUCUAUUAGUGAAGUUUCAUUCAAAAUCUUCGCAAUUAUUAAAAUCUGUGAUUAUUUUUUUUCAAAAUCGAUGUUUUUUCUCAAAGCCGCGAGCGUUAGGGCGAGCCCAACAAGAACCUGAUGGGAGCAAUAUGGUCGCCUACUAGUUGGGCGAAGCCUUAGUUUAUUUUAUUUUAUUUUCUAUUCUUUUUGUUUUUCUUCUCUUUUUUGUUAAUUCAUUUUUCUCGAUUUUAAACUUUAUUGUUCUUUUUAAACCUACUCAGAAAUUGGAAUAUUGUUUGGAAUACUAAAUUAUCGUUUUAAGUAAUUGUUACAAAUUAUGACUUUAAAUUAUGUUUUCCUUCAAAUAUGUAUUAAAUGCUUUAGAACCCUAAAAUUAUGAUUUUAUUCCUUUGUAUUUAUUAGCUAUGUUAAAAACUUUAAAUAACAUUUGAAGUACAUGUGUGAAUUAUAAUUUUAAUAUUUUCCGUUCAAACCUGGCAUGGAUGCUUAUCAUGGGAAUGCCCACCUGCUAGCAAAAGUUGUGCGUUCUCGAGAGUUUUUUCGGUCGAAAAAAGCCGAUGAACAAUCAAACGUGUCACAAGUUGCAUGUCAUGUUGGAAAUAAUUCAAAUCUGACAUUGAUUCCUACCAUAUGAGUGCCCACUUCAUUCCAAAAGGUGAGGUCACUUUAAGAGUGUCCAAAAAUAGACCAUGAUUAACGGAGGGUAUGCGGGUACGACAUACGGAUUCGUUUGAGAGAACGUUUUUUGGGAUCUGUUAAAUGACCUUGAUAUUUUUUCAUGAGAUUUUAUGAGCAGUUAAGUCACCAUGCCAUGUUGUUUUUGUUCUUGAAAGUUUUUGUAUUUUUCUAGAGUUUUCUUGGUCAAAAAAGGCCGAUAAUGGGCAGAGGUGUCACAACUUACAUACAAUGUCGAAAAUAAGCUAAACCUGACAUGAAUGCUUUCCAUGAGCAUGUGCACCUUCUUGCAAAAGAUGGGAUCAUUUAAUGUAUGCACGAACAUAGACUAUGUUCAGUGGAGGAUGUUUAGGGUUAGCCAGAAGGCUCCGUCUGAGAGCACGUUGUUUCCCGAUAUUAUUGAAGUGCCCCAAUUUUUUUCCAUGGUCUUGUGUGAUAAAUUCAAGGAACCAUGUCAAUUUGUUUUGAUUUCUGAUAUCUUUUGUAUUUUCUCGAGUUUUCUUGUUUAAAGAAGUUUGAUAGAUGGUCGGAAGUUUUGGAACUUGCAUACGGUGUCGAAAAUCAUUCAAACCAGGCAUGGAUGCCUACCAUGAGCGUGCCCACCUACUUCCGAAGUUGGGGUUGGUUGAAGGAUGUUCACAAAUAGACCAUGUGCAAUGAAGGGUGUUCCGAUAGGGACGAAAGGGUCCGUUUGAAAGCACAUUGUUUUUCGGCAUAUGUGAAAUGAACCCAAAAAACAUUCCACCAGCUUCUAUGGAGAAUUCAAGGCAUCAUAUCCAAUUGUUUGAAUUUUUGACAACUUUUGCAUUUUUCUUGUGAAAAAAGCUGGUAAAUGGCCGUACGUGUCGCGACUUACAAACGAUGCAAGAAGUUCUUCAAACUUGGUAUUUAUGCCUCGUAUGUCCAUGUCAGGGUGCUGAAAGAAGUUCGGGUCAUUUAUCCCUAACCAGAAAAUAACACCAGUUGAGAGGAGUGUGUUGGACUAGGCCAAAUGGGUGCAUUGGUGAGCAUGUAUUUUUUUUUAUUUGAAUGCCUACGUUAUUUGCAAGUUGUGUCAUUAUCACUCAACAUGAAAAAUUUCUUAUAUCUUAGCAAGUUAUGAAAAAUUGCCAAAAAUUUAGUAAAUACGAAAAUAUUAUAAUCUAUUGUGGUUUUAAAUAACAGUAUCUUAAUAAAGAAGGUAGAGAGAGAGAGAGAGAUUGGAGCAGCCACAUCUAGCCAAUGGGUAGCGACGAACACAGACAACCACACAAAAAAGAGGAAGAAAUCAAAAUCAAGAAAGCCAACAUGCAUGGGCCACGAGGCAGAAAAUCGAUCAUAUGAGCGUGAUAGUGAUCACGAUCCUCGUCCGCAUCUGCCCCGUGAAUGCUCUUUAUCUUUUUCCAAUUGUUUUUUUGCAUGGGAUGCUCAUUGUUUUGUCUGUGUUCAACGUGCAAAACAUGUGUUGUGUUACAGUAUCGACCGUGGCAUAAGAUGCCCCCCCUAGAUCGUGAUAUCUUUAUUUUUUCCAAUUGUUUAUUCCAUGGGAUGCUCGAUGUUUUGUUUGUGUGUGUGCACAGCAUCUUGGCGUAAAGAAAGGGCCAAAGUUGCCAUCAUAAUUAACCCCUGGCACCACAGUCCUAUCGUAUACGCUGCACACAUAUCAGUUGUCUCAAUCGGCAUCUUUUUUCUAUGCUAUGGUGACAGACUACAUCUUAUGUGUGCGUGGAGGAGGUGAAGAUGCAUCUGUAGGUGUAGCAAUUUUUCCCCAAAAAAGGAUAAUCACGGACUCUGUAUUUAAAUGAUGCAUGCAGUCAUAUAUUAUUAAUAGUGUAAAAUUUAACGGUGGAACAUCAUCGACAAAAAAAGGAAAAAAACAACCCUGAGGCUGUUUAGCUCGCGACAAUAACUUCCUUAGAUAGCCACUAACCCUAUGGUACAAGAACACCAAGAACGAAUAAUACACAAUUCCUAAGCUAUCCUUCAAAAAGGAAUCACCGCACGUGCCCCGAUGAUGACAAGUCUACCACAAGGUGGAACUCCGGAUUCUCAUCCCCAAAGACAAGCUUCAACCCUACCUUCAACAAGGGCACGAGUGAUCACGCGUGAUGACAUAGCUCGAUCAAAGAUCAUGUGGCGACCAGAGUGCAUAACCUCAUUGUUGAAGCCGUCUGUACCAUCCGCCAUUAUCCGUUACCGACACCUCGAUAGCCAGAUACCUUUGGAGGAGACAACAGAAGACAAAGACGUCCAAUACCGCUUGCCUCCCGCUAGUGUUGCACCACCUCCGAUCCAACAACAAGAGGCUAAAAAUGACAGCUCUGCCAGCGCUACCGUGCAUCACCUGCUGGUAGCAGGCAUGACUUGACGUCUCCAUAUAAGACGUCGUGCGUACAUUCCACGAGUAGCACAUCCACCAGUGGCUUCACCUGCCGAUGACAGGCAUUGCCUGACAACUCCGAAAGAGGCACAUGUGUCACCUGCCGAGCCGGAUCAAACCCGGUCUGUGGGUGAAGGGGAUGUCCCAUACCGUCACCAGCCUCACAAAGACCGUCAUCAUGUCGACAUCCAGACUUCGGGUCGGCCUCACGACCGUGAAUUCCGCCCCCAUUGAUGCAGAGGGGCCGCCGCCCCAAUACCAAACUCCAAUGGUUCCAAUAGACGACGCCACUUCGUGCAAGAAUGCGGCCAGAACGCCACCGCAACAACAAGCAUCUACAACCACCACCUCACCACCGUGAGUCGCUCCAGAUCCUGCUCCAAAGGCCCGUUGACCCGAAGAAAACGAGGCCACCGCUGGUCCCUCCAACCGGAGCAUACUCCAGAAACGAUGCCCUCAAGAGCGGACUCGAACGUAGAAGCAUUGUCAUCGCUCGAUCUCAAAGAUAUUAGGGGUUUCCCCAGGAGUUUUCGCGACCACUAGGUCGGGCCUUGCCUAUGCAGAUCGCCCACAAGAUCAACAAGGACACACGGCCACCAGAGGCCGCCGCAGCCCUCAUAGCCGAUCAUGCAGCCGGAUUGGCCGCCAUCCACAAGUGUGCGCCCGCGCCGCGGUCACCACGCCUCCUCCAUGGAUCGGGGCAGAACCCAUCCCUGAAGAAAAGGGCUGCGGUGAAGCCCAUGGGCACAGCCGCGAUCAUCGCCGCCCUCCCACCACCACCGGUCCUAACAACACGGGCGGAGGAGCGUCGCGUCGGCCACCCGUCGCUCAAGCCUCUCGCGUGUGGAGAGACACACCAGGGCGUCAGGGAUCCCGCCGACGCCGGAUCAGCACGGGCAUAGGCUGGUCGAUUCCAUGUGGCGGCGGCAAGGGGAAGGGACGAUGCGAGGGGUGAAAAGGAUCGAGAUGGACCUAGAGGGGGGUGAAUAGGUACAGUUCCAAAUUUCAAUAAUUACUUAGCAAUUUUAGGCAAAGGUGCGGAAUAUGAGCGUAGGCCUAAUAAUUGCUAUGACAAGGAGUAAGCUAUUUAGAGUGAAGUAAGGCAACCGGUAAACAAUAAUCAAAUACAAGUACAUAAUAAGGAUUAACACAAGUAGAGAGUUAGGGUUAGGAAUAACCGAAACUCCAAGAGAGACGAGGAUGUAUCCCGAUGUUCCCUUCCUUGGAGGGAAGCUACGUCACCAUUAGAGGGGCGGAUGUUACCACGAAGGCACACCAACGCCAUGAAGGCUCACCCUAUUCUCCCUUUGAGAUAACUCCACGAAGGCGUUUCUCAACCACUAGUGGUAAGCCUUGAGGUGGCUUCCAAACCUUCACAAACUUUCCGGGGGAAAUCACAAUGGUUUGAUUCCUCUCCGAAGACUCUUACCGCCUAGGAGUCUCCAACCUCCAAGAGUAACAAGAUCACGGGGAUUGCUCAAAUCACAAAUCACUUUGGUGGGAAGGAGGAGAAGGAGACGAUCUAUCUUUUGAUUGGAACAACACUCAAAGGGACUCACAAAUGCUCUUGGGAUUUAAGAUUGAGUGUAGACAAGAGCGAGUGAGAGGAAAGGUGUUCUUGUAUGUGUUCUAGCUGUGUUGGACACCCUCUCACGAAGUGGGAGGGGGUAUAUAUAGUGGGGAGUGUAAAACAGCCGUUGGGGACACUUUAAGUCACACAGGGUUCAGACAUCCGGCAGUUCACGGAUGUCCGGGCGUCCACAAGGGGUCGGACGUCCGACAAGGGUCGGUCGUCCGAGGGCUGUAGAUAUGUCUGGAAUCACUGUGAGUUGAACAGGGACCGGACGUCCGGAGAAGGCCGGAAGUCCGAGUUAUUCGACUAAACUUCUUCUGGUGCAAGAUUCCGGAUUUCCGAAAGGGGACGGACGUCCGGCCCUCGGACGUCCGGAGCUUGUCGGUCGUCCGACCCUCGACCGGUCCUCGGACGUCCGGAGGGAGCCGGAAGUCCGAGGCAUUAGUCCUGUUUUGAAAUAAUAGCAGAGUAGUGAAGAUGUGGUAUUGAGCAGAAUAGUGAAGAUGUGGUAUGAGCAAAUUCAUUGCAAAACCUGUGAUCCCCUCUUAAUAGUGCGGGAUCCCUAUACUCAAGAAUAGUAAACUUAAAAGGAUAGUCUACAUCAUCUUUUCUCAAUCCCGAGCCUUCUUGACAUAUAAAUCCCGAUCUUCUCAGACCACCUUGGCACAUAAUUCUCAAUCUACUAAAGUACUUGCCAUCCUGAGAUACACUCAACAAAUAGGAUUAGUUUCCUAUGUAUGUGUUGUCAUUAACACCAAAAGUCGAUUAGGGGCAUAACAUGCACUUUCAAUCUCCCCCUUUUUGGUAGUUGAUGACAACAUAUACAUAGGUCUCAAAAAGAUUUAAGAUACAUUAUAGCCUUGGAGAGGUUUAGUACGGAGCUCCCCCUUAGUAUGUGCAUGAUAAAAUAUCGAAGCUCCCUUUCAAUGUGUGUAUCGAACAUAUAAUGGAUCAUCAUGUAAAGAGAAUAGAUCAUCAUAGAAAGACAAUAGAUCAUCAUAGAAGUAGUGGAGCAAACAUAAUAGCUUAUGAUGAUAUCAUAGCAAUCCAUAGCAAUCACAACAUUCAUAAGUAGCCAUACAUGAGUUUAUCCAUUACAUUACACAAACUUGCAAAUUUAGACUAAAUCUCCAAAGACUAAAAACUACGAUACAUUACUCCCCCUUUGGCACCAAGUACCAAAAAGGGAGGCACCAACAACAUCAACCAUGCUCAGAGCUCAUCAGCAUCAUCAUCAUCAUCAUCCUCAUCGUCAGGCAAGCCACUGCCACCAGCCUCGUCAAGAAAAUCAGCCCCCUCAGGACCAGAUGGGAAGCCAAAGUCAGAAGGAGGAGCAGCAGGAAGAGCCUCAUUGUCACUCACAUCAAGAGCGCCCGAGUCUCUCAGACGAGCCUUGAGGGCAUUCUUGGAGGUGACGAGGCGAGAAACCACAUCGUGAGUUUGACCACACUGGAAAGAGACGACCUUCAUCAUAGCAGAAUGUGCCUUGCCAAUGAAUUUGGCAAAGCGACCGAGAGAAGCUGAGCUAGAUGAAGGGGUUGCUGACCGAGCAGCAGUGCGGCGAGUGGAUGUGGAGGAUGGGGUUUUCUUGGGAGCAUAGUUAUCCGCCAUGUGAGCGGGAAUGACCCACUCGUGAUGUGUGUGAGUGACAGCAACAGAGAAUUCAGCAACAUGAUUAAUAAGAGCCUGAAUGAAGGGGGCAUGAGGGAAGGCUCGCUUGUAUUGAAAACUAGCAAGCCGAAUCUCAUGCCAUAGAAAGUGGGGCACAUUAAUUUUUCUAUUGGGGUGCUCGUACAAAUGUGACAUGAUGUCAAUACAGUGGCCACUUCAAGAUCCCUUAUCACCCAUCUUGGGAUAGAUGGUGCGGAUAAGACACUGAAAGAUGAUAAAGUAGGGAGAGCGCCAGAUGGAUACCUGGUUAAGAUCCUUCAUACGUUCAUUUGCAUCAAGUUCACGGAGUAGUUUGAGGAGAUACCCACACGCCUCAAUUGGUUUAUGUGCAUGGUUAGGAUCAUUCUUAUGUAUUUUGAAACCAGAGUUGGGGAAACCAAGUGCGGCAACAAACGUAUCAUAAGAGGCUGUGAAGUGAACGUCAGAGGUUAUCCACCUAACAGUGUUGUUUGGACCAAAGAAGCAUGUGGCAUAAAACUGGUGAAUAGGAGCAGCAUUAAAAUCGCGACGAAAAGCAAAGGGGGCAGCAAGCCCCGAUGACUCAAUGAGUUCAAUGGCACCCGGGUAUUUUGCCGGGUGCGUGCGAAUAUGCUCAAGAUCUAUGAAGUGAUGAACAGAGAGACCCUUAGGAACUAUGACUGUAGUAAAGAUGUCAGCCUGGACGUUUGUGCGGAAACGUGAGUCCAUAGAGUCACGUACGACAGAGAAUUGAUCAACGUCGCGGCAGAAAUUGAGAUAUGAAGACUUGGCAACCGUGGUGAAGUUCGUGACUUCACGACCUAAGGUAGCAGGGGGUUCAAGUGAGAUGCGACGAGCUUCACGUUCGGGCUGUGCAGGAGGAGGUGGUGGCAUAUAGGAGGGCCUGCGAGUCCCGGGCUUUGGCAUGGACCUCCGAACGGUGGGCUAGUCAGCACGGUCCUCGGCAUCAAGCUCAUCCUCAAAGUCAGAGCCAUCAGACGACGAGGGGAGCUGUUGAGAUGGAGGACGUCGGGAAAUCCGUUUGAAGGGACGACGUUGCCCUUCCGAGUCCGACCCCGUGCCAGUAGGGGCACGAGCGGAUGAGCCAGCAGCGUCCUUCCGGGUGGCGUGCUUAAUCCUGGGCAUGAUGCACACAAACCUACACGGAUGGAAACCCAAAGGGGAACGGUCACGGGCGAACCAUAUGAACGAACACGUGAACUUGGGAGAAAAAGGAAUCCAAACGCAAGGGGAACGGAGGAGAUACCUGCAGAUCGAGAGAGGAGAGGAAGAAGAGAUGGAUCCUGCGGAGGAGAUCGGAUCCCGCGGAGGAGAUCAGGCAGGUGGCGGCGCGGGCGAGCUCUCCUGGUGCUCGCGGCGGCGGCUGCUGGGGGAAAAGGAGGCGCGUUGGGGCUAGGGCAAAGCCCAACCCGCGCCCUUCUAUUUAUAGGGCCCCGAUGUGUCGGACGUCCGACGGGCUUCGGACGUCCGGAGUGGAUUUAGCCGUCGGACGACCGACACUGGCUGGACGUCCGGAAUGAGGUUAGCCGCCGGACGUCCGAGAUACGUCGGAUGACCAAGAGAGGAGGAGGCAGAGGCUGAUUCUAGAAUUUUGAUGAUGAGAUGAUUUUUCAUGGUUUAUCACAAAGAACACGAACACAGUUGCCUACAAGAAUUACCUAUACUACUUGUGGACAGAAGUUGAUUUAUGCAUAUUUUGUAAGAUCAAAAACACAGAAUUAUGACCCACUCCCCCUAAAUGCAUGCCCACAUCAAGACAAGAACAUAAUGUGAGUGUGUGUGUAUGUGUGGAAGAUUUCAAGUUAUGUUAUCAAGCUCCAAGAUACCAAGUUCACGCCUAAGUUGAGAGAACCUUGCUACGCUAAGUGGCUUGGUGAAAAUGUCAGCGAGCUGCAUGUCGGUACCCACAUGGGUAAUAUCAAUGUCACCCUUUUGCACAUGGUCUCUCAAGAAAUGAUACCUAAUAUCAAUAUGUUUUGUGCGAGGGUGAUCAAUGGGGUUCUCGGAGAUCUUUAUGGCACUUUCAUUAUCACAGAGAAGAGGCACAUGUCGAUACGUGAUACCAUAAUCCUUUAGGGUUUGCCUCAUCCAUAGCAGUUGGGUUGCACAGCUUGCGGCUGCAAUAUAUUCGGCCUCGGCCGUGGAGAGAGAAACACAAUUCUGCUUUUUCGAGGACCAACUUACUAAGGAGCGUCCAGGAAACUGACAUGCACCGGAAGUGGAUUUCCGUCCCACUUUGUCACCGGCCCAAUCCGUAUCGGAGUACCCAAUAAGAUCGAACUUUGCAUCCUUAGGGUACCAUAAGCCUAACUUUGGGGUGUGAAUAAGGUAUCUAAGAAUAUGCUUAACCGCCGUAUGAUGGCUUUCCCUAGGGGAAGCUUGAAAUCUAGCACAUAUGCCUACACUUAACAUGAUGUCCGGUCUAGAUGCGCAAAGAUAAAGUAACGACCCAAUCAUGGAGCGGUAAGUAGAUGGGUCAAAAGAAAUACCGUUGGUGUCUUCAUUUAGAACUACAUCUGUGGCCAUGGGUGUCUUCAUUGGUUUAGCAUUUGUCAUAUCAAAUUUUUCAAGAAUGUCCUUGAGGUACUUAGUUUGAGAUAAGAAAAUCCCUUCUUGAAAUUGUUGUAUUUGAAACCCAAGAAAGAACUUCAAGUCCGUGUUGAGUGACAUCUCAAAGGUCUUGGUCAUGGAGGCCGCAAACUUCUUGCAUAAAUGGAUGUUAGGAGAACCAAAAAUGAUGUCAUCUACAUAGAUUUGGCAUAAGAUCAAAUCACCAUUUUCCUCUUAGUAAAAAGAGUGGGAUCGAUCACCCCCGCCACAAAGCCAUCAUCGAGUAAGAACUUCUUAAGAUGAUCGUACCAAGCACGGGGUGCUUGUUUGAGGCCAUACAGAGCCUUGUGAAGUUUGUAUACAUGGUCUUUGUGGUGAGGGUCAACAAACCCAGGUGGUUGUGAUACAUAUACCUCUUCUUGUAGAGGACCGUUAAGAAAAGCACUUUUCACAUCCAUUUGAUGCAAAGUAAAACCAUUGAAAGUAGCAUAGGCCAAUAGAAUGUGAAUGGAUUCAAGACGAGCAACAGGGGCGAAAGUCUCACCAAAGUCCAAACCUUCAACUUGGGAGUACCCCUGUGCUACUAACCUUGCCUUGUUGCGUAGGACAGUCCCAUUCUCAUCUUCCUUGUUCUUGAAGAUCCAUUUAGUUCCAAUGACAUUGUGUUCCUCAGUUGGUCGUUCUACCAAUGACCAUACUUCAUUGCGUGUAAAACUGCUUAACUCUUCUUGGAUAGCAAGGAGCCAGUCAUUGUCACACAAUGCAUCCUGAACCCUGUGUGGCACUGUACUAGAGACAAACGAAAAGUGAGCACAAAAGUUUGUUAAUUGUUUACGAGUCACUCUACCUUCCGAUACGCCGGUGAGGAUUUGAUCAAUAUCAACACGACCGGCCACACGUGGCAUGAUGGAGGUCAGGGUUUCACGAGGUCCGACUUCGUUUCCAUCAUCAACGUCCUCAACGUAUGGAUCAUUUACGUGCGGUGGAAGAUAUUCCUCUUUGUGUUGCACCUGUUGAGGUUCAUCAUCAAGCAUAUCCAUACUUUGGUCUAGCUCUUGAAGAUCAACUUGUUCUUGAGUGUGAUCAGAGUGAGAGACAUGUUCUCCCACUUGAUGCUCAACAACUGGCAUGAUAUGUGUGCUAGUACCUUGUGGAGGUACGGGCAGUGAACUGUCUUGAGGAUGAGAAAUACUCUCAUCAUCUUCAUCAUCAUCAUGGGGUCUUUGUUCCAUGGGGAGAAGUGCACCUACACCCAUGUUCAAGAUAUCUUGCGAGGAAUCUUCUUCACCUGCAUCACUUAGAUCAACUUGCUCCCCAUGGGAGCGGUUAAAUUCAUCAAACGUCACGUCACAGGUUCCUAUAACACAUCCAGUGGAUUUUUUGUAGACUCUGUAGGUGUGAGAGUUUGAUCCAUAGCCAAAAAAAAUCCCUUCAGUUGUUUUGGAUUGAAAUUUUCCUAACCGUUCCCGUUUGUUGAGGAUGAAACACUUGCAUCCAAACACACGAAAGUACUUAACAUUUGGCUUGUUCCCAGUUAGGAGCUCAUAUGGAGUCUUCUCCAAUAUUGAUCGAAGGAAGAGCCGGUUUGAUGCAUGACAUGCUGUGUUGACGGCCUCAGCCCAAAAACUACGUGGUGACUUGUAUUCGUCUAACAUGGACCUUGCCAUUUCCACAAGUGUCCGGUUCUUCCUCUCUGCUACACCAUUUUGCUGAGGGGUGUAAGGUGCGGAGUGCUGAUGUUCAAUUCCCUCAUCACUAAUAAAUUCUUCUAGGGUGUAGUUCUUGAACUCGGAGCCAUUAUCACUUCUUAUUGCCUUGAUGUCCUUGUCAAACUUCCGCUGGACUUGUUUGGCAAAAUCAAUGAAGGUGAUCUUCGUCUCGUCCUUGGACUUGAGAAAGAAUACCCAUGUGUAUCUUGAGUAAUCAUCAACAAUGACUAGGUCAUACUUUUUCCCUCCAAGACUUGCCCAUGAAGGAGGCCCAAACAGAUCCACAUGAAGGAGCUCUAACGGCCUCGAAGUGGAUACAAUGUUCUUGGGUGGAUGUUUUGAUUGAUGUUGUUUCCCAGCUAUGCAUGCACUGCACACACGAUCUUUCUUAAAAGAUACAUUUGUUAGUCCAAGGAUUUGAUUGUCGUUUAAGAGAUUUUGAAGAUUUCUCAUGCCGACAUGGGCGAGCCGGCGAUGCCACAACCAUCCCAUGUCGGCCUUGGCCAUUAGACAAGUUGUAUGGAAGGUGCACUCUUUCGAGAAAUCAACCGUGUAAAGGUUGCCAUCCAACUCUCCAACAAAGGCCACUUCGAGAGUGUCUCUCUUAAAGUCUUUCACAUCCGUUAGUCCGAAUAAUGUGUCAUAACCAACGGAAGCCAAUUGGUGAAUUGAAAGUAAAUGAUAUUGAAGAGAUUGGACAAGCAUGACAUUUGCAAUAGACAUGUCAUUAGUGAUUGCCACCUUGCCCAACCCAAUUACCUGCCCUUUCGACCCUCCACCAAAUACAAUGCUCAUGUAUGGUCGAAUGGCUUGCAUGAAGUCAUAGAGCAAGUUACUAUAUCCGGUCAUAUGAUUGGUGCAUCCACUGUCGAUCACCCAUUUGGCUCCUCCGGAGAAAACAGCCUGUAACGAAUUAAGACUUGGUUUGAGGUGCCCAUUUCGUCAUGAGGCCUCUCACAUUAGUUACAAGAGUCUUAGGGACCCAAAUAGCAUAAAAUCGGAAUGCAUUACGGGGACCAACGAAUUUAGCAUAAACCUCUCCUUCCUUUGAUUUGCGAAGUACAUAGGAUGGAAGCAUGAAUUCAGUCGUCUUGUUGAGAGUAGGCGAACCCCUAGUGGCCGACCUACUCACAACCUUACCUUUCUCCUUGUGUCCCUCUCGUACAAAUAUUUCUUUAAGCGGAGUGCUACACUUGAGAGGAGAUGCACUUUUCUUGGCGGUGCAUGGAUUGAACCCAAGCCCUUCCUUGGCAAAGCCUCCAUUGUGUUGACUUAAGAUCUCAUUGAGAGUCUUUUGUACUUGUGAACAUGUCAUGAGACCUCUAUCUAGGUGUGCCUUUAGAGAACAGUUUUCCUCAAGAAUAGAUGUCAGUUCACAACUAGAGUUAGUAGUGCAGGUAUCAACAUUAAUAGUAGGUGACGAGUAAGCCUUAGCUAAAGUGUCAAGAUAAGUAACCUUGAGUGCCUCAAAGCUCUUUGUAAGAACAUUGAGUUUCUCUUCCUUGUCUUUGAGAGGCAAAGAUAGACGCUCACAGUCCUUAGAAAGGGAAGCAUGAGAGUUCACUAGUCGGUUUUUAUCAUUUAGUAACUCUUUGCACACAAAUUCAGCCUUUUUCAAGGAGGCAAGAUCGUUAGCAUGUUUAUCAAGGUUUUCACCAACUUUUGAGCAUAAUACAUCAUUUUGUGCUUUCUCAUACAGGACUUUCUGCUCAAGGAUUUCAUUUAUUUCCUUCUCCUCAGUGACGAGGGUUUCGAGUUCCUUGAUGGUAUUGGUGUGCUUACUCACCAUUUCCAUAAGUAUGCGAAACAUAGUGAGCUUCUUUCCUUUAAGAGAGCACAUAAAUUUGUUUAUUUUGGCAAACAUGGGAUGAUCUAAGUCAUUAUCCUCAUAGUGAUCUUCCGCAUCAAGAUACUCAUCAGGUGAGGUAGAAGGUAGACUGAAAGAGUUUAACCAUGGAGUUACCUUAACCUUAUCAUGGGAGCUUUGGUCUUCCUCAUCUCCCAUGGCAGUCUUUGCCAUCAAACACUUGUGGGCAACCCCACCAAUGUCUUCUGGAUCUGAUUUUUCUUGUGCAACCAUUGCUCUUCGAUCUGUUCUCUUGAGCUUGGAGUUCAUAGGGUUUGGCAACUUCUUCUUUACAAAGGUCUUCGGAAACCUUGGUUUGUCUUCUCUCUUCUCAUAAGGGCAGUCAUUGGAGAAGUGGUUGGUUUCCUCACAGUUAUAGCAUUUCCUUACCUUCUUCUUUGGGAAUCUUCCCUUGAAUUUUCCUGCACUGAACUUCUUUACAAAGAGAGCAAUAUCCUCAUAAGAUGGGCUUUCAUCAGAGUCAACAUCAUCACCAUCUUUGCAGUCAUCAUCACCCUCUUCUUCUUCACUUUCUUCUUCAUCACAUUCAUGCUUGGCUAUCAAAGCAAGAUUAAUCUUUGAUGUUGAAGUGCCAUGCAUGGCAAGGUGCUUUGUUGCAUUUGCCUUUGACUCUUCAAAUAAUUGGAAAGUGGAUAUGAUGUCAUCUGGAGUCAUUUCUUUGAACCCAUGGUGCUGCCUCAUGUCCCAUACCAUUUGAUGGUGAUACGGAGCAAGAGCAUGAAGUAACUUGUCCACAAGAAACCUCUUGGUCAGAUUGAAACCAUCUUGCGUCUUGUCACAGUCACGGGACUCAAUGUCUGCGGCGAGAGUCAUGAGCCAUUCUAGCAGUUGCUUGGGAGAUUCACCCUUUUCCAUACAGAAAUUCUGUAAUUGCCCAUUGGCAAUUUCAUAUUGAGCAAGCCGAAGAGUGGAGGUACCGGUCUUGGUCCUUAUAAUGCUAUCCCACAGUUCCUUGGCACUUGUGAUGUGAAUGUAAGGUCUCCGUUGCUUGUCAUUCAUUCCUUUUCUUAUGCACAUGAUCGCAGUGUCAUUGAGAUGCUAGUCAUAAGUUUCUCUGGGAGUGAGGUACCUUGGAUCUACAGGAUUGUACCCAUGCUCGAGGAUGUCCAACAUCUCAUCAUUGGCGUACCUAAGAUGAUCCUGCAUACCAACUCUCCACAAAGCAAAAUCGGAAUUGUCAUCAAGCAAGGGAGGUUUUCCUCCAGGAUUGUACUUAGGUUUCUCAACUUGAGAUCUAGCAUAAAGCCAUGGAACACUGGUUUGGUUCCUUUCCGGAGGUUGUUGGCCAAAUGAAGAACCAUGCACAUGUGGCCCUGAGGCCCUCGGGGACAUGGUUGUCCCCGUGGUUAAUGAUGCCAGUCUUAUUUGGACCAAGGCCUCAAGAGAAGCAUCAUGCUCCUCUUUUUGCAUGGCAAGGGCCCGUUCCAGGUCCUCAGAGGUGAAGGACUUGACUUCCGUGGAAGUCCUAUCCCUCUCCACCGGAGCUACAAUAGUGGGAAUCCCGUCCAUCUCGCUCUAGGGCGGUUAAGCGACAAGAAUAGAGAACGAGGCUCUGAUACCAAUUGAAAAGGAUCGAGAUGGACCUAUAGGGGGGGUGAAUAGGUACAGUUCCAAAUUUUAAUAAUUACUUAGCAAUUUUAGGCAAAGGUGCGGAAUAUGAGCGUAGGCCUAAUAAUUGCUAUGACAAGGAGUAAGCUAUUUAGAGUGAAGUAAGGCAAUUGAUAAACAAUAAUCAAAUACAAGUAUGUAAUAAGGAUUAACACAAGUAGAGAGUUAGGGUUAGGAAUAACCGAAACUCCAAGAGAGACGAGGAUGUAUCCCGAUGUUCACUUCCUUGGAGGGAAGCUACGUCACCGUUAGAGGGGCGGAUGUUACCACGAAGGCACACCAACGCCACGAAGGCUCACCCUAUUCUCCCUUUGAGAUAAAGCCACGAAGGCGUUUCUCAACCACUAGUGGUAAGCCUUGAGGUGGCUUCCAAACCUUCACAAACUUUCCGGGGGAAAUCACAAUGGUUUGAUUCCUCUCCGAAGACUCCUACCGCCUAGGAGUCUCCAACCUCCAAGAGUAACAAGAUCACGGGGAUUGCUCAAAACUUGCUCAAAUCACAAAUCACUUUGGUGGGAAGGAGGAGAAGCAGACGAUCUAUCUUAUGAUUGGAACAACACUCAAAGGGACUCACAAAUGCUCUUGGGAUCUAAGAUUGAGUGUAGACAAGAGUGAGUGAGAGGAAAGCUGUUCUUGUAUGUGUUCUAGCUGUGUUGGGAAACCUCUCACGAAGUGGGAGGGGGUAUAUAUGGUGGGGAGUGUAAAACAGCCGUUGGGGACACUUUAAGUCACACAGGGUUCGGACAUCCGGCAGUUCACGGAUGUCCGGGCGUCCACAAGGGGUCGGUCGUCCGAGGGCUGUAGAUAUGUCUGGAAUCACUGUGAGUUGAACACGGACCGGACGUCCGGACAAGGCCGGAAGUCCGAGUUAUUCGACUCAACUUAUUCUGGUGCAAGAUUCCGGAUUUCCGAAAGGGGACGGACGUCCGGCCCUCGGACGUCCGGAGGGAGCCGGAAGUCUGAGUUAUAUGGCUCACGUACUUCUGGUGCAGGGCUCCGUAUUUCCGAAGCUGGUCGGUCGACCGGCCCUCGGACGUCCGGAGGGAGCCAGAAGUCCGAGUUAUAUGGCUCAAGUUCUUCUGGUGCAGAGCUCCGGAUUUUCGAAGCUUGUCGGUCGUCCGACCCUCGACCGGCCCUCGGACGUCCGGAGGGAGCCGGAAGUCCGAGGCAUUAGUCAUGUUUUGAGAUAAGAGCAGAGUAGUGAAGAUGUGGUAUUGAGCAGAAUAGUGAAGACGUGGUAUGAGAAAAUUCAUCGCAAAACCUGUGAUCCCCUCUUAAUAGUGCGGGAUCCCUAUACUCAAGAAUAGUAAACUUAAAAGGAUAGUCUACAUCAUCUUUUCUCAAUCCCGAGACUUCCUGACAUAUAAAUCCUGAUCUUCUCAGUCCACCUUGGCACAUAAUUNNNNNNNNNNNNNNNNNNNNNNNNNNNNNNNNNNNNNNNNNNNNNNNNNNNNNNNNNNNNNNNNNNNNNNNNNNNNNNNNNNNNNNNNNNNNNNNNNNNNNNNNNNNNNNNNNNNNNNNNNNNNNNNNNNNNNNNNNNNNNNNNNNNNNNNNNNNNNNNNNNNNNNNNNNNNNNNNNNNNNNNNNNNNNNNNNNNNNNNNNNNNNNNNNNNNNNNNNNNNNNNNNNNNNNNNNNNNNNNNNNNNNNNNNNNNNNNNNNNNNCCUUGGCACAUAAUUCUCAAUCUACUAAAGUACUUGCCAUCCUGAGAUACACUCAACAAAUAGGAUUAGUUUCCUAUGUAUGUGUUGUCAUUAACACCAAAAGUCGAUUAGGGGCAUAACAUGCACUUUCAAGGGGGACCUGGCUGGAUUAGAUCUCGCCGUCUUCCGAGUCGCCCUCGGAGGUGGGUGACGCGGGGGACUCUGUAGUAUGUGGUGUAGCAUUAUUGAAAUAGUAGAGGGACACUAGACCAGUGGACCCCGCUGGUAUCGAAGUAUAUGUUUGUUAGGGAGAUGAAAACCAUUCUGUGAACUUGGGUUAUUCAUUUUAGUGUGAACUCUGUUGUACUUUAAAUUUGUUACGAUUUGGUAUGUGGCUCCUAUGAAUCCAAAAAAGAACCAAGUCUCAGGGGGUGGCCAUGACACUGAAGAGUCGACGCAGGAUAAACCAAGACGUCCUUGGAAGAGGAAAAUUUAUCCUGUGUCGACAGUAUGUAGAAGUGCGCGAGUAAAACAAUUAUGAUGAAAAAUAAAAGGGAUUUUUUUGAAACCGCAGAGGUCUUGCAGACUUGGCUAAACGGAGGUUCCUGGCGGAGGCAUCAAUGGAGCAUAAAUGAGACUUUAUGGCUUUACAAGAAACGGGUAGAGAUAAUUUUACUCCACAUGUGAGGUAGAUUUUGAUUGGCAUUGCUUACCAUCAAGGGGUCGAUCCAGAGGGAUACUCUUGGUGUCAACUGUAAAACACUAGAAGUGCUUAAUGUGGUUUCUGGUGAUUUUACCGUCAAAUCUCAAGUGAGAUCGAAGUUGAUGGUUUUCGAUGGGUUCUAGUGGUUGUCUAUGAAGCAGCUCAAUAGGAGCUAAAAGCUGGAUUUCUUUCAGAUCUGGUGAGGGUCUAUGGAAAUGAACGAUUACCAAUUUUAGUUAGUGGAUACUUCAAUAUAAUUCGACGAUGAGAAGAGAAAUGAUAAUUUCAAUGCUAGAUGGUCAUUCAUGUUUAACAUGAUUACUGAGAUUCUCAACCUGAGGGAGAUAGACCUCACAGGCGGAAAAUUUACGUGAGCAAACUCUUUACCCGUUCCGACUUAUGAGAAGCUACAUCGGGUGCCCACCAACAUGGUGUUGGAACAGAAGUUUCCUACGGUAAUGGUCCACUCUCUGCGAAGAGCAAUUUCUGAUCAAACUCCACUUCUUGUUGACUUAGGGGAGGCGACACAUGUGGGUAAUAAAAAUGUCUUUCCUUUCAAAGUAGGAUGCUUCAAGAGAGAAGGGUUUCUAGAGCUAAUAGGAAAUCAAUGGGCCAAAGAAACUAGUGGGAAUACUAAUAUGGACAGAUGGCAAAAUAAAAUCAGACAUGUACGUCAGUUCUUGUGGGGUUGGGCCAAGAAUCAGAGUGGUAUAUAUAGAGUGGAAAAAGAAAGGCCUAUUCAAUUCAUAAACGGGUUAAAAUUGAAAGCAAAAGAAUCAGUACUUAAUCAUAUAGGUCGAAGUAGGAAGGAUGAGGCUAAGGAGAGACUUCGCCAUUUACUUCGAGAGGAAGAAAUUAAAUGAGCACUAAGAGCCAAAGUGUCUAGAGUCGUCCAGGGGGAUGACAACACACAAUUUUUCCACAUGAUAGCUAAUGGCAAACGUAGAAAGAAAAGAAUAACUCAGUUUGAACAAGAUGUGGGUACAACUGUAGGACAUGAGAAUCUCAAAUUGUAUAUAUCUGAAUAUUAUUAAAAGCUAUUCGGGGCUCAUGAAGAUAACUCUAUAUCUCUUGAUGAGGGCGUAACAGAGGACAUCCCUCAACUCAAUGACGAAGAGAAUGAGGUAAUGUCAGCUCCAUUGAUCGAGAAAGAGGUGUUCGAAGCAAUUAUGCAAAUGAAAAAAAACAAUGCUCCUGGAAGAUUGGUUCCUAGCUGAGUUUUAUAAGAGGUGUUGGUAUAUUAUUAAAUAUGAUCUGAUGCCAAUGUUCCAUGACUUAUUUAGUGGACAACUACAAUUAUUUCACCUAAACUUUGGAACAAUCACAUUUUUGCCAAAGAAAGAGGGGGCCAUGCGAACUAAGCAGUUCAGGCUGAUUUACUUGCUUCAUGUAACACUACUAUAAUCAGAUAAUUUGCCAUCAGCCCAGGCUUUGCCAUCUGCAUGCUGACGGCAAAGAAGUUAUUUGAUGUUUGCUUCCACAAAACACACGACAAAGAGUGGACUGCUGGCAAAUAUGCUAUUUGCCAUCAGUGCAUUCUUUGUCGUCUGCCAACGGACGGCAAAGAGCCCAAAGGCAGACCGCAAAGAGUAUGACCUAGCCCGGCUAACAAGUGGGUUGUUUGUCGUCUGCUAGUAGACGCCAAAGAGCCCAAAGACAAACAACAAAGAGGAUGACCUAGCCCGGCCAAUAGGUGGGUUGUUUGCCCUCUACCUUUAGGCUCUUUGCCGUCUUCUAGCAGACGGUAGAGAAGUUCACCUAUAACGGCCGUUACCCUCACCCCCUCUCUCUCCCACCCCCUCUCUCUCUCCACGCCACUCCCCCCUCUCUCUCUCUCCCCACCUUGACUACCGCUGUCACCACACUGGCACCCCACCCUCCUUCCCCUGGUGGUUGCCUCCUCCUCCUCCCCGGCCCACCACCGCCCUGGCCCCCCUCCAUGCCGUCGCGCGGCCACCUCGGCCCCCCGCCGCCCCAACGACCGGCUGCCCCGGCCGCCCACCGCCUAGCCUCCCCAUCGCCUGACCACCUUCGGUAAAUUGUUUUCUUUGUUUUUUUAUUUUCUCUGUUUAUUAGGUUAUUAGGUUAGUUAGGUUAGAAAAAAAGGAAAAAGGAAAAAAAGAAGAAGAAUAAGAAGAAAAGAAGAAGGAAAAGAAGAAAAGAAGAAAAGAAGAAGAAAAGAACAAGGAAAAGAGGAAAAAGGAAACAGGAAAAGAAGAAGAAGAAGAAGAAGAAGAAGAGAAGAAGAAGAGACAAAAGGAAAAGAAGGAAGAAGAAGAAGAAGAACAAGAACAAGAAGAAAAAGAAGAAGAAGNNGAAGAAGAAGAAGAAGAAUAAGAAGAAGAAGAAGAAGAGGAGAAGAAGAAGAAAAAUAAGAAGAAAAAGAGGAGAAGAAGAGAAAGUGGAGAAGAAUAAGAGCAUAAGAAAAGAACAAGAAGAAGAGAAGAAGAAGAAAAGAAUCAGUAGUAGUAGAAGAAGAAGAGGAGAAGAAAACGAAGAAGAGGAGAAGAAGAAAUCGAGGAGAAAAAGAAUAAAAUAGAAGUGGAAAAGUAUUGGGAUUUAUCAAUAUUGAGAAAAAUAUUGAAUAAUAUUGAAUAAAAUAGAAGUGGAGAAGUAUUGAGAAAAAGAAUAAUAUAGAGAUUUUUCUAUCGUGAUUGAAUAUUCGUGUUGAUCGUGUGGAUUACAAUGUGUAGUUGUUUCGUCGUUGUGAGGGUCUGGUGUUCGACGACAUCCCCGUGCGUUCGACGAGCGCCCUGCGUUCGUGGGGGAGCAAAAAUGACAUAUCCUUCUCCCCCUUCAUUUGCUCUGUUUCGGUCUUCGUGUCGAUGACACUUGCUAGAUAUUGGUAUAUUCAAUCAUCAGUAUGCGUGACUAGUAUGUGUCUCCCGUUUGAAAGGGUGCCAUCUAUAAAUAUGCAUGUCUUUGCAUAUUUAUAACCUCCAUUCUUUUGAAUUGUCCACGUUAUCCAUGGACAGUCCGAGUAUGGGUAGAUUUGGUUCGUUUUCAAUGAGAUGCUCCAGAUGCAAUGCAGAAUUUCGUCAUUGCCUCUCUGUUGUUCUCCGAAUUCAAUGAGGCUUGGAGGACCCAGGUGGAUUCUUUUGUUUGGAAAGCUAGUGUUGGGAUUAAGAUGAAUGAUGGCAUAGGUCAUUACUUUCAAACCCACAAAGGAUUGAGAUAGGGAGAUUCGAUGUCCACGAUCUUAUUUAACAUAGUAGCAUAUAUGCUAGCAGUUCUCAUAGGUCGUGCUAAAGAGAAUGAUGUAGUAAGAGGGCUAGUUCAACAUAUUGUGGAUGGAGCUGUGUCCAUCUUGCUAUAUGCGGAUGAUACGAUUCUUUUCAUGGAACAUGAUAUUGCCAAAGCUAGAAAUAUGAAGUUGAUACUAUGUCUGUAUAAACAGUUAUCCGGAUGGAUUGAAGUUUAAUUUUUAAAAGAGUGAAUUGUUAUGCUUUGGGCAUGCCAAGGAAGAAUAGGAUGCCUAGAAAAAAUUAUUCGGAUGUGACAUAGGUUCUCUUCCAUUUAACUACUUGGGCAUCCCUAUUCAACAUUGGAAACUUACCAAUAAGGAAUGGAAGCGUAUAGAGGAUCGGUUUGAAAAAUGACUAAGUUGCUGGAAGGGCAAGAUUAUGUCUUACGGUGGGCGGCAAGUGUUAAUAAAUUCAGUAUUGACAAGCUUGCCUAUGUUUUUAUUAUCAUUCUUCGAUGUACCAGUAGGGGCACAGAAAAUACUUGAUUUUUAUCGAUCCCGAUUUUUCUUGCAAAGUGAUGAUAGUAAAACAAAAUACAGAUUAGCUAAAUGGGACAUGAUGUGCAAGUCUUUUUCUUGCGAGACGGUAUCACUGGCACCUAGCCUAUUAGCUAAUCUGUAUUUUGUUUUACAGAGGACGUGAUAGACAUGUAUCACUGGAUAUCUUCAAUCGACAUGGAUGACGACGCACUAAUAGGCUAGGUGUCUAGUCCUCGGGGUCUAUCUUUAUCUUGCGAGAUGUGGCAUGUAAUUUUUCAUUUUUAUUGUGAGACCUUGGAUAUUGCGCUUGUUUGGAACCUUUUUAUUCAAUAAAAUCGCUGCAUGCAUCAUCAUAAUGCAGAGGCCGGGGUAAUCCUAUUUUUUCAAAAAAUAUAUCUAGGUCAUUAUUCACAAAAAGAAUAGUGUCCUUCGUAUAUUGUAAAAUAGAUAGACAUUAAAUGAGGAAUAAUAUCGCUAAUCUGUCUGGCCACCUUAGUCCUCUCGAGGAAGACCCUUCUUAGUCUGAAAAUAGUCUCCAGAUGGUUAGUUGGUUAUCAUUAUUCACUGUUUCUCCUCUGCCAAUGCCUGUCUUUUAUAAACACCGACCAUUCUUGACGAAACCGCCGUGUGAGACAGGACACAAAAAACAAUCCCGCCCAGGUGAAGCCCCUUUGCUUGUGCCAUGGCCGCCGUCGUCGCCGUGGAAAGCUUGAAGCCCGAGGUGAUGCGCCUGCUCCUUCCCUUCCCCUGUUGGGAAUGUCAGUUUGUAUGUUACUUCGAGGCGUUGGUGGGAUUUUUUGGUCGAGGCUUUGAAUGGAUUUACUUGUUUGUUCUUGUUCUGUUCAUGGACGUACGUAUACGUACUUUCUUUGCCUUUCACCCGGCCAUCCCAGUGGAUGGACAGAUCUCAUCUGGACUAGUGGGUGUAAUCGAAACAACUUUGUUUGUAAAAUAAAAAUUAGUGCUCAAAGUUAGACAUAGAAAUAUGAAAUGGCCUAGUAUACAAAAACUUUUGAUAUGUUAUAUGUUGUAAUUAUGUAGAUAUGACUAACUAGGAAGUAUAUUUUGUCAGGCUUCCACCAUGUCUGGCCAACCAGUUGAGUUAAGUCCAGGGCAGCUGCAUAAGCUAGCCGAGCUGAUCCAUCGACAAGAAGUGCAGAAGCUUCAAGAGCUCAAGUUCGAGUCAUACGCAGAGCAACAAAACUAUCUCAAAGACGCCAGAGAGGCCCGUGAUAAGGUGUACCAUAUCCUUGACAGUGCACAGGAGAUGGUUACGGAGGCCGAGGCCGACAAUGACGCCACCAAGCAAGAGAUUGCUAAGGAUGUCUAUGAGUACUGCACCAAGGCCAUCGGAACAUCCCUCAAAUUCAUCCGUAGUUACAACACCCGUCUCACCUAUCUUGACAAGCUCAAGACCCAUAGUGAUGAUCUCAUCAAGCAGCUAAAGUGGCUUGAUCCGGUCACCCAACAGAAGGAAGCUCAGCGCCUUGCUCUUGAGGCGGGCAUGUACAAGAAAGCCGCGCUUGAAAAUGCUGAAAAGUUUCAACAUUUUAUACCAAACCAAUUCUCAAAAUGGCUCAAGGAUAACAAAAUCAAGUUUGAGGACCUGGUAACAGAGUAUGUCCCUACAAUUAUUAUUAUUAUUUUAUUAUUAUUUUAUUUUUAUUGUUACUACUAGUACUACUACUACUUUGGUAUUAUUAUUAAAUAUUGUUGAGCACAAAAUGAGUCUACAAUUGCUUUUCCAUUGUACUUGCAGUAAUAUGGCAAAGCUUGGUUUUAAGGGGCCUUUUAAAAACUUGGGUGAUAUCCAAAAGCUACAGGUAUGAACUAAUUAACUUACUCUCUAAAGCUCUUGGCAUUAAAUUAGCAAUGUUUAUGGUGAAAGUGGCACUGAAUAUCAACACUGCAAUUUAUCCCGUUUCUCAGGUAUAUGACAAUAUUAUUGCGGCAGCGGGACAUGGAAAACCUUCGGUGACUUACACAUUUGAAGCUUUGGGAAAAGUUGGGGUUGCAGCCUUGGUUUUUACAGCGGCUGUAAUGGUGUGGGACAUAUACACAGCGGAGGAUAAGCUGCAGGCAGCCGUUAGGGAUGCAGUGAAUGCGUUAACCUCAGUAGUCGAUCUUGUGAUUGGACAGGUAGUUAAUACUGCUGUAAGAGCUGGAUUCGCAGCACUCAACGUCCAGAUCGCUUCAGCAGCUGUCACGGUGAUUGGAUCAGUCGUCGGGUUCGGAAUUGGUGUGCUCGUUGGGGUUGCUGCAGGUGCGUUGCUUGACUUGAUUUUCGGCAGUGGAACUAGCAAUGUGCAGAUAACAGACGGGCUUAGUGGUUGUCGUGUGGCUCCUAUGCCCGAUGGUCUUGAGCUCGCUCGCCUCAUUAAGCACAACUACCCGGACAUGUAAACUCAUCAUGCAACUAUGCUACUACUCUACUAUGGUUGCUAUCUUCUGUAGUUGUUGCUGCCACUGCUAUAUUAUUGUUGUAUUGAAGGGAUAUAGUUACCUCUUGUGUAAGUGCAUAAGUGCCUAUUGCGCACUUCUAAGAUAAAACACCCGACCCCACGAGGUAGCUGUUGUAUUCCCUGAUACCAUAAUCUUAAUUAUAUACUUCAUGAAUGAAUAUGUACUCAAGCUUCCUUUUGUCGUGGUAUGUACAUGUUAUCAUGCUCAUAUAAACAUACUUGUAUGCAUUACAUAAUAUAAGUCCAUAUAUUGUAACUUAAUAUGUAAGUGCACACCUACAAUAAUUUCGCUUGGUCACCAAUCGAAGACAACUAAAACCCACCUGCUUAUAUUUUUGGACAUGCCGUCGAAUUAUCAAGUGGAUACAACAAAAAUGAAGCUUGAACAAGGUAAUGAUGAAAAAAGAAACUCUAUUUCUAGGUAUAUAAUCAACUCGGGCCAAUCUAGGUGGUCCACCCUUGGAGCUCGAGAUGUACAACCAUCCAAGUCAAUCAUGUGUUAUCACCCACUUUUUCACAAACCUAGCAGCUGCAUGCGCUGGGCUAGAAAACUGACCAACGGCCUUGCACAACCAUACCCUCCGUGUCUAGUCGCCAUCCAUAGAUUGUAUGUCACCACCAAAGACAACCAUCAAAUAUGGAGUGAGAAGCCGUCACAAAGACCUUUAUGCGUCCAUCUCAAUCCGCAAUGAGGCCGCCACCGUAGGCCCAACUUGUCAUCACACGGACCAAUACCGAUAGCGGAGCAUCUCGCCUCUGACUUGGCAUGACCCGGUGCCUCAGAGGGCCCCAAAUCUCCAUGCUUAUUGUGUCAUUCCCAAGAUCAAUAGCAGCCACACACAGUCGAUGAUGAAAUACAAUGAAUACACCUCAUGUAAUAGUAUUUACAACGAAGGACCAGUGAUUUACAAUACACACCUGCUUAUCUCAUGGCUAACUUAUCAUACAGUUAUGAAGCAGAGAUAACUUUCUGGUCUUGUGGCGUCCACCAACUCACGUGCAAGUGUUGGGUAUAGUGUCGUAACCCUAGUUUGCAACUUUGCUUGAAUACGGUAAACGUGCAACAUUAUAUGUUGCAGCCAUAAGGGUGAGUACAUUGAAUGUAAUGGUAAGCUACACCAGGAUUGGUUGGUUGGAACAUAAAAAUGCAAGUUGUGGUGGCUAGUUUUGUUUUACUCGAAAAAUAGUUCUUCCCUACCUUUGUAAUAGUGCUCUACUCUAAUAGUUGGAUAUACCAUAUCAUGCGGUAAUCCUGGAAGCAUCGUAUCAUGCAGAAGUCCUAAGAUAUAAGAACUUGAGUAUGUGGGUGUACGUAUCAAACUUUAGCACCAAGCUUCCAUCGAGAGACCCAUGUUCACUCCCAGUCCUCGGACAAACAACACCACAUUAGUUUUACAACAACAUAUGAUGAGAUCAAAAAGACAAGUCUACGAUUAGUUUCUCAGAAGUUGUCCAUAACCCGCUUUAAGGACGUGGAUUUCACCUAGAUGAGCGGUGAAUAUGCGCUUUAAAAUAAUUAUGAUUUAGGAUUGAACGAAUGCGGAAUAAAACUAACGUUUAAUUUGUCCAGCACAAAACCUAAAACAACUAGGCUCACCUAUGUGCACCAGUAACUUAUGCUAAGAAAGAUAAACAACUAAGUGAUAACAAUAUAUAUAACAAGAAAAAAUAUGGCUAUCACAAACUAAAGUGCAUAAGUAAUGGGCUCGGGUAAGAGAUAACUGAGGCACGUAGAGCUGACGAUGUAUCCCGAAGUUCACACCCUUGCAGAUGCUAGUCUCCAUUUGGAGCUGUGUGGAGGCACAAUGCUCCCCAAAAAGCUACUAGGGACACCGUAAUCUCCUCACGCCCUCGCACAAUGAAAGAGGUCAUGAUUCCACUAAGGGACCCUUGAGGGUGGUCAUCGAACCUGUACAAACAAGACUGGGGAAAUCUCUACAGAUUAAUUGGAGGCUCCCAACAACACCAGAAACUUCACCACAAUGGAUUAUGGCUUCGAGGUGACCUCAGUUGCUCGGAGCAAUCUCCACAACCUAAUUGGAGACCCCGAUGCUUGCGCGGAGCUUUACACCAUGUUUGAGCUCCGAGGCACAACCAACCGUCUAGGGCACCAAAGCACCCAGGAGGCACGACUCUAGGGUGCCCAAACAACCAAGAGUAAUAAGCCUCUCAAACUUCAGUUCCUCGUAUCACCUUGGAGAACUGAAACCUAUGCACCAAAUGCAAUGCAAUGGCAGUAGCGUGGGUUAGAAGCUUACCAGUGACGUGGGGUGCCGCGCUACUGCUAGCUCGCUACAACUAACUUUUAGCAGCAGCGCAGGGCAACCUGCGCUGCUGGUAUAUUUAGAUAGCAAUAUCGUGGGUAAUUGAACCGCGCUACUGAUAAUAGCUGCAGCGCACCCACUUGAGGAGCGCUAGUAAUAAAAGCUCGCUGCAGUUGAAGCAUGACCCACGCUACUGCUAUAAAUUUCUGGUUUUUUUCUACUUCCCAUUACCUUUUUGUAUUUGAACAGAUAUUAUACAAUAAUAUAAUAAAAUCAAAUCAUACACAUACAAAUAGUCUCAGAAAAUCAUGUCAUCAUCAUAAACAUUAUCCAACACAAAUCAUGUCUCCCGUCAUCAUCUUGAAAUAGCAAUACAUGUUUUGACAUGUCUCGAGUACUUGCAACUAUAUUGUCAUCCAUCUAAACAAUAAUGAUGUAAAAGAGAAGGGAUGUUACUAUAAGUGAGAGCGAAACCAUGCAAUACAUGAGGCGGCGGUUCUAGUUCUUCUCUCGCGCUAGCGUCCACCUCAAGUAAGUAGCUUCUGCUUCUUGUCUGCUAUCGAACCCUUUAUGGAUGUCUCCCGAGAAACCAUCCACUCGAGUCUCACACUCGGGCCACUCUUUUUGCACUCUCGAAACUUUCUGUAUGUACACGACAUAGCACUUCUUCGCCAUCACGGAUCUAUGUACCAGUUAGACAUGCAUCUUCAUCAAGGGAAUCAAUAAAAAUAUGCAACAUAAUAUAAUUGAGAAACACAAAAAGAAAGGGUGUUAGCAAAUAGAUGCAACAUAUAGUAAACAUAAUUAAUCAACGCAGGUUCAUCGCACCCAAGCUAAUUAACUAGAGGUACACAGGUCAUCAUUUACCCAGACUAACAAACUAUAUAGCGCUACGCAAGUUUGGCAGGGACCGUUGACAUCACAAAGAGUUUCAUCGCUACAUAAAGUACGAGUUCAACCGACAUUGUUUGAGUUGGCAUACAUAAUCUGCAGCACGUACCGGACAUUAUCUCCAAAGGGAUAAGUGAGGAUCACUCCGGCUCCCAAACCUCCGAGAUUCGUGGACCCGUUGCAUGGUCCAAUGAGCGUAAGUGCUAUACUCUUUGGGGAGUUCGGCCUCUGUCCAUUCAUCGACAAAGCCGGUCAACACUUGAUAUUUAAUUGCUCGUAGUGGCUUGUAGGUGAUCUCAAAUGGUAGGAGCUCGAUGUCCCAUUUGGCAAUUCGACCGGUGGCGUCCUUGUUGUCAAUUAUAUGUCACCGUGACCGCGCAUUCCUGAAAAUAAUGCCCAAGUAUGUGUGACGCCAUGAAUACCGGGUAAGCAAUCUUCUGGUAUUGCGGGUAUCUUGUUUUGCAUGGGGUAAACACCUCGGAUACAUAAUAAACAGGCCUUUAUUCCUUAGUUGGUGACCCUCGGUUUCACGCUCUACGAUGAGGACCGCGCUCACCACUUGAUUGGUGGCUGAGAUGUAUAGCAACAUCGGCUCCCCUAUGUAGGGUGUUGCGAGGAUGGGGUUGCUAGCUAGUAGAUUUUUUAUUCCUUCCAGAGCCGUCAUGGCCUCCUCGGUCCACUUCAAGUUCUUGGUCUUUUUCAGCAAUCUACAGAGUGGGAGGGCCUUCUAUCGGAGGCGAGAGAUGAAUCGGCUUAAAGCCGCCAUGCAGCAUGCCAAUUUUUGGACGUGCUGUAGCUCUAUGGCGAGUUGUGACAGUGCUCGGAUUUUGGCCGGAUUGGCGUCGAUUCCUUGCUGCGACACUAUAAACCCGAGGAGUUUGCCGGCUGGAACCCCGAAGACACAUUUGUUUGGAUUAAGCCAUAUGUCAUAAGCCCGUAGGCUGGCAAAGGUUUCCCUGAGAUCGUCUACCAGCUGGCUGACGUGUCGGGUCUUGAUGACCACAUAGUCCACGUAUGUCUCCAUGGUUUCGCCGAUUUUUUUUCUAAGAAUGUCUAAAUCAUGCGCUCGUAAGUGUCACGUGCAUUUUUUAACCCGAAAGGCAUUGUGUCAAAGCAGAACGGACCGUAGGGGGUAAUGAAGGCGGUUGCUACCUGAUCGGAUCCCUUUAUUUUGAUCUGAUGGAAUCCGGAGUAAGCGUCGAGAAAGCAUAUAUAGGGAGUCGUGUCGGCUGUUGCGUCGAUGAUCUAGUCUAUUCAGGGUAAGGGAAAAGGGUCUUUUGGGCAUGCUUUGUUUAGGUCUUUGAAAUCGAUGCAUAGCCAUCAGGAUUUGUCCUUCUUUGGUACCAUUACCAGGUUUGCCAGCCAGUCGGGGUGUUUAAUCACCUUGAUGAACCCGACUUCGAGUAACUUGGCGAGUUCUUCCCCCAUGGCUUGACGCUUAGGUUCAGAAAAUUGGUGCGAGGUCUGUUUGAUAGGCUUGAAACCUGCUAAUAUAUUCAGGUUGUGUUCCGCCAACCCCCGGGGGAUCCUUGGCAUAUUUGAUGGGUCCCACGCAAAUAUAUACCAAUUUUCGCAGAGAAAGGCGCGUAAUGUCUUGUCUACUGCAGGCUUCAGGUGGGCUCCAAUGGAUGCAAUUUUAUUAGGAUCCAUUGGGUGUACCUGGAAUUUGAUGGUCUCGUCCGCCGGUUUGAAAGACGUUGCUUUGGGUCGCUUACCGAGGACUGCGUCUUCUUUAUCCACCACGGAACGUAGACUGUGAGUUCUUCUGCAGCAAGGGUCUCCGCUAGUACCUUCACGGUUAGGGAUGCCUUUUUUAUUUUCGGCUCAGAGUGCUCUGUUGGGACGUUUGGCCCUGGCAAUUUCAGCUUCAUGUAUCCGCAGUGGCCUGAAAUCUUGUGAACGUUUCACGUCCUAACAGGGCAUGGUAGCCGCUAUGAAACGGGACAAUAUGGAAUAGGAUCUCUUCGGAUCGAUAAUUCUCGGGAGUACCGAAUACCACGUAGAGUGCUAUCCGUCCGUACAGCGGGCCUCCCUCCCGGGGACAAUACCUCGGAAGGCUGUUGUGCUUUGCUCGAUUUGAGAUCGGUCAAAUUGCAUUUUCUCAAGCGUGUCCUCGUAGAUGAGGUUAAGGCCGUUGCCCCCGUCCAUUAGUACUUUGUUUAGGGUGAAGCCAUCCGCAAUGGGGUUUAGGACUAGGGAGGAAGGUGUCUGGCCUAUGCUGGUUAUCGGCUCGUCGUCUUGGUCGAAUCUGAUUGGUGUCUUCGACCAUGUGUUUGUCGCCACUACAUGGUGGAUUUGAUGGAGCUCUCGAAAGGCUCUCUUUCCUGGCUUGUCGAGGAGGAUGUUUCGUAGAUCGUUAGGAUCUCCCUAUUAGCAUUCAGCGGUGCCUCCGACUCUUCUUCCCAUGGCGUCCCGAGGAUUAUUUCCCCGCUUUUCGUGACUUGUUGGACGGCCCAACAUGCUCGAAGGCUAUGUGUGGAAGUUGAGUCUGGCAAGGCGGAGUGUAUGGGGCAUGGUUCAUCUAGUAGUAUGUCAAGGACCGACUUGGCCUUUGUCUGUGAUUUCUUUCUCCUUUCUGUAUGUCUGGAGGUAACCGGCCCUGUAAGUGGGGGUGAGUGCCUUCUCCGAAUUUGUAUGUUGUGCUUGAUGUCAUUGGGCUCGAUGCACAUUUUCUGCAUUUGCCAAGUGCUCUCCAUGGUGCAGUACUUGAGCACUAGGUUUGACAGCUCGGCAAAGGUUUGAACCCGAUAACGGGCUAGGGCAUUGAGGAUGCCCUCAUCCCGGCCAUGUUUCUGGAAAGUGCUUAUUAUCUCAUGAUCCUUGCGGCCUUCUUUCCUUUGGUUAAGUCGGAAUCUGGCCCAUAAGUGGUGCACUGAUUCACCUGGUCGUUGAAUGACCGUGGGUAGGCUUAGUGAACCCAAGGGAUGCUCAAGUUUGGUGGUCGUGGGAUGAAAUUUUUAUUCCCAUUAGUUGCAGGUUUGGGGUUUCGGCAGCUGUGUCCUUGACAAGGCCACGUACCGGACUAGCCAUUGGCCCUGAAUUGCUCCUGGAGCGAGGUUGGGGAUCCAGAUCGUUGGUUAUGCCCGCACGACUGGCGACCGGGAUGCAUAUCGUUCUUAAUUCCGGUGACUGGUGUCGGGAGCCCUGAACCGGGCACUCGACAGUUCUAGUGAGAUGUGUGAUGGGUGGGACAUGGAUUUCUCUGUCAUCGGGUCUGAGCCCGAUCUGAUCGUAGAUCGCAGCCUGACCGUCCGUCAUACCCAUAGCUUGGAUCUGGUCCUGUAAUUCAUGCAGUUUCGGGAUCUCGGUGGAGCUUAUGCCGCUUGUGUAUUCAGGGUCAACUUGUGUCACUUAUCCCUUGGUGACGCUUGAGGAAAUUUCUACGGAGAGCUCGGCUGAUGGGAAUUCGGACGCGCCGAGCACAUCAGGCUCUCAGGCCCGAUCAGCGGCUAAGGUUGUCUCGACAACAGGGUUCACGGCCCCAGAGGCCGAGGCAUCAAGGACAAUGGGCUCCUUCAAUGGAGUAGAAAGCCUUGUUAGAACAAGGUAUCCCCAGGGGUCAGCGGUAAACUCUAGGCUUCCAAAGCUGACUUCUUGACCGGGGAUAAAAUUUUCGACCUAACCAAAGCGGUCGGCCAGAUCGGCGUGCAGAACAAUGCUUCCGAACGCGAAGAUUUGUGUGGGGAUGAAGAAGUCCCUGUUAUAGAUCUCUUCGCGGAUGACUAGGCGCGCCAUCAUCCUUCCGGCGAUCCAACAGCGAAACUCUCAGUGAAAGCCGCAAUGUCGGUGUCAAAACCGGCAGAUCUCGGGUAGGGGGUCCCGAACUGUGGACCUUGGAUCGGUGGGUUAUAGGAAGAGGAGGAGACAGUAGUUUACCCAGGUUCGGGCCCUCUUAUGGAGGUAAAACCCUACGUCCUGCUCAAUUAUAUUGAUGAAGAUGAUUACAAAGUGGAUCUACCUCGAAAUCAUAUAUGCUAAACCCUAGAUGAUUCAGCCUCCUCUACACGGUUAAGAACCCCUGGUUUAUAUAGAUACCAGGUUUCCUAGGGUUUACAAGUUACCGACCUUCGGCUGGAGAUAGAUGGGACGAUUUAUCCCUAUUCGACUUGGAGCAUACGCCAAUCUUAGGAACCUUCCUUCCCGAGCACGAGGUCGUCAUAGUCCGGCCUUCGAUGGUGUGGUCCACGGGACGGCCUGCCGAGGAUGCCUUAAUCGUUCUGGACUCCCUCAAUGACCAUAAAGGAUCAACAUAGUCUUGUUGGAAUGAGGAACAAAGUGCAAGACAUAUCCUUCCCACACACACAAACACUACUACCCAAUGGGUUCACAAUCUUACUAAUACGCAAGUUAAAAUCGAAAUAAGAGCCUUGUCAAGACGAGGGAUACCAAUCGAAAUGGCAAAAACCACAUCAAGACAAGCAAGAGGAAAAACAAUCUUCGCCUCCAACGAGUGCAUCAAGAUGUAAGGAUAUAAUAUCCACCCUCAAGACAUAUUCUUUCACGACACCACCAAGAAAAUAAAAAGGGAAUGCAACGAUGGACGUGAAAGAAAGGAGGAUAUGAAAUACAGAUCUAAGUUCUCUCAUGUAUAUAAUAUUCUAGGUAGAAGACAAUCAUUAUGAUAUAUAUAAACAAACAAGGAUGUACACAUGACAUAGUUACAAGAAGGAACGAACUAGAUAUCCAAAAGGAAGUCAUAAAUAUACCAAUAAGUUCUUUGCUUGAAAGUACAACACAUGGACAAACAUUUUCUUACUGUACAUAAAUGAACUUCUAGCAUACGAACAUCAAAGACAUCACCACUAGUAAUAAGACAUCAUCGUUGGGAUGCUUUGAGAAAGGAAACAAGUACCACAAAAACAAUCAAGAAAUUCACGCAAUUAUGCAACCUACAAAAGGUUGAAUGCAAGAAAUGUAUGCAUGAAGUAGAUACUAGUUACCAAGAUAGCAUUGGAUUCAUGUAGUAGAUAAAUGUUCAUUGAUCAUCCUAUCUUGGCUCCAAUAAGCGGGGCUGGCAGAUGGCAAAGGUUGCCGUCAGCUGGCAGACGACAAAGGUUUUAGUUAACAGCCUAACUGGGCUGACAUCUAUGCUUUGAUAUCUAGUCCCUUUACCGUCUACUUGUCUAGGAAGAUCGACGACAAAUAUCUUUGCCAUCCGUUGUGCCCUUGCAGACGGCAAAGAAUGUCAUUACCAUGACUUUCAGUGCUGAAAGUGGGGCCUUCAGCCAGCAGACGGCAAAGAUCUUUGCCCUCCGUGACCUGGUACUUUUGUCAUCCGCUAUGGCAGACGGCAAAGAAGCCGAUUCCUGUUGCGAAGGUUAUAGGUACAUAGAGUCACAUGCUAGGUGCUAUGACUGGAGCUCUACUCCCCGAAAGGAUUCAUGCCAUCUGUACUUAGAGCAUACCAUAAGUUCCUUGCGUCAACUGCAAAGUCCGGAUACUCUCAACAUUCCCUCUUUCUUACGGUCUUCUUUCUGCCAUCGCAACAUCUUGCCAUGCUCUUUCUUUUGGAACAAAUGUUUCAACCAUGGUAUUAUAGGAGCAUACCACAUCACAUUGGCAGAAACCCUCUUCCUGGGACGCUCGCCCUCAACAUCACCAGGGUCAUCGCGACUGAUCUUAUAGCACAAUGACUCGCAUACCGGGCAUGGAUUCAAAUUCUCAUACUCCUCACCGCAAUAUGGGAUGCAUUUAUUAGGGCAUGCAUGUAUCUUCUGCACCUCAAAUCCUAGAGGGAAAACAACCCUAUUUGCUUCAUACGUUCUGGCGGGCAAUUUGUUAUCCUUUGGAACCAUCUUCUUUAUCAUUUUGAACAACUUCUUGAAUCCCUUGUUAGAUACACCAUUCUCUGUCUUCCAUUGCAACAAUUCCAGUGUGGUACCCAGCUUUUCCUUGUCAUCUUCGCAAUUUGGAUACAAUAAGUUUUUGUGAUCCUCUAACAUGCGCUACAAUUUCAACCUCUCCUUUUCACUUUCACAUUUUCUCUGUGCAUCAACAACGGCCCGACCAAGAUCAUCAGCGGGCUUAUCUGGUGCCUCUUGGCCUUUGGCUUCCCCCGUUGCAGUAUCACUAUAUUCAGGGAAUAUAGGAUAGUUGUCACCAUCAUCUUCUUGUUCAUUGUCUUCCAUCAUAACCGCUAUUUCUCCAUGCUCAGUCCAACAAUUAUAGCCGGACAUGAAACCGGACUGAAGCAGGUGGCUAUGAAGGAUUUUUAGGUAGAGUAAUUCUUAUCAUUCUUACAAGCACCACAUGGAUAACAUAUAAAACCAUUCGGCUUGUUUGCCUCAAAACCAAAGUAUAAUACAAGUUUAUCACAUCAAAACCAAAGUGGAGUAGUGACCAAAGGUUAUUAAUGCAAAAAUAUAUACAUAAAGUUCAUACAUAUAUGCUUCUCAUAGAACAACAUACAACUAUCUAAAUCAUUUAAAUGCAACAACAAAUGCGACCAAAAUAACAACUAAGAUAAGAAUUGAUCCAACAACAUAGUGAUAACAAGCCUCUUUAUUAAUGACAUAUGUUCCAAUAUUUCUAAUCUUCAAGCGCAACGCAUUCAUCUUGAUCUAGUGGUCAUUGAGAACAUCGGCAACAUACAACCAUAAUUUCAUCUUCCCUUCUUUAAUUCUUUUCAAUUUUUCUUUCAAAUAAUCAUUUUCUUUUCCAACUAAAUUUAACUUCUCGACAAGAGAGUUGGUUGCAACUUCCGGUUCACGUACUUCCUAGAUAAAAAUAUCUAUAUCAACUUGAUGGACAUAAUUGUCAUAAAUACGAAAUAAAAAAAUAGUUAUAAAAGAUAAUAUACCACAUCGAAUCAUAAACCGGACGAGGGCCGAUGGGGGCCGAUAUCAAGAUCAUGGCACUAUGUAUAACAAACAAUCAUACAAGUAAGAAAACUGUCUAAAUCAUACAAAUAAGAUUUUUUUUUAUAAAAAGGAUAAGAACAAGUGGCUCACCAAGGUGGUGCCGACGACGGGACGGUGCGGACGAUCGACUGUGGUUAGGACGGGAAGGCACUAAGUAAACCUCAUCUAUGCAUAUGCAAACUAAGAAGUUAAUUUAAACUCAAACUGCAUAUAAAUCAAAUAAACUCUCACAAAAUUACUCCCAAACUAAAAAUCAUAAAUCACUAUACUUAUAAAACAUUGCACGAGCUAAUCUAGCAAAGAAAGCUAAUCACAAACUAAAACCCAGACAUUUGGGUGGUGUCCUUGCUCGCGGAUUUCUGUGUACAGCCGCAUACGUAAAAUAUGAGAAUAAGCACCGGUACAAUUUCAGAUAUACGUCAUGUUUUUUCAGUGAAUAAAUAUACUAAGUAGUUUAGAGCAGUUUAUUUAUUUGUACGAGUAAAGUUUAAAUGAAUUGAGAGGCGAUAUGAACAUAUUCCCGUGCGAGUAAAUAUAGAUUCAUAAUGUCUGGGCACGCAUGUUAAUUUACAUUUGAAAUCAUUAAUUUGUUCCUACAAUUACAUAGGAAUCUGAUUUGUUUUUUGUACUUACCAAAACGAAUCAAACAACAUCACACGAUAUUUUGAUUAAAAUAAUUAUCAUAUGGAGCUCCAGCGGCCAUUUGUUUCUUAAAAUAAGUGUCUUAGUUUGUUCUAAUUUUAAUAUAAGAUUGAAAACAUUUAUUUAGGGACGAAGAAAGUAUUAGUAUGGAGACACUUAUUUUGUACUCCCUUCGUCUCAAAAUAACUGUCUUAACUUUAUACUAGCUCUAAUACAAAAUCAUAUUAAACUUAAGACACUUAUUUUAGAAUGAAGGAAGUAUUAAUUUUAACAUAAAAUGAACUAUGGGUUUUUUUUUGAUAAGGAGGAAACGAGCCCCCGGCCUCUGCAUCAAUCGAUGCAUGCAGCCAUCUUAUUGAAGAUAAAAUAAACAACGUGUGAUGUCCACGUAGCUCCACGCUCGACAGCUCGAGGUAUGAAAUAAAACGAAAAUGAAAUUGAGAAAAAAACUGCCACAUCCGGCGUGCGUAAAAGUAGACUACGAUGCCUAUACACCUAGCCUAUUAUUAGCACGCCAUCCAAAUCGGUUGAAGAUAACCCGUGCGACCAUCUCCCAUCGGUUGCACCCAAUAUCCAUACGUCCCCUGGAGUCCACAUGACUGAGUAACGACCACGUACGGAUCCAAGAUGUUGCUCUGAAGAUAACCUGCAAAAAAUUAUUGAAGUUCUUGCCAUUAAAAGUUAUAUCAUUUCUGGUAUUCCAUAUAGCCCAAAACAAAGCACAUAUCCCAAUCCCAAUAAGUUUAGAUAUUUUAACGUCAACUCCGUUGAGCCACGUUGUAAAUAUUGAGCUAAUACAUGUAGGUGGGACGAUAUUGAAAGCUAUUUGAAUAGUUCUCCAUAAUAGUUUUGCAAGCGGGCAUUGUAAGAGAAGGUGUCUUAUUGUUUCAUUUUGCUCACAAUAGCAACAAUUGGAUCUACCUCUCCAUCGACGUUUAAUUAAGUUAUCUUUGGUUAAUAUCACACCUUUGUGUAUAAACCACAUGAAAACUUUAAUCUUGAGCGGCACUUUGAUGUUCUAAAUUUUUAAUGAUCUGGAUAAUGUUCCUGUAUUAAUCAGAUCCAAGUACAUGGACUUUACUGAGAAUACCCCAUUCGCAACUAAAAUCCACCGAACAUUAUCCGUGCGGUUUGAUAAUUGCACCUGCAUCACUAUGGGUUUUUUAUAGAGAAACUAGUUUACAUGCCUAGCUUUUCUUUUUAGUAGAUUUUAGAUGGCUAGCUGUGAGUCAGGGUGGACACACCGAGCGUGCUUUUCUACCCUCUCGUGGCCCGGUCUGGAGUCUGGACAAGAAAAUGUGGAGAGGACGUGAAGAGAGAGAGAGAGAGAGAUUGGAGCAGCAACAUCGAGCCAACGAACAUAGCAACAUCGAGCCAAGCAGACAAAAAAGGAGUAAAUCUAAAUGAAAAUCUGGAGAGCAAAUACCGAGGGCAUGGAGGAAUAUUUAAAAUAGCAUGUGCGUUCUGAAAAACAAACAAACAAAGAGGGCAUGUGUGAGGGAGUGCCUGGGCCAAAAUCACACCCGUGACCGUCCUACAAUGCUGAUAUCUUUAUUUUUUCCAAACAAGAGAGAGAGAGAAAGAGAAUGGGAGAUUGGGUAGCUGACGAACAUAGCAUAACGUACAACCGGACAAAGGAGAGGAAGAAAUCAAAAUCAAGAAAGCCAAACAUGCAUGUGGGUUCUCAAAAAUCAAGAGAGCAUGGGCCACGGGGCUGAAAAUCGAUCACGUGAACGUGAAUGCUGAUAUCUUUGUUUUUUUCCAAUUGUUUUUUGCAUGAGAUGCUCAUGGUUUUGUCUGUGUGUGUGCAGGGUAACAUGCAAAACACGCAUUGUUACAUCAUCCACCUUAGAAAUGACCAAAGUUGCCAUCAAAGUCCAAGACCCCUAGAUCGGAUCUUAGCUUGCAGGCAUCUUUCCCCUUUUUUAUGCUACUCACGAGACGGCAUCUUUUCUUAUUUUUGGGAAAAGUCACACGCGGCAUCUUAUGUGUGCGUGGAGGAGGUGAAGAUACAUCCGUACGUGUAGCAUUGUUGAAAUAAUAGAGGGACACUGGACCCGGCUUCGAUGAUAAUAUAUCUUCGUUAGGCAUAUGAAAACUAUUCUGUGAACUUUGUGUUAUGAAUAUGAUUAGAUUGCAAAAAUAGAGGGACACUUGAGCAGAACCAAUCUAGAGCUCCGGCAGGACGAUCCUGUCGGGGAAAUUUCCCUUCCGGAGGGGGAAAUCGUCGCCAUCGUCAUGACCAACACUCCUCUCAUCGGAGGGGAGUCAUCUCCAUCAACAUCUUCAUCAGCACCAUCUCCUCUCCAAACCCUAGUUCAUCUCUUCUAAACAAUCUCCGUCUCGCGACUCCGAUUGGCACUUGUAAGGUUGCUACUAAUGUUGAUUACUCUUUGUAGUUGAUGCUAGUUGGAUUACUUGGUGGAAGAGUUUAUUUUCAGAUCCUUGAUGCUACUCAUUACACCUCGGAUCAUGAUUAUGAUUAUGCUUUGUGAGUAGUUACUUUUGUUCCUGAGGACAUGGAUAAGUCAUGCUGAUAAUAGUCAUGUGAAUUUGAUAUUCGUUCGGUAUUUUGAUAUGACGUAUGUUGUCUUUUCCUCUAGUGGUGUUAUGUGAACGUCGACUACAUAACACUUCACCAUAUUUCGGCCUAAAGGAAGGCAUUGGGGAGUAGUAAGUAGAUGAUGACGUGAACGUGAUAGUGAUGACGACCAAGAGAGCAUGAGCCACAAGGCAAAAAGUCGAUCACGUGAACGUGAUAGUGAUGACGAUCCACGUCCGCAUCUGCCUACAAUGCUGAUAUCUUUGUUUUUUUUUUCAAUUGUCUUUUGCAUGAGAUGCUCAUGGUUUUCUCUGUGUGUGCACGGUAACAUGCAAAACACGCAUUGUUUACAUCAUCCACCUUAGAAAUGGCCAAAGUUGCCAUCAAAGUCCAAGACCCCAAGAUCGGAAUUUUAGGCCAACUCCACCGCACGACCCCAAACGGACGUCCAGUUUGGUCCAAAUUUUGUCCGUUUAGGUUGGUAAUGGGUUUAUCCAUGUCCGCUUCAGUCUGUUGGAUCGUGCGUGCGUCCACCGCGCGGCCGCAUCCCAAAUCAUGUCCGUGUUGGACGUGAUUAAAAAAAUAGAAAAACUUAAAUAAAAAGUAGAGGUCGUCGGGGAGGAGGCGGCGGCGGCGCUCGAUCUCGUCACUGCGGGCACAGCCGCUCGUCGGCACCGACGGGAUCGGGACCCGGUCGGCGGAGAGGUGUCAGUUGUUCGGGAGGUGGAUGUCGCUCCACGGGACCGGCGUCCUUGUCUCCCAGUAGCGCCGGCAUACCUCAACUCUGAGGUACUGUCGGUCGCGCUGGCCGGCGGGCCUAGGGCCGAUGGUGAAGGGACCGGGUGCGGAGGCCCGGCGCGGUGGCGAUGCGCCCUCCUCCUUCACGGAGCCGCGGCGACGUCCCGACAGGAGCCAGCCUCGCGGUCGUGCUUUCCCUUGCGGUCGUAGUUCCAGAGCCCCAUGACUGCGAGGCGGCCGGCCGGCGAGUUCGAGGCUAGGGUUUGGGGUGUCAGGUUUCGAGGAGGCCGCGGGGCGUAGUGGGAAGUGUGGACGACGACCGGUCCACGGCUUCGCCAUUUAAGAAGGACCGCGACCGUUCUCUGGGCGGAUGAUAGGCGAGCCCGACCGCUCGUGCGCAUUGAUGUGGGCGGGUGGGAGGUAGGUGGCCGCCUGCCACGCGACCCCGAAGCGGACGAGCGCGCGCCCGUUUGCUGUCCGCCGCGACUCAAACCCCGCGUAAGUUUGCGUUUGAAAUGAAUCGCCCUGGACACAAAACGAACAAGAUGAAUCAGGCCGUAUCGCGUUGGACCGACCGGUUUGUUCCUUUUACCCAAAACGGGCGAGGCCGGAUCGGAUAGGGUCGCGCGAUGGAGUUGGUCUUAGCUUGCGGGCAUCUUUCCCUUUUUUAUGCUAGUCACAGACAGCAUCUUUUCUUAUUUUGCGGCAAGGUCACACGCGGCAUCUUAUGUGUGCGUGGAGAAGGUGAAGAUACAUCCGUACGUGUAGCAUUGUUGAAAUAAUAGAGGGACACUGGACCCGGCUUCGAUGAUAAUAUAUCUUUGUUACGCAGAUGAAAACCCAUUAUGUGAACUUGUAGAUUGCAAAAAUAGAGGGACACUGGACCGUGACUAUCCUCGUCCGCAUCUGUCUAGAAUGCUGAUAUCUUUAUCUUCUCCAAAAAACAUGCAGAGAUGCUCAUUCUUUUGUCUGAUGUUCAACGUGCAAGAGAGCAUGGGCCACGAGGCUGAAAAUCGAUCACGUGAACACGAUACACGUCCGCAUCUGCCUAGAAUGUUGAUAUCUUUGUUUUUUUCCAAUUUUUUUUGCAUGAGAUGCUCAUGAGCCCCUGCCCGCUAUCGCCCAUCCCCAGCGGCACCCAAACCACAUGUCUCCCACAGCUAGAGUCACCGCCCUAUAGCCAGACAUCCCCGAGACCUAUACAAAGGCCAUGGCUUUGUAUCAACCGACGACCCUCGAUCGACAGAACCACCCGCAGACGAUCCGCUGGUAGAGCUGUUCCAACCCCCCGUGGCUGAGGAAUGAGGGAGAAAGGGGAGAGGACGGAUCUGAACCGGCACCGCCCUGGCGACAGGUGAUGCUACCGCGUCGAGGCCAUCGAUCCCUCUAACCGAGCUCCCCGCCGAGCACGAGGAAAAGGGGAUGGGGAGGAGCACCCUCGUGUUGCUCACCAUCACGGCUCACUCCCGUACGCUGCAGUCUGCACACAUAUCAUUUGUCCGAGUCGGCAUCUUUCUUUCUUUAAUGGAAGUCCCAGACGGCAUCUAAGAGCAUCUGCAACAGUCUGUAUGUUCAAUCGUUGGUAUAAAUGGUCACGUCAGCAGCCAACAGCACAUCAGACAAGCUCUUCAAUGGAGUAUAUGUUAACCAUAUGUAAAAUAGCUAAACGGGUUCACUAAAUGUUGAAGAAAUGACCAUGCUUACCUCGGAGCUUGUGCCUGAACCAUUGCUUCAAGUUCAUACGAUUUCAUUCUCUCUCUUCUUUUAUUACGUGCCAUGUCAUCAAAAUCGUCUAUGUGGCAAUUUUACCGACCAUGAUCAUACGACUAUUAGAGAUGCCCUAACGAGUGUGUGGAGGCGGUGAAGAUAGAUGGAGGGAAGAGGAGGGCAGGUGGAUGAUACAUGGGUAGUAUAUGUUCCUUAGGCAGAUGAAAACCAUUCUGUGAACGUGUGUUAUGAAUCUGAUUAACUCUAAACUUUGUUACUGUGAACUCUGUUGUACUAUGAAUUUGAUAUGAUUUGGUUGUACUCCGAAUCUGUUAGAAUUUUAUAAUAUAAAACAUAUCAUGGUCAAGUGUGGUUGUAUUGUGAAUGUUUUCAUUGAUAUUUUUCAUACUGUGGNACUAGUGGGUGUAAUCGAAUCUACUUUGUUCAUAAAAUAUAGAUUAGAGAGUGGAUUUUCAGCACACCCUUUAUAAACAGUAAAAUCACAACAAAUAGAAAUAACCUACAAAAUCUAAAACUUUGCAACAUCAAAGAUGAUCAAACAAUUUAGGUGCUUGCAAGUUUUCAUGCCAAAAAAAAACAAUUGAUGAGCUCUACACAGGAAAACAUUUAAGUGCUUCAAGUUUUGAGCAUUUUUAGCACUGAAAUCUAAAAUUUGUUUGUACACCUUUCUCUACAUGAUAUUUUGAAAUUAAAACUUGCAAAAACCUACAAAGUUUGAUCAUCUUUGAUGUUGCAAAGUUUCAGAUUUUUUUUAUUUUUUACUCCCUCCGCUUCCUAAAUAUAAGACCUUUUAGAGAUUGUACUAUAAAUUACAUACGGAUGUACAUAGACAUAUUUUACAGUAUAGAUUCACUCAUUUUGCUCCGUAUGUAGUCUCCUAGUGAAAUCCCUAAAAGGUCUUAUAUUUUGGAACGGAGGGAGUAUUAUUUUAUUUUUAUUUUACUGUUCAUAGAUAGUGCCUAGGCACCCGAAAGCUGUUACACCUUUCACAUAUAAAUUAAUACUCAAAUUUAGACAUUGAAAUUAGAGAUGGCCUUGUAUACAAAAACUUUUGAUAUGUUAUAUGUUGUAAUUAUGUAGAUAUGACUAACUAGGAAGUAUAUAUUGUCAGGAUUACACCAUGCCUCAGCAACUAGUUGAUUUAAGUCCAGGGCAGCUGCAUAAGCUAGCCGAGUUGAUCCAUCGACAAGAAGUGCAGAAGUUUCAAGAGCUCAAGUUCCAGUCAUACGCGGAGCAACAAAACUAUCUCAAAGACGCCAAAGAGGCCCGUGAUAAGGUGUACCAUAUCCUUGGCAGUGCACAGGACAUGAUUAUGGAGGCCGAGGCCGACAAAGACGCCACCAAGCAAGAUAUUGCUAAGGAUGUCCAUGGGUACUGCACGAAGGCCAUCGGAACAUCCCUCAAAUUCAUCCGUAGUUACAACACCCGUCUCACCUACCUUGAUAAGGUCAAGACCCACAGUGAUGAUCUCAUCAAGCAGCUAAAGUGUCUUGAUCCGGCAACUCAACAGAAGGAAGCUCAAUGCCUUGCUCUUGAGGCUGGCAGGUAUAAGAAAGCUGCGCUUGAGGAUGCCGAAAAGUUUGAACAUUUUAUACCAAAUCAAUUCUCAGAAUGGCUCAAGGGUAACAAAAUCAAGUUUCAGGAUCUGGUGGCAGAGUAUGUCCCUACAUUUAUUAUUAUUAUUAUUAUUAUUAUUAUUAUUAUUAUUAUUAUUAUUAUUAUUAUUAUUAUUAUGUGAAUUUUCUGAGCUCAAAGUGAGUACAAUAAUUUUAUAUUACUAUUAUUAAAAUUUCACACAGUGGGAAUUCAUAAUCGAAAUUCAUAAAAUUUGAUCUCGAAUGUGUUGGUUUCAAUAAUUUAGUUAUCUAACUUUAGUUUAUAAAAAUAGUAACAUAUUGAUCUUUGCUUUUUUUAAAUAAAUAUCCUUAGAUGCAUCCUAAAAUUAAUUUUCAUACUGCAUACAUUUAGCACGUAUCAUAGAUGUUCAUAUUUUUCAAUAUAAGUUUAAUCAAACUUUAUAAUGUUUGACUUUUACAAAUUGUUAUAUGUGGACGUCGACUAAAAAGAAACGGGAGGGGGCGGUACUUGCUUAACAUUUUUGGAAUUUGUUUAACAUUGCUUGACGUUGCCGAGAACAAACAAAAGCAAAUUGGCAUCACUUAGUGAACAUAAUCUCUGUUUAGUCUCUAGACUUAACUAUAGUACUUAUGCAGUAACAACAAUUGUUUUCCCAUUGUACUUGCAGUGAUACCGCCAAGCCUGGUUUGAGGGGGGCUUUUAAAACCUUGGAUGAUACUCAAAAGUUAAAGGUAUGAACUAACUUACUCUCUAAACCUUGCCCUUUACAUGUUUAUCAUAAAUUACUUGCUUAUAAAUUAACAAUCUCAAAGGUAUUAUAUUACACAUUUUUGCCGAAGUGAUUAAUAAAUAUUGUAAUACACCAUGAUUGUGAUUUGUAUAUAAAAAAGACCUGUGGUACUGCAUUGCGCUCAAAAGAUUUCAUCGCAAAAAAUGUGCGCGCAAAAGAUUGAAAAGGGUAGUUUGGUCCAUCUUGUAAAACUAGACAGUUAAAUAAUUAAUUAAUCAUGUUCAUAGGCAUCCGUUCGAUGUGAAUAAAUAAUAGUUGCUUAUAUAAAUUAACAAUGUCAAAGGUAUUAUAUUACACAUAUUUGCCUAAGUGAUUAAAUAUUGUAAUACACCAUUAUUGUGAUUUGUAUAUAAAAAAGACCCGUGGUACUGCAUUGCGCUCAAAAGAUUUCAUCGCAAAAAAAAGUGCGCUCAAAAGUUUGAAAAGGGUAGUUUGGUUCACCCAUGCUGUGGGAUGGCUUGCGGCGUUUGAGAUCUGAGCGACCGACGGCACAUGACUUCGGGGAUGACCGACGGCAUUUGGGAUCUUGGGCAGCUGGGCCGGAGCAAGGGCAGGCCAUUUAUGGGAACCUCUCCAUGAAGGCCGUAGCUGACAUUCUUGAAAGAGGCAAGAUCAGCGAACAUAUCGUGGUCUUUGGUCGCAGCAGGAAGAAGAAGAAGACCGACGAGGAACUUGCGUAGGAAUUCUGGAAGGAUAUCGGGUUUCCCAUGGAAAUGUCCCACGCCAGCUUGCGUCGUCAUCAGCGGCGGCGACAAGCCCCUGAAGAUUCGCCGCCUGUGUGGGGGGUGGCUGGCGAAUAGCAGAGCCGAGCAACAGCAAAGGGGUAGUAAUGGAUUCCUCUCCCUGAACGUGAACCAAACAGACUUGGAAAAAACUCAUUACACCACCGUCACCAUUUUUAACGUUGUGAUCUGAUUACGUUAACAUUACCGUCACCAUUUCUGUUGCCAAAUACCUCCUCAGUGGCACGCAAGUUGAUUAGUUGUUUCCAUUGGGUUGCGGUGGCAACUGCUAGACUUGACUUAAUUACUACUUUAAUGCCCACCGUAUGACCUUCAUUAGGAAGGGGUAUAGGCCGAUCUUGGCUAUUGAUGAGUCCAUGGGGUGUACCGUAGCAAAAGUGGAAAAAUUACUACAUUUCAAGUUUUCAACUCACGGGAGUCAAGACAUAGAAAUGAUUUAGGCUGCUUUAUUAAGUGUUGUUUGUUGAACUGAACUAAACUGAAUUGAAGUUGUUCAAUUUGGUGAUUUAAAGUCCAUUUUUAACAAUGUAAACUACUCCCUCCAUUCUUAAAUAUAAGACGUUUUGGCAGUUCAAUCUAUACUCUCAAAACGUCUUAUAUUUAUGAACAGAGGUAGUAUAUGUGAAGACUAGCAAUAUCGUAAUCAAAUGAAAGUUCGUAUCAAAAACUUUCCAAAAGGUACUUGAAUUGUCUUAUAGUUUAAUUCAAAGAAGAAGUUAUCAUGCUUUGGAGUUUCAAUCUGAACUAAAAUGAUAUAGUUUCAUACAUUAGAAUGGGGCCUUGCUUAAUCUUUGAAUUGAGCAUGGUGAAUGAACACAGAUCAGUGCCUUGCUUAAUAUUGGAAUGAACACAUGACUGGACCUUGUCUAAUCUUAGAAUGGGUCCGAGCAUUUUCUAACUACCACUGCAAUUUAUCAUGUUGGUCAGGCAUAUGACAAUAUUAUUGCGGGAAGUGGACAUGGAAACCCCAUGGUGACUUACUCAUUUGAAGAUUUGGGAAAAGUCGAGAUUGACAGUGGAACUAGCAAGGUGAAUAUAACAGACGGGCUUAGUGGUUGUCGUGUGGCUCCUAUGACUGAUGGUCUCCAACUCGCUCGCCUUGUUACGCACAACUACCCAGACCUAUGAACUGAUUAUCCCAGAAUGCUACUACUCUACUACUGCUGCUAUCUUUUGUUGUUGUUGCUGCCACUUUGUGCACUCCUUAAAUAAUACACCCGCCCCCGCGAGGAAGCUGUUGCAUUCCGUGAUACCAUAAUCUUAAUUAUAUACUUCAUGAAUGAAUGUACUUCUGCU